rnacentral:lncRNA from 1 species
AUAUCGCAAAAGGCAAGGCUGGAUGGCUUUCGACCAUAAAAAGAAAUGCGGAGGUGAGUUUAAAUUCAAAUGCAAUAACUGGUUCAAACUUUGGAACUGAAUUGAGCAGCGGGGUGUUGACGCUCAACAGCGUAGGAAGAUUGAACGGAAAAGUUGCAAUUAUGUUCAUCAUGAAGAAGAAGAAGGCCGCCAACAUGAACUGCACCAUAGCUUUUGAUGUGACAGCCAAGACCCUCAAAUCUUUAGAAUGCAAGUGAGCGAAGUAGCUAAGCAUCCAGGCUGCAUCUUCCGCAUUUGGAUGCGACUAGUUAGUUUUUGAUUUGUGGGUUUUCAUAUUCUUUUCAUUCGUUGUAUCUGUGUGGCGAUUGGAUUUGUUAUAGAGUUAUAAUGGUAUUUGUUUUCGUUAUCAAUUAAUAAUUUGCUUGAUUUGAUAGAAUUUUGGAUGCCAUUUUCGUCCACAAAUGCAUUGAAUUUGGAUGUUCUACACUGGCAUAAUCUGACAAAUCAAAAUUAUAAGAUUCUUCAUGAAACUUCACUUAAAUUACUGGGAUUAAAAGUGAAAUUUAGUAUAAUUUUUACGGAAAAACUCAGUAGCCAUUUUUAUUUUUAGUUUUAGUUUUUUAGUACAGGCGAUUGUAACCUAGUAGCCAAUUUUUUCUUUUUAUCAAACCUAGUAGCCAAUUAAGCAAGGAAAGUCCCCAAGUUCGAAAGUCCCCAAGUUCUUCAGUUUGGGCCUCUAAUCACAUCUCAUGUUCUUAGUUAUAGUCCAUGUCCUUGGUCUCAACCCAUGUCCUUUCCGAUGACCACUCUUCAAUGGCCAAACGGCACCUCUUCGAUGGCAAAUUGCCACCUCGUCAAUGACUAAACAACAGCCCUGCUAUGGUGAACUGGUACCCAUUCGAUGACCAGACGUUAGCCUGUCAAUGGUCGAAUGACAUCCAUUGUAUAGCCGAACGACACCCCUUCAAUGACCUUUCAACAUUAAGUAUAUCAUUGCCACAUCCCGUUGGGAAUUAAAUUAUGCUAUUUGUAUUUCUUAAAAAAAAAAAAAAAAUAAAUAAAUAAAAAGAAAAAAGAAAAGAAAGAUGAAUUGAUGUAUAUCAGUCUCGAUCUCUAGGACCACAGGAGUCUAAGAGAUUUAUAGUCACCCACCGCUGGAUGUAAAUUCAAUGGUUCAAACAAGUUUUUUUAAAAAGAGUACAAGAGUGAGUGAACCGUUGAAUUUGCAUCCAACAGUGAGUGAUCACAAAACUCUUGGACCCCUGUAGUCCAAGAGAUCAGGACUGUGAUACAUAUUUUUAUUUGAUUUGGAUUCGUCGGGACUGACGGAGCUCGAACUCGACGCUUCCGCCUUGAUAGGGCGGUGCUCAGAUACACACCAAUUCUAAUAUAUAUUGAAAGGUUAUAAUGAAAUCAUAAAAAUAUAUACACUUUAUUUUAUUAUGGUAUUUACUUGGGAGUUUACCGUGGGCACGAUAAGUCGUACACUAGAGGUGCGUCCUUCAUGGUCCUCUCGUACUAGGGAAAGGUCUUGUCAAUGCUCUAAUGCCCCGAAGAAGGGGUUGCCUCAAAUUCUCUCAUUAUUCACUAGCCAUAACCUUUACAGGUGGAACCCCCCCCGUUGUUCAACCCGAUUCGACUGGCUUUUGGAUAACAAGAAGGCUAGAUGAUCUGAUUUGAUCAAGGAAAAAGCCCAGUCAGCCACCACAGAAUCGACGCCCCCUGAUUGUACAAGAAUAUGCAGAGCUCAACAUGUCUGGAAGUACAUGAGAACGUUCUUUUGCUGAUAUUAUUACGAGUAUUGUGUCACUCGUAGCAUUACUAUACCUUUCUUGAAUUCUUAUUUAGACAGUUCAUACCAUCCAUACAUAAUGUUUUAAUAGAAGAUUUCAAUUCUUCCAUGUUUUAGCAACAAUUAGUAUAUUGUUCCAUGGAGCUAAGGUCCAAAAUACGGAAGAAACAGGUGUUUCCAUGACUCUACGACCCAGUCAAUUCUGUUUCACUUAAUCUCUAUUUCAUGGCCACAUAUAUUUCCGGCUAAGGAAUGAGAACCAUUUCUCUUGUUACUUGAAUCCAAUUUCAUUUCAUCUGGGGAUAAGCCAUCUUUUUUUAAACAAUAUCUUUGUCAUUUGAUCCAACAACUUUUCGUUAGAUAGGAACAACUUUGAUAAAUACUGACAACUCUCGAAUGGAGUAGUAGAACGGAAAAAUCCAUUAGAUAAUGAACUAUUGGUUCUAAGCCAUCUCAGGUGACGAAUUAACAAUUUGAAGUACCUUUCUUGAGUAUUUUUGAUAAACCAUCGUUUAUAUAUAGAUGUAGGAAGAUCUGUUUUGGAGGUAAGAAGCCCAUUUGACAACUCUUCAUAUGCAAAGAAUUCUCAAUGUGAAAACACAUAGAUAAAAGGCUGAUCUUUCAAUAGGAAAAAGAGUGGAUCCGCAUAGUCCCAAAUAUGCAGUACCAUGACGUGACAUGAUCGUGAAAGGGUUCAAGAAUCAGUUUUCUUCUUAUGAGGGCUAAAUUAAUUUAUUUUGGCCUUUUGACCCCAUAUUGUAGGGUGGAUCUCGACUACGAGUGUAAUAUGAGCAUCUAUCGACAAAAGGAUCACCCCAAGCCCAAAGUAUGGAACCCUAAAAAGAGACUAGACCAACUUAAAUGAGAUAUGAUAACUUCUUUAUGGUCUACCAUUCUUGCCAAUCCAUAUGAUGUCCUUUUUGGGAGCUAGAGGAAAUGCAGACAAAGACCCCGUUUUUUCCUCUUUUCGGAUAGUAAAUGUUUCUCAAAAUAAGGAGUGUGAAUAACCUUGAGGUCACAAGUUCAAAUCCCGUCUUCAUAACCCUAAUUGAAAUCCAUACAUUUGUCUCAUACACUAUAGGGAUGGUGAGAAAAGAUAUAUUUUACAUCCCAGAGGGGCUAUAAUUGGGGAAUAAAUAAAUAAAUAAAAUUCUGGGAGGUGUCUUGAAGUGCUUCUUUAGGAGUUAAACUUCCAUUUGUCCAUAUUUUGAGAAAAAAGUAUUUUCAUUCCCAUUCACGUAAGAAUGAAUGCUAUGAUUUGUAUUUCGAACAUGCAUGAAUUCAACAUCUAUAGGAUAACUUUCAACUCAUUAGUACAUAAACUAAUUGUAUACCACCAUUGAUAAACACAAGAAUAAGCAAUAUUUACCAGGCCAAGUUCUAGAUAUUCCUCAAUGUCUCAGCUAUUCACGGAACGUGAGAAUUAGAUGAAUAAGCACUUGCUUUUGAAUUAAAAAAAUGCGUGGGUCCCAUCUCAAAAUCUAUAAUCACAUUGUCUCAAAACCAUGAAUCAGAUCAACUAGGGAGGGGUAGUUGAUCCGAUUCCCAUUCCAUUUUUUCCUUACUACCUUCCAAAAAUACCCUUACUACUUUAAUAUAAUUACAAAACACCAUAAACCCUAGAAAAAUAAAAACUCAUGCCACUUUAAUAUUUUCAAGAUUAUGCUUAGGUUAUUAUUAUUCGAUUGCGUCUAAUAUUAUUUGAAAAUGGUUAGUUUAGCACCACAAUUUGGAGGAACAUGGACAUAAAACACAAACUAUAAUUGACACUUGUUAUGUUCUUCCAUUCCAUAAAAUGAAGAAACCAAACUUCGAACCCUUUUUGUUUAAAAAAAAAUUCAAUGGCUGUUCAUUAAUUACUGUUGAAAAAAACAAAAAUUUUCCCUUUUCACCUUAGUUGCUAGCCUCUACUUGUCUUCUUAUGCUUCUUAUCACUGUCAUAUUUGUUUUUUUUUUCUAUUAUAUUCCUUAUAUUUUUAUAUACAAGUUUCAUCACUCGUUAUAGAGCAUCUUAUAUUAUUCAAUUUACUUUUUUACAAGUUAUUUAGGUGAAAAAUAUAUACUUAUACAUGGAGGACAUUUUAGUAAUGAAAUUAGUUUAUGUUCUGAUUCAUGACACUUAGUAAACAAUAACAAUGAAAAUCAGCUUCAUUUAUGUGUUGAUUCAACAUGGUUAGUAAAUAGCUUAAUGGGAAUGAUUCUUCUCAUACCUAUUCAUUACUUCCCCGAUUCCUAAAUCCUCUGAUUCCUUACUUCCUCCAUUCUUGGUAAGUAAACGCCUGUAGUGUUUGGACAAUUGGACUGAAAAGUUGUUUUAGUUUGUGUCAAUGUGGCAUUUAAGUUUUUUUCCUGGAAAUGCCAAAAUAUAACCAGACGCGCAUGGUUAGAGGUUUCGAUUUCUAGUCUUCUAGAAAGGGUCAAUAACUUUGAGGAACUUGGUCUUUGUAAAGAGACACAUACAGAUCUUUGUUUGUGUGGAAGGUAAAGUCUUUAAAGCCCUCGGAGCAUUCUUUUAUUCUAUACUUUGAUUAUCUUCGAAGGGUCAAUACGCGCAGCAGAUUAUAUACUAGUAUAAUAGGGUUUCAAGUCACGUUCUCAAACAUCUAGAAGAAGGGCUCUAGAAGUCAAUAAACUACAACCCAGUUAUUCGCGCGUUUUGAUUCCAAUUUCCAGCAAGUUUAUACUCUCGAUAUUAUUCCUCCUCAUUAACCAAGUUGUCUAUAUAUACAACACAGCCCCACCCACAUUCUCACAAUCAAUACACUUUCUCAUCACUUCAUAUUUUACAGAGCGAAACAGAGAAAAAGCAGAUCAUUUUCUUUUGAAGCUUUCCUUCCUUCAACUAAAAGAAAUCAACAUGGGUGAUGCAGAAUCUUUGCAUUCCGCUGAUGAGCUGAAACGCCAGAAGAAAAUCAAAUUGGCCAUCUAUAUUACUAUUUUCGUUGUGUUUCAGAUCAUAGUUAUCACCACAAUGAGUCUCACUGUCAUGAAAGUGAAAACCCCCAGGUUCAGGCUAGGCAACAUCAAUGUCGAAAGCUUCGUAUCUGACUCGGCAGCGCCGUCAUUCGACACGAAAUUCACAACCCAAAUCAAGAUCAAGAACUCAGCCAACUGGGGUUCCUACAAGUUCAAUGCUGCCAAUAUCACGUUUCUACACCAAGGCGCGACUCUGGCAGUAAUUGAUAUCGCAAAGGGCAAGGCUGGAUGGCUUUCGACCAUAAAAAGAAAUGCGGAGGUGAGUUUGAAUUCAAGUGGAAUAACUGGUUCAAACUUUGGAACUGAAUUGAGCAGCGGGGUGUUGACGCUCAACAGCGUAGGAAGAUUGAACGGAAAGGUUGCAAUUAUGUUCAUCAUGAAGAAGAAGAAGGCCGCCAACAUGAACUGCACCAUAGCUUUUGAUGUGGCAGCCAAGACCCUCAAAUCUUUAGAAUGCAAAUGAGCGGAGUAGCUAAGCAUCCAGGCGUCAUCUUCAGCAUAUGGAUUGCGACUAGCUAGUUCUUGAUUUGUGACUUUUCUUAUUCUUUUAUUCUUUGUAUCUGUGUGGCGAUUGGAAUUGUUAUAGAGUUAUAAUGAUGUAUUUGUUUUCGUUACCACUCCCCUGUAGUUAUUUAUUUCAUGAUGAUCUAUUCCUUGAUAUUUACUUAUUUAUAGUCUGCUUCUUCGAAGUGCCCGAAUUCUCUAAUGGUGGGUGCAAGUAAAUCCUCAAGUUAUACGUAUUUGUAAAUGAUGACAGUUGCCCAAAUGCUGCAGCUACACUACCAUGCAAAACAAAUAAAUGCUCCAGGGGGCCUCACUACUUGACUCUAUAUGUUGCAAAGAAAUCUCCAGUUUUGAUACCCAAUUGAUCAUCAGCCAUGAUGGAGCCUGACAAGUUCCCCAUAUUAGUACCUACAUGAAAUGUUAUGCAUACAUUGCUGCGUUUGCUGUGUUCCAUACCUUAAUCAUACUGGCUUUUGGAUUAUUCGCGAUGCCAACUGAAACUCCUACGGUCAGGGUGAGAUCUGUGGCAAUCCGAAGCCUAGACUACUGUGGUUCAGAUGAACCCUUCUUCAACAUUACCCUGGUUGUUGAAGUUGCAAUGAGGAACAAGAAUUUUGGGCAUUUUUGGUUUGAUCCCAGCACAGCUAAUGUCACAUAUGGGGGGUGUCAUAGUGGGCAAUGGAGACACAACCAAAGCAAGAGCCAGUGCUAGGAAGACAAGGAUAUAAUGAAUGUGAUGACCAUUGAAGUGAGAUCUGCUGGGGUACUAUUAGAUGGUGCCAGGGUUAGCAAUGAGCUUAAGUUAAAAUAACAACAAUGGCCUUGUAACUAAAAACCAAAAUAAUAUUAUAGUUCUACAACAAAUCCAAGUUUCCCACAAAGAAGAAAAAUAUAUACCAAAGAAUAAUGAAAUAACAAAAUGAUCCAAUUAGUCUUGAUCACUCCCAAAGCCACAUAUUAAACUAAACAUGUGGCCAAUAGCUAAAUUUCCAAAUUUGCAGUCCUUAUAAAGUGCCUGAAUUGCGACCCUCCGGCACUCACUGCCCACUUCCAUUGUAAAGUUUGGACAACCUUUGUGAACAAAUCAAAUGCUAUGGUGCAGUCCCAUUGGAAGACUUCCUCUUCUUCAUGAUGAACAUCAAUUCCACCUCUACAGUCAAUUUAGCUUGGCUGCUUAGCAUCAAGACCCCAUUCCUCAACUCACUUCCAGAAUUGGAAGUCUUCGGCAAUGCGUUUGAAUUCAAACUCACUGUGACAUCAAUCUUUUUGGUGGACCGCAUUCCAGCCUUGCUAUAGGAUUCAGGAAUAACAACUUGCCCCACAGCCAGGACUUGGUACGUCGGAGUGCCUGCAUUGACUCUUCUGGCGCUUUAGCUCAUCAGUGGAUUGCAAAGACUCUCCAUCACUUUUUGGAUUUCCAUUUGCUGGUGCCAAUGGAGCCAGCAUUCUUUGAUUUACUGGAAAGCUUUGGACUAGAAAAUGUUCUUUUGAUGUUUGGGUGUCUAGACUCUAGAGUGUAAAAUGAAUUGAGCGUGAUAUACCUAUAUUUAGUUGUUUGUGUAACCAAACGCGCAUCGUUAGAGGCUUUGGCUUAUAGUCUUCUAGAGAGGGUCGAUUAAUUCCCAUGAGGCUCUUAUAACAAUAAUAAAUAAUAUAUUCGAGCUUCUUUCUUGCAAGACGAAGUUAUUAUGUCCAAAUGCUAGCUUGGACUUCGUCAGUUUCACAUUUUGAAAGGUGUCCAUAGGCGCAGCCGCGCAGCAAACAUAUAAAUAUAAUAAGUAUAGUAGAAUAAUAGUAAUGGUUCUGGAAGUCAAUAAACUACAACCCAAUUAAUUAUUUGUGCGUUUUGAUUCCAAUUUCCAGCAAGUUUACACCGUCGAUAUUAUUCCUGCAAUUAACUCAUUGACCAAAUUGUCUAUAAAUACCACACAGCACUCACCAUUGAUGCUAUUACUCAUCAGUUCAUAUUUUACAGACCGAAACAGAGAAAAAGCAGAGCAUUUUCUUUUGAAGCUUUCCUUCCUUCCACUAAAAGAAAUCAACAUGGCUUGGAAAACAAAUGAUGCAGAAUCUUUGCAAUCCUCUGAUGAGCUGAAACGCCAGAAGAAAAUCAAAAUGGCCAUAUAUAUUACUAUUUUCGUUGUGUUUCAGAUCAUAGUUAUCACCACGAUGAGUCUCACUGUGAUGAAAGUCAAGACCCCCAAGUUCAGGCUAGGCAGCAACAUCAACUUCCAAAGCUUUGAAUCUGUCCCGGCAACGCCUUCAUUCGACAUGAAAUUCACAACCCAAAUCAGGAUCAAGAACUCAGCCAACUGGGGUUCCUACAAGUUCAAUGCUGCCAAUGUCACGUUUCAAUACCAAGGGGCGACUGUGGGAGUAAUUGAUAUCGCAAAGGGCAAGGUUGGAUGGCUUUCGACCAUAAAAAGAGAUGUGGAGGUGAGUUUGAGUUCAAGUGCAAUAACUUUUUCAAAUCUUGGAAGCGAAUUGAGCAGCGGGGUGUUGACGCUCAACAGCGUAGGCAGAUUGAAUGGAAAAGUUGCAAUUAUGUUCAUAAUGAAGAAGAAGAAGGCUACCAACAUGAACUGCACCAUAGCUUUUGAUGUGGCAGCCAAGACGCUCAAAUCUUUAGAAUGCAAAUGAGCGGAGUAGCUAAGCAUCCAGGAUGCAUCUUCAGCAUUUGGAUUGCGACUAGCUAGUUCUCGAUUUGUGACUCUUCUCAUUCUUUUUAUUCUUUGUAUCUGUCUUGCGAUUGGAUUUGUUAUAGAGUUAUAAUGGUAUUUGUUUUCCUUACCACUCCCCGUUUCUUCUCUUCUUCUUAUUUUUUCAUUGAAUAUACAAUGGUAAUAUUCCUUCUGUGAGUGGAUUCUGUUAUUAUGUAUUAUUUUUUUUGAGAAAGGAACAUUACAUUGUAAGAACUAGCAUGUUAACGGCUGCAUCGUUAAAACCUUUCCAGAUAAACAAAAUUCCGGGGUAGGAAAGAGUACCACCCAUGCUAUUGACUAAAUAGAAGAGUCAAACAACUUAUACGAAACAAACAAACCUAAACCCCAACCACAAAACCCUUAAAACAACAUCCCAUCACUUCGUAGGUACUGUCAAAGAAGUCCUCCUAUGAUCUAGAAAAAGCAUCAUAGUUCUUCGUACAGAGUCAAAAACGUACUAUGGGUAUCAGAAUAGAUCCGGCCAAUCCCCCAACUGCAAAGCCAUUAGAACACAUCCCAUCACUACGUAGAUGCUAUCAAAGAAAGCCUCCUAUGAUCUAAAGAAAACAACAUAGUUCUUCGUACAGAGUCAAGAACGUAUUGUGAGCAUCAUAACAAAUCCAGCCAAACACCAACUGCCACCUCCAAUUUUCUUGAUCUAGAACCCCAGCUGACAAGCAAGGGAGACCAAGAUUGGCCUCUUAGCUUGAAGAAAAUUCCGAAGAAAGAUCUUCAUAGUAGGAAUGUUCAACGGUUGCCAAGCCCACGAAUGUUCCAUAGGAGAAUUAUUAGGGAGAUCUUGGAGACCCCUCAAGGUUGGUCUCCUUUGCCUUGUCAAUAAAAUCCUCGAUACAAAAACUAUGCUUACAAGAAAAAUUCGUGCCACUAACAAUCAGAUGCCCAACACCAAUUUUCACACACUUCUGAUUCCCGCUUGGUGCCGCAUACUUGUCAUUCCCUUGAGCAGAAGAGGCGGUGGCGAUCUCCACAACAUUAAGAUGGAGACCUCUCACCAACGAUUGGCUCCUUAGGAACCCAAAAAGGAAGCCAACGCAGCCAUCCCAUGGAGAACAAAAGAGCAAAAAAUACCCAAUUCACCAAGAAGAACCACAAUAGGCAAUUAUAGAAGACUAAGAGAGACGGCGCAAAGAAUGAGUAAAGAAAAUUGGAGAAACCAUAACCCUAGCCAUCAAGGCUCUCCUCGCAUGAAUGAGAGAGCGACCCGUUAUUAUGUAUUGUUUGUUGAUGACUUUUAUGUAUUUUUAGUUAACCCUAUUUUUAUGUAGUUAAUCCUAUUUUUUAUGUAGUUAACUCUAUUUUUUAAUUAAUAAAACUGACAGGGUUAGGCAUUGGACUUGAUUUGUUAACUAAUGCAAAUAUAGUGACCAAAUUGGGAAAAUUGAAUCAUGGUGACCAAAUUUGAUUUUGAGCCAAACCCCAGUGACCAAAAAUAUUAUUAACCCUAUUUAAAAUAAUAAGGUUAAUUUCUUUUAUGGAGCAAAGAAAAAGGUUUUGCUGCUUGUUAAUGCAGCGUUCCUUUUUUAAAGAGGGGCAUGGGUUGCGUUAAAACUAAAGCAUAGAUAAUAUCUAAACCAAGCGUUAAAAAACAAUUGGACUUUAUGAAAGUGGAAACGAUGACGUCGCAGAUGCGCCUCUUUCCUCGCAUGGUCUUCUUCUUGUUGUGCGAAACAUUUUAAGACCUUGUUGUUAAUGGACUACGCAACUAUCACACACAAGCCACUCAAAGAUAAAGCACACACGAAACCACAAAGUACACACACACACACACACACACACACACACACACACACACACACACAAAGAGCACAAGAAUUUAUAGAGGUUUAGCAUUGUGCCUACGUCCUCUUGGUGAUCCUCGAGAAAUUCACUAGUUUGAAAGAACCCUUUUAGUUACAAUGAAGAACCCCCUUUGAUCUCUAACAAACCCUAGCUCAUUUUUUUCUCACCCUUGGCUCAAACCCAAUUUGAUGCCUUAGCUUUCUAAUGUUACAAUAACCUAGCGCUAAAGUACCUAUUUAUAUGUCAUAUGGCUUUAGUACAAUUACACGAGGAAUAGGAAACUUAAAGGACCCCAAAAUUAGGAGAAAAUAUGCCCAGAUUCACCAGGUAUACGCGCUGGAUUCUUGGCUCUCGCUUGAGCACCACUCGCUCCACUCGAGCGCCUAUGUCUGCUCGAGUCUGAGUUCUGCCACUCAAGUAGGCACUCAAGCGCUUGGGUCUGGGUGAGAUUGUAUCGCUCUGCUGCUUGAGCGCCUGUAGUUUCUGCUUGAGCGGCAGAGCCCAGUCAAAACUACUGUAGCUCUUUUGACUGUCUGUUUCCUUCACUCAUUCUGCAUCUCUAAAUGAAACAACAUCAACAAUCUCCACCUUGGUGAGCCUUAAACACCUUGUGAAAAUUAUUGACCCAUAAAAUGUAAUGACCCAAACCUAAAAUUCAUAUUUAAGUAGUAAUUUAUUUUGCGGAAAGACAAUUUUGCCCUUGGACUCAAUUAUGAACAAAAAGUUGGCUUUUUGACCGAAAAAGAAUUUGACAAUUUCACAUACACCGUUGCUUAGAGCACGACGAUACGAGUUCAUAGACACGAAGUGGACUUGAAUCGGAGUUUUAACGAAGAAAAUACGAUUAAAAUAUCACGAAGGGCAAAACGGUAAAUGGGAAAAAUCAGAAUUUUUAUAAAACCUUAGUUUUCCUCUCUCUCUCUCUCUCUCUCUCUCUCUCUCUCUCUCUCUCUCUCUCUCUCCCGCUGUCCUCCAACCGUCACCUUCCAAGCACCAUAACUCCCUCCACCGACCACCUCUGCCCCUGUCGUCGGCGCCAACAGAACCAGCUCGGUUCCGUCUUCAAGCCCCGGCCACUCACCGCUGCCAGCCGUCGCUGUAGUCGCCGGAUUCCAUCCAAAAACUAGUCGGUUUUGUCAAAACUUCCAACCGUUCGUUCUCCUUUAAUUCUCCUCCAAAUUUGUCGAGUGAGGUAUGGAUUUCUACCUAUUUUCCAUUCUCUAGCUGAUAGUUGGGUAGGUUUGCAUCGAAUUGGACCGUAGCUAGCUCAGUUUUCAAUUUGAAAUUCGGUCAGUUUUCAGCCUCCGUGUUCGGCCACUUCCGGUCAGUUUUUGGGGUAGGUCCAAGAACAAAAGUGGUUCCAAAUAUGGUGUUAUACCUAGGAUAGGAGUUUGGAGCCUUGGUUUUGAGAUUUUCCGGCGAUGCGUUAUCGCUUUGGACACCCAUCGCUGCCGGCUCGUGCGGCGGCGCGUGGGCGAGGGUGGUGCCAUGACACUGUGUUCUGAUGCGAUCCUUAGGUCGUCACGAGAGCAUAGGAAUUCGCGGAUCUCAAUUUGGAUACCGUUUGAGCCUCGAACGGAUUUUUCAUAUUGUGCGAUUAUCGGGUUCAAUACUGUUGAGCCGUUGGAUCGUAAUCAAUUUCAGAUAUGUUGUUCUAGAUAAUUGUGGAAACGUGUAAGAUUCGACGGAUUAUGAAUCGGAGUCCCGAAUACUCCGAAAUCGCGAACCCUAGGGCUAGGGUUUAGAAAUUAUGCGAUUACACGAUCAUGAUUAAUCCGACCGACCGAGCGACACCAAUACCCUCGGGACAUGUGUCCUAGAGGUAUUGGACCUUCUAGCGGCUUCCGGAUCAUAUUGUGAGGUCAUGGACCCGUGGGGUCCCGGAUUGACUUUUUGGACUUUAGCGCUUUUUGAGUCCCAAGAUACUGCUAAACUACCCCACGUGGAAGGAAAGCUGUUAUGGGCAUAUGGAUCACUUUAAAUUGACGCACGUACUUUUAGGAGUCGGGGGUAGGGUUUUUAAUUUAAUACUAUAUUGUAUUAAUAGAAUAUUAUGGUCAUUGAAUCAGGCACCCGGGCACUAGUUGACCCGCAGGAGGGACCUUCAAGAGGUCCAGCGAGCUCAGACUAUCAGUGAGUGGACUCUUUGUUUUUAAUAAAUGAAUUUAAGCAGUUCAGUUUCAGUUAUCAGCUGUUUUAUUCUAUAAAAUAUUUUAUGUUGCAUGCUGCCUAGUGAAAUUUCAUUUAAAGCUUAUAGGAACAGAUAUUCUCAUUAAUUAUCAGAUAAAUGGCAGCGGAAUUUUAAAGGUUACAGAAAGUUAAUAUUCAACAGAUUUUCUUCAGAAACUUUAUAGUUUCUUAAAUCACCUUGUACCCAGUUAUUAAAUGUUGCCUUCGGAUUAUAUUUUUUGCCUUCGGUUUAGUCAGCAUGCUUGACAGUUGCCCCACGAGUUUCUUGGUACUCGAACUCGUGUGGAGCGAGUAAUGCGGAUAACAGUGGACUACGGUUCCCUGAAUCCUGCGAGUUGCGGCUCGGACUGACCUCGUGUCACUGAGACCUGCGAGUAUGUGUCACCCAUGGUGAUGCUAGGAAUUGACGGAAAUAAGGGUACACCUAGGUGAUAGUUUUAAACUGUUUUCAAAGGUAUAUAAUGAUAUAUAUGCAUUGAUUUCGGAAAUAAAGAGAAUAAGUUAGUUUGUAUAACUGUUUUUACAGUGGGGUUAGUAUGUUGAUAUACUAUUUUCUAAACUUUGUUUUUGGGUCCACUCACCCUUUUUGUUGUUUUGCGCCCCCAGGCAGUAGACGUGCACAGGAAUCCACCACCGGGCCACUUCCCAUCUUCCGCACCUUUCUUCUGAUGUAGGAUUUUUGUUUGUAAAAGGAUUCACUCCUUUGUAAAUUCUUAGUAGUCGCUCUGAUAUGUUGCUCUAGACUGAGAAUUGAACUGUUGGAAUGUAUAUAGAUGUAUGCUGGCAGUUGGUUGUAUAUGUAUACUUGUUUUGGCAGGUGAAAAUAUUUUGGUAUUGAGCCAGUUACAAGGGAAACUCUGCCGCCGGCAGACGUUAACCUUAUUAUUUUAUUGUGUUUUGUAUAGAAGGGCAAAUAGGUCAUUUAUGCCCGACAUUCGCCAGAUGUCGGACAUGCACAGGGUCUGACUUGGAUUCCAAAGCUGAAUUUGGAUCUGGUCCUGUCAUAAAACUUCUUUAAACCUCUUGGAAACCGUUCUAGUAAUUCCCAAGAGCUCCACCUCAAUCUUUAGCAUAUAACAAGAUUGAGCAAGCUUAAAUAAUGUCUGAACUUCUCGGUUGUGACUGGCUCGGUCAAGCAAUUAGAAGCUUUCUCAUCUGUAUGAACCGUCUCUAUUUCAAUGUCUCCAUCGUUCACCUAUUCCCGUAUCUGGUGGUACUGUACAUCAAUAUGCUUAGACCUUCCGCGAAACACUUGAUUCUUGACUAAGCAUAUAGCAGUUUAACUGUUACUUUGUAUCACCACCAAGUCUUGGGCUAUCUCGAACUCUUUAGUCAAUCUUAUUAGCCAUAAUGCUUCCUUAGAAGCCUCUGUUAGUCCCAUAUACUCAGCUUCGAUAGUAGACAAAGCAGUAACUGAUUGUAGCACUACUCUCCAACUAAUCAGUCCUCCACCACACGUGAAAACAUAUUUCACUGCGGAUCUCCUCUUCUCUAUGUCUUCCGCAUAAUCUAAAUCCACAUAACACGACACAUAUGUCUUUCUUUGUUGUCUUUCAAAUAAAAUCCCAAGCUUCUUGGUGCCCUUCAAAUAUUGAAAAAUCCACUUCACCGCAUUCUAAUGUUGUUUGGCCGGAUUUGCCAUGUAUCUUGAAACUACACUCACAGCUUGAGCUAAGUCAAGGCAUGUGCAAACCAUUGCGUAUAUGAGAAACCCUACCGCGCUUGCAUACUGAACCUUACUCAUUUCAACCUUCUCUUUGUCACUAGAAGGACUUUCUUAGGCACUUAGUCUAAAGUGCUUUGCCAAAGGAGUAAACAUGGGCUUUCAAUCCAACAUGUUGAAUCUUUCAAGUACCUUAUAAAUCCUAUGAUAGAAAUCUUUAAAAUCUAUAAUAAUCCUCCAUUUGGAUGAAGGAAUUGAAAAUUACAUAGAAUUCUAAAAUGACAGAAUUUAGAUUUCCAUCAUUUCAAUUUCUGGCAAUUGAAGAUUUCAAUGUUUGGAUUUAUGUAUGUCAAAUUUUGUAAAUGGCAUUAUGGAAAUUGCGAAAUGACACCUAUCUUGGUGGAAAUUAAACUCAAGAAUUUGAUGCCCUAAUUUCCACUAUUUUUUCCGAGUGUAUUUAAUAAAUUCUGUGCUUAAGUUGCCAAAUAAGGGAAUUGUCAAUUUCUCCACUUAAAUUCCCAAUUUUUAGUUAAAUUUUGGGUUAUUUUCCCUUAUCCAAACGGAGGGUAAGUAAAAAGAUCUUAAUUAUAGAAAUCCAUUUAAAAAAUCCUAUAAGUCAUUGUAUUCUGCUUAAAUACGGAAGAAUUUUUUAUAUCCUUAAAUAGUCUUUUAAAAUCUCAAUUGAAUACACUCUCUUAAUUUUGUUUCGACUGUGAGCCCUUCUUCCUUUUGGGCCCAAUCAUCACCAUAAUGUGUGACUGCCACGUCAUUUUCCUUUUGUGGGCCCAAAGGGGAAAAAAAUCCAGGUAUAAGUUGUGCUUCUCGCUACAUUUAGAGCUCGUUUGGUACACUGUAUUAGACUUUGGAUAGGAGUAAAUAGUCUAUGUCAGGUGUUUGGUGUCAACUUGUAUUAUUUAAUUACCCGACUAUUUUAUACGGGUUGGGCUUUUAAUACUCUCCUUACCUGACUAACUAAUACAACCCACACACCCCAGUUUAGAUAAUACACGCUUAAUUAUACGGCUAGGGAAAAAGAACUCACGUUCUACAAAAAAAAAAAUCAGACGCUCUUGUCAUCUUCUUCUCCCUAGGGUUCUUCUCUGCUAUCUUCUCCAUAGGUUAUUUUCUUCACUCUUCUCAAGGUAUCCAUCUCUCACUCUCUCUCUUUUUCAUACUCUCUCCAAUAUGCUUCUUCUUGCUUAUUCUCUAUUCUUUAUAUAUUUGUGGAAAUUAGGUUAUGAAUUUUUCUUUUUUGACAUUUUUUUAAUCGAAUGUUUUCUUUCUAUGUGAUAUAGUGAUUUGACGUUGUGGGAAUAUUUAGAUUGUUGGUAUUAAACAGAGUAGUGCAAGUUUUCAUCCAAAAACAAACAACUGGGUUAGUGUUGGUAGUUUAGUUGAAUACAUACAUCCCUCAUUCAGGUUCGUACAAAUCCACUUCAAUAAAACUUCGGAUUAAAUUGUUGCUAGGCUUUUGUAUAAGUUUCUUCUCAAAAAAAGAAAAAAGAUUUUUCUGAAGUUAAUUCUAACAUCAAUUUUGACAGAGUCUUACCCAUAUUUGACGAAAUGCAUUUGAACCAUCAAGUAAUAACUAAGACUGUGAAUUGUAAAAAGAAAAGGAAAAGAGAAAAUUUAUAAAUCAUGAAAAUGGUUCAAGAGGUAUCGAGUUUGCGGCCUUGACUCUUUUGAUUGCAAUGCUUCUGUUCUGCUGCCACUUUCUCCUUCUUCUUGUUGUACAUGGAAACUUUGAUGUCCAGUACAGACAUAUGCAGAUCAAUAUUCAUAAUACAAUUAUAAUAGUUAAACCACAUAUAUUUCUGUAUAUGCAAGCAGGAUGGUAUUUUGUAAUCUUCUGUCAUGUGUAGAAUUCUACUUAUUGUUGUAUUAUUCUAAUUUUACAUGUAGUCGUGUGUAAUGCAUGAUUAUUUAUAUUGCUAAAAUUAAUGCAUGGUUAUUUAUAUUACUUUUACUAAAAAAUUUUCCUUUAUAUUAUGCCUAGAUAUGGAUGAAAGAAAGAUUGUGGCAUACUUUAUUAUUAGAUUGUGGUUCUCGCAUAUCAUGGUUUGCAUAUGAAUCUUACUAAAAAAAAAUUCGUGUCAUUUGAAUCUCAAUUUCUAUUAAAAUUAUCAAAGAUUUUUUUUUAAUAAAAAAAAUAGUCUGAUAUGAUGUUAUCCGGAACAUCACUAAACACAGUAUAACUUAGUCAAACUAUUUAUUCGGAACAACACCAAACACCAUAUAAGAUUAUGGAUAAAUAGUCAGUAUUCUCCGGAACAAAUUAAUACUAUCCGACAGGCAUUUAAGUUUAGUUUUUUUUUUUCCUGGAAAUGCCAAAAUAUAACCAGACGCGCAUGGUUAGAGGUUUCCAUUUCUAGUCUUCUAGGAAGGGUCAAUAACUUUGAGGAACUUGGACUUUGUAAUGAGACACAUACAGAUCUUUGUUUGUGUGGAAGGUAAAGUCUUUAAAGCCCUCGGAGCUUUCUUUUAUUCUAUACUUUGAUUAUCUUCGAAGGGUCAAUACGCGCAGCAGAUUAUAUACUAGUAUAAUAGGGUUUCAAGUCACGUUCUCAAACAUCUAGAAGAAGGGCUCUAGAAGUCAAUAAACUACAACCCAGUUAUUCGCGCGUUUUGAUUCCAAUUUCCAGCAAGUUUAUACUCUCGAUAUUAUUCCUCCUCAUUAACCAAGUUGUCUAUAUAUACAACACAGCACCCACCCACAUUCUCACAAUCAAAACACUUCCUCAUCACUUCAUAUUUUACAAAGCAUUUUCUUUUGAAGCUUUCCUUCCUUCCACUAAAAGAAAUCAACAUGGGUGAUGCAGAAUCUUUGCAUUCCGCUGAUGAGCUGAAACGCCAGAAGAAAAUCAAAUUGGCCAUCUAUAUUACUAUUUUCGUUGUGUUUCAGAUCAUAGUUAUCACCACAAUGAGUCUCACUGUCAUGAAAGUGAAAACCCCCAGGUUCAGGCUAGGCAACAUCAAUGUCGAAAGCUUCGUAUCUGACUCGGCAGCGCCGUCAUUCGACACGAAAUUCACAACCCAAAUCAAGAUCAAGAACUCAGCCAACUGGGGUUCCUACAAGUUCAAUGCUGCCAAUAUCACGUUUCUACACCAAGGCGCGACUCUGGCAGUAAUUGAUAUCGCAAAGGGCAAGGCUGGAUGGCUUUCGACCAUAAAAAGAAAUGCGGAGGUGAGUUUGAAUUCAAGUGGAAUAACUGGUUCAAACUUUGGAACUGAAUUGAGCAGCGGGGUGUUGACGCUCAACAGCGUAGGAAGAUUGAACGGAAAGGUUGCAAUUAUGUUCAUCAUGAAGAAGAAGAAGGCCGCCAACAUGAACUGCACCAUAGCUUUUGAUGUGGCAGCCAAGACCCUCAAAUCUUUAGAAUGCAAAUGAGCGGAGUAGCUAAGCAUCCAGGCGUCAUCUUCAGCAUAUGGAUUGCGACUAGCUAGUUCUUGAUUUGUGACUUUUCUUAUUCUUUUAUUCUUUGUAUCUGUGUGGCGAUUGGAAUUGUUAUAGAGUUAUAAUGAUGUAUUUGUUUUCGUUACCACUUCCCUGUAGUUAUUUAUUUCAUGAUGAUCUAUUCCUUGAUAUUUACUUAUUUAUAGUCUGCUUCUUUCAAGUGCCCGAAUUCUCUAAUGGUGGGUGCAAGUAAAUCCUCAAGUUAUACGUAUUUGUAAAUGAUGACAGUUGCCCAAAUGCUGCAGCUACACUACCAUGCAAAACAAAUAAAUGCACCAGGGGGCCUCACUACUUGACUCUAUAUGUUGCAAAGAAAUCUCCAGUUUUGAUACCCAAUUGAUCAUCAGCCAUGAUGGAGCCUGACAAGUUCCCCAUAUUAGUACCUAAGAAAAUGCACAACAUGAAAUGUUAUGCAUACAUUGCUGCGUUUGCUGUGUUCCAUACCUUAAUCAUACUGGCUUUUGGAUUAUUCGCGGUGCCAACUGAAGCUCCUACGGUCAGGGUGAGAUCUGUGGCAAUCCGAAGCCUAGACUACUGUGCUUCAGAUGAACCCUUCUUCAACAUUACCCUGGUUGUUGAAGCUGCAAUGAGGAACAAGAAUUUUGGGCAUUUUUGGUUUGAUCCCAGCACAGCUAAUGUCACAUAUGGGGGGUGUCAUAGUGGUUAAUGGAGACAUAACCAAAGCAAGAGCCAGUGCUAGGAAGACAAGGAUAUAAUGAAUGUGAUGACCAUUGAAGUGAGAUCAGCUGGCGUACUAUUAGAUGGUGCCAGGGUUAGCAAUGAGCUUAAGUUAAAAUAACAACAAUGGCCUUGUAAAUAAAAACCAAAAUAAUAUUAUAGUUCUACAACAAAUCCAAGUUUCCCACAAAGAAGAAAAAUAUAUACCAAAGAAUAAUGAAAUAACAAAAUGAUCCAAUUAGUCUUGAUCACUCCCAAAGCCACAUAUUAAACUAAACAUGUGGCCAAUAGCUAAAUUUCCAAAUUUGCAGUCCUUAUAAAGUGCCUGAAUUGCGACCCUCCGGCACUCACUGCCCACUUCCAUUGUAAAGUUUGGACAACCUUUGUGAACAAAUCAAAUGCUAUGGUGCAGUCCCAUUGUGGAAGACUUCCUCUUCUUCAUGAUGAACAUCAAUUCCACCUCUACAGUCAAUUUAGCUUGGCUGCUUAGCAUCAAGACCCCAUUCCUCCACUCACUGCCAGAAUUGGAACUCUUCGGCAAUGCGUUUGAAUUCAAACUCACUGUGACAUCAAUCUUUUUGGUGGAACGCAUUCCAGCCUUGCUAUAGGAUUCAGGAAUAACAACUUGCCCCACAGCCAGGACUUGGUACGUAGCAGUGCCUGCAUUGACUCUUCUGGCGCUUUAGCUCAUCAGUGGAUUGCAAAGACUCUCCAUCACUUUUUGGAUUUCCAUUUGCUGGUGCCAAUGGAGCCAGCAUUCUUUGAUUUACUGGAAAGCUUUGGACUAGAAAAUGUUCUUUUGAUGUUUGGGUGUCUAGACUCUAGAGUGUAAAAUGAAUUGAGCGUGAUAUACCUAUAUUUAGUUGUUUGUGUAACCAAACGCGCAUCGUUAGAGGCUUUGGCUUAUAGUCUUCUAGAGAGGGUCGAUUAAUUCCCAUGAGGCGCUUAUAACAAUAAUAAAUAAUAUAUUCGAGCUUCUUUCUUGCAAGACGAAGUUCUUAUGUCCAAAUGCUAGCUUGGACUUCGUCAGUUUCACAUUUUGAAAGGUGUCCAUAGGCGCAGCCGCGCAGCAAACAUAUAAAUAUAAUAAGUAUAGUAGAAUAAUAGUUGUGGGAGCAAAUUUCCGUCCCACGAGAAUAUUCAUCCAAGAUUCCUUCGUCUUUUCCGUCUCUCUUUCUCCCUGCAAAACAGAUCGGAGUAAAAGGACCACACCCGGGGGUGUUGGCCAAAGGCCCUCCGAUGCCUAAGUUAGGUAGGGUAUUUCAAGGAAAACCGGGUGGCCGGAGCCGUGUGUGGUGGCCGGAGCCUUGUGUGAGAGAGAGAAAGAGAGGAGGUGGCUAGGGUUUUUGAGAAAUAAUUUAUGCAGAGUUUCAGUAGGAAUUUAGAUGUACCUCAACCAUUGUGUGUGGCUAUGCUUUUAUGGUAGUCUCGGAGGCUAGGGUUUCAGAGGAAUAAUUCCGUAGAUGGAAAGGAAUUAUUCCUCCCCGAUUUGGAAUUGAUUUGAUUAAUUAGGGAUUUGAUUCAUUAAGGUAAAUCAAAUACCUAAUUGGGGUAGGUAUCAAAUCAAUUCCUAACUUAAAUAGGUAACUCCUCAUUUAAUUGGGAAUUGGGGUAGGAAUAGAAUUAAUUCUCGACCCGAUUAGGUAAUAUUCUAUUUAAUUGGGUAAUCCCCAAUUAAAUUGAAUAAUUCCCAAUUAGGUCAAAUAAUCCCCAAAUAGAAGGAAUUAUUUGACAUAGGGUUUGAUUUAAUUAGGUUCCCACAAAUGCCCCCCAGCUUCUGCGUGGCGUGUGGUGGCAUGUAGGAGAUGUAAAUUAUCCGUUGGGCUGUCCAGCUGUAACUGGGCUUCCUUCGUGGACUUGGGCUCCCGAGUUGAGGAGGUGUUUGACUUGCCAAUUUUAUGAACUCCCAAGUUGGAAAGAGUUUGCGAUUCCUUGUAGGUCAAGGAAGUUUUAUCCUUUAAAUAUGAGGCUCUCCCUUGCUUGUCUUCACACCGCAAGAAACACUACCCAUAUUCCAAAGAGAGGUUCUUUGAAAAUCGUCUACUUGCCAAGGGAGAGAGUGUAUCUUUAGGUAUGAUGUAUAUAUGUACAUAUAUAUAUAUAAGUAUAUUUAUAUAUAUAUUUUUCUUCUUAGCUGCGGGUCCAGCAUGGGGAGCUUUGGCAGCAAGGUGAAGUGGUCUGCUAAGGGAGGCAUGCGAGCUUGGUGUGCGCUGGUGAGCCAAGAUGGCAGCAAGAGGUGCUGUCGCAAGCUUGGGUUCAACUAGAAGCGUGCCUGCUGCUGGCGAGCUCGGUGCGCACGGGUAGGCAUGGCUAGACCAGGCGAACAGCUGGGCAUGGCUGCUAGACCAGGCGAACAGCUGGGCGCGUCUUGGGCCGCAGGGCUGGAGCGAACGGAGCAGGCCCGUGCUGGGAUGGGAUGCGAGCUGGGCCGGAGCGCGAACCGAGCUGGAGGCGCGAACUGGGCUACUGCGUCGAUGGGCCGCGUGUGCUGUGCGCCAAGUGGGCUCGGGCUGGCAGGCGCUGGGCUCCUCUGCAGAUCGGGCUGCAGCUUGCUGGACCCUUUUUUGCUGCUUUUUUUUUUUUUGGUUCACGAACUAGGAAUUUUAACGCAAUUCUCUUCGCUAUUUUUUGCAGCUGCUCAAUGACCAUGUCUUCUGAAAGAAAGAGCCGAUCACCAAGCUCACAAGUGCCCUUGUACCUGUGGGGCGGUUCUCAAGUUCCCAAAGAGAAGUUUGUGGCCAAUUGGCACCGUGUCACCACCGAGGCCCAGUUCAAAACGUGGCGUGCCCUUUUCAACUCCCUAUACCCAAGGAUGUGCAUGUCAAGUUGGCAGAGCCCUCAUCUGAUAGUAUACCUCGUGCGGAUUCGAACAAUCCAGGCGCCAGGAUUAUCACGUUCCGCCCCUUCUAUUUCUCGCUGGGUUUCACGUUACCGCUGUCGAAAUUUUUCAGGGAGGUGUUCUGCGCCAUGGAAUGUGCCCAGAGCCAGUGUACUCCGAAUGUUUAUCGGGCGGUCAUCUGCUUUGAAAAUUUGAGCCGCUUCUUCAAGCUGGAUUUGACCGUGCAGGAGUUCUUCUACUUCUUCGAGGUGAGACGCUUCGAGAAAUAUGCCCAACUUCGCGCACGCGAACCCAAGUUGUUUGACAGUUUGAGUCAGGGCGAUCAUGUGUGGAGCAAGGAUGUGCUGGAGGUCAGCGGCAGAUAGGAAGGGGAGGUUGGCGACGGUCCACUCGUUCCUCUCACCUACUGCGAUGGUAAGUCGCAUCCCUCUGAUCUGCUACUGUUGCCAUGGAAUUCUUUGCUGUGUCUGACUAACUUUUGUCUCAUUCUUGCAGAUGAUGCCAUCCAAAAGAAGCUCGUUCUCGACCCGGACAUGACGAAGGUUCGACAAACUUUGAGCAUCCCCGCCAAGUUUCGUGAAUGGCGCUGGCUGCUGAGCGAACAUCGGAAGGAAGUCGGUGGCCUGCCCCCUGUUGAAGAUAUCGAAAGGUGGAAGUCGCGCUGCUUGGAGCUAAGUGACUUGCCAGUUGAGCGGGAGGAGUCAUCGACUGAGUCCCUCGAGGGUGGGAAAGCGUGCAGUAGCUCUGCUCGAGAUGAAGCUGCAGUUUCACGAUCAGUGGAUACGUCUCCACAGCGAAGACAGCCGAGAUCUUCUCUUGCCACGAACAAGUCUUCUACAAGGGAGGUCUCGCCUGCUCUGAAGGCCCAUACGGGAGUUGCUUCUGCCUCGUCUGCCGGGAUCAAACUCCUCGUCAGCGCGAACAGCAAGAAGGCCAACAGCAUGCAGGAGGUUCGGGAAAUUCUGCUCAAGUCUUUGCCCGUACUGCCUAAGACCCGUGAUCUGCCAUGCAAGGAAGCCGCUGGGAAGCAAGGUUUGGGUCGUCCGUGCCGAUCUGGGAAUCAAGCUGAGAGGACUGUACCUCUGCCUAGCAACCACGACUCAUCUGCGGGGCCACGAACAGUCAAGCGCAGGGCUGACUCAAUGUUGCAAGUUACAGUCAAAAGAGCUAAAGAGUCGUCUGCUCGAGCGAAGAGUCCUCCAAUUGCACGAACUGCCGGUUCGAGAACUGGUGAUAGCUCUGCUGGGGGCGAGCCAGUGUCUGAUCUGCUGAAAAUAGCCUUUCUGUCAAGUCCAUCUGCUUGCACUAGGCUAGUUGAUCACAUGUAUCGAGCUGGUGACCUUUGUGCUUUCUCGAGCCUUCCCUUGGAUAAGCAAGAAGAAGCUGCCAUGUAUCACCUUCAAAAAGGAAUGGUUUUUGCUGUUGGGGCCAUGCGGAACUCGCGUAAUGUUGCCCCCUCUUCUGCCCUGCUCGACGAGCUGGUGAAGAAGAAUUCCGACCUGACUGACAAGCUCUCGAACUAGCGGAUUCGCCAUGAUGCGAGGAUUUCUGAGAUGAAGGAGAGUAUGUCCGUGCUCAAGAGUUCAGUUGGCCAAAAGGAUGGUGAACUCAAGUCUUUUAUGGCUACCCUGCUCGAACGCAAGGAAGCCUACUUCUGCCUCGAACGUAAGCAUGCUGCUUUGGCCCAGGAUCGUGACAAACUGCUGGUCAAGUUUGAUACCCAUGUGGAAGCCACGGAGGCAUCCAAGCAAGAGAUGGCUGCUAAUGCGUACAAGCUGGGAUACCUGGAUUGCCAGAAUGGUGCUUCUCCUUGCUGCCCUCUCGAAGAUGAUGACGGUGAGCAGUCUGGUCUUGACCUGCCCCCCGCUCAGAGUGAGCAGGUGGAUGUUGUGGAUGCAGAAGCAGUUGAAGAGCAGAUAGUAGAUGAAGCUGCAAUUGAGGAAGACAAACACCAGGGUGGGUCAGCUGAUGAGGCUAAGGCGGAUGCGAAGGGGCAGGCAGCCGAGGCGGUUGAGCAAGUUGUGCCGGUUGGGCAGAAUGAGGUUGUUGCCAGUGCAGUUGAGGAUGUGAUCGGCUAAGGGUCACCUGCUGAAGUUCUCUAGUAGUUGUAGUUCAUUUUUGCUAUUUUUGAACUUUGUUAUUUUCUUUCAAUAAGUGGUCUUUGGUUGACCAUCUUACUUCUUGUUGAACUUGGCUGAUUGGCCGCUUUGUUAUGGAAUUUUCAGUUGUCUUUCGAACUUCAAUUCUCAUUGUAUCUUGUAAGUGUGUGUCCGGAGACAUAGCACUUGGAAGACAUAGCACUUGAAAGACACUCAAUUGAGUUUGUACUUGUGAAGUAGCUUGCCUGCAAUGGAGAUAAGGCUCAUCGCCUGUGUGUGUAUGUCGGGGACAUAACGCUUGAAAAGGACUCCAUUGAGUUUGUGCUCCGGGGAGCAGCUUGCCUGCAAUGGAGAUAAGGCUUGCCGCCUGUGUGCGUAUGUCGGGGACGUAACGCUUGAAAAAGACUCCAUUGAGUUUGUGCUCCGGGGAGCAGCUUGCCUGCAAUGGAGAUAAUGCUUGUCGCCUGUGUGCGUAUGUCGGGGACAUAGCGCUUGAAAAAUACUCCAUUGAGUUUGUGCUCCGGGUAGCAGCUUGUCUGCAAUGUAAGGCUUGUCGCCUGCUAGGAGUCGAGCUGGUAAGCGAAGAGCUUCAUGGAUAGUAUCUCCGAAGGUGGUGGGCAUUCCAUUGUCUUGGAAUUUCCUUCCCUUCUAGAGUGUCGAGGGUGUAACUUCCUCUGCCCCCAGAUUGGCUGAUCAUGUAGGGGCCUUCCCAGUUUGGCUUCAUCUUCUUUGACACUUGCCUCGUUUCUGCGAGAAAGCUGCGAAAUGAGCUUCUCCAAUUUUUGGGUAGCGAGUCUCUGCAUCGAGGAGAGCUUUUAACGUAUAGAAUAUCGGAUGUUGGGCCCCAAGUUCUUCUCGGAUGAGAGCUGAGCUGACGGCCGAGUCGGACACUGUCAGGGGCUUGCUGGCAGGGUUGACAUGGAGGCGGUGGCAGAUGAUGUUUGGGUCGAUGCCGGGCAUGUCAGAUGGUCAUCACGCGAACAUGUCUUUGUUGUUUUGGAGGAAGGUGGUAAGCUCCACCUUCUCGUCUGGGCUUAGGUGCGAGCCGAUCCGCGCUUUCUUAUCUAGUUGGUUAGGAUUGAGGGGUACUAACUCAACGUCUUCCUCAGGCUUCCAACCUUCUUCAAGGGAGCCUUCCUGGCGGAUUCCCUCAUCUCGAUCCUUCUUGUUUGGAUUCUGGCGCGAGCCGAUCUGCGCUUCUUUGUCUGGCUGGCCAAGAUCAAGGGGUACUAACUCAACGUCAUCAUCAGACUUCCAACCCUUUUCAGGGAGUCUUCCGGGCGGAUUCCCUCGCCUUGAUCCUUCUUGUUUGGAUUCUGGCGCGAGCCGAUCUGCGCUUCUUUGUCUGGCUGGCCAAGAUCGGGGGUACUAACUCAACGUCAUCCUCAGACUUCCAACCCUUUUCAGGGGAGUCUUCCGGGGGGGUUCCCUCACCUUGAUCCUUCUUGUUUGGAUUCUGGCGCGAGCCGAUCUGCGCUUCUUUGUCUGGCUGGCCAAGAUCAGGGGGUACUAACUCAACGUCAUCCUCAGACUUCCAACCCUUUUCAGGGGAGUCUUCCGGGCGGAUUCCCUCGCCUUGAUCAUGGCUCAUUAAUUGCUAUUGUGGGGUAACAGCUCCCUUCUCAUUCGAGCUUGCUUGUCUGCUGGGAGCGCUUCGUGCCUUGUUGGCAGCUUGCAUUAUUGGUGUGAACUGCAACUGCUUGCUCUUCUUGAGUCCGUGAGCUGUGCAUCUUCUUGCCAUGGCUUGGUCACUAUUGAUCUGCCCGAUUCCGCCUCCAGGGAUGGGGUAGCGAAUCCUCUGGUGUAGAGCAGAUGUGAUGGCCUCGAUCUUGCUGAUCCACGGUCGGCCCAAGAUUCCGUUGUACGGGGAGAUCUCGUCGAUGACCAUGAAGGUUUGCGAGCAGACUACUGGGGGUGAGUGGACGUCAAGGUCGACCAGUCCAACAGUGAUUGAUGUGGCCCCAUUGAAGCCAGUGAGCGACCUGGCGAGUUUGCUAAUCUUGGGCUCCAAUCCCAUCUGUUGGAUGACAGAUAGUUGCAGGAUGUUGGCUGCGCUGCCCUCAUCCACAUGAACUCGCUCGAUCACAGCUUGUUUAAUCUGAAUGCAGAUGACUAGGGCGUCAUUAUGCGGUAGGUCAAGCCCGAUCAAGUCUUUCUUCUGGAAACCAAUGAUGGGUGUAUCCACGAUAACUGGUACUCCUGUUGUGACUUGGGAGACAUAAGUCGCCUACGCGAUCUUCCUUUUGUGCUCCUUGGUGGUCAGCCUGGACUCUUGAGAGUCAGCUAGAAUGGUGUUGAUUCGAAUGACCUUUUUGGGGAGGUUCCUUGGCUGCCGCAUCACGAUCCUCGAUUUGUUGGAUGGCCUUCUUUGCGACGAAUUCUGUGCAAAGACCUUCUCUGACCAGCUCCUCAAUAUGCCUUUUCCAAGCAUUGCAAUUGUUGGUGUAAUGACCGUGCUCCCCGUGGAAUGCGCAGUAUUUACUGGUGUCCCUCUUAGAGGGGUCUCCUUUCAUGGGUGGCGGUCUCCUCACCCAUGGCUUGUCCUUCACUUGAGCCAGGAUCUGAUGAAUUGGGAUAGCGAACUCAGUGAAGGUCCCUAUUUCUGAGCUUCCCUCUCUGGGCCGCGAUCUGCCCUUAUCUCGGGCUUUUUGCUCGAACUGGUUGCUCUUUUGGCUUGCCUGCUUCGUCGAGUGAUCAACUUGCUUGCUGGCUUUCUUUGCGGCGAUUCAAUCAUCGUCCCAAAGUGCGUAGCGUUCUGCCGUCGCGAACACUUCUGCCAAGGUUUGACUUGGUGUUAUGGCCAGUUCCCGGUAUAGCUCGUGCUCGGUUGGCAAGCCCUUCUUGCAAGCUGAGGAUGCAACUUGGUCAUUGCAUCCUAUGAUGUUAUAGGCCUUUUCAUCCUUUGUGAAGAUGAAGGCCAACUCCUUAAAGUUUCCUAUCGACGCAGACGGUAGAGUGUGGAACCAGUCUUGAGCUGCUCCUCGCAGGGUCAUCGCGAGCACUUUGCACAUCAGGGCAUCGUCUGCCUUGUACAGGAUCAUGGCGCUCUUGAAGUGCCUCAAAUGGCUCUCAGGGUCAGAGUCCUCUUUGAAUGGAGUGAUGGAUGGCGUUGUGAACCGCUUCGGUGGAGGAGCUCGUUCCACUUUGUCGGUAAAGGGCGAGCAGUCAACUCGAUCAAUUUCCUUAUGCAGGGCCUCCUCCGUUCUUCCUUUAAGUUGGAGAGCUUGGAGUCGGUCAUUUACUAGCUUCUCGACGUCCUCUGCUCGCAGGACUGGAGUCUCGGGCCGGCAUCUUCGGUGCCUCGAGCGCGACCGGCUAACUUCUUCCUCGGUCCCCAAGGGUCGAUCCCCUUGAGUGUUCUGCCCGUGGGGCAGAUUAGGAGAUUGAGCUUGUGAGGAUUCCUCUACAUCUUGUCGCCGCGUGUUGGUCAUAGAGCAGGUUGGUGGGCGUCGAUCAUCAUCUUCUGCCCGCAAGGAGGGUUGUUCAGGUCGACGUCUUUGGUGUCUCGAGCGUGACUGGCUAACUUCUUCCUCGGUUCCCAAGGGUCAAUCCCCUUGGGUGCCCUGCCCGUGGGGCAGAUUAGGAGAUUGAGCUUGUGAGGAUUCCUCUACAGCUUGUCGCCGCGUGUUGGCCCUCGAGCGGGUUGGUGGGCGUCGGUCGUUGCGCUCGUCACGCGACUGCUCAAGAACUCGAGCUCCUUGUGGGCCCAAGCGGGCGUGGACAUUAGACUGCGGGCCUAGCCUGUCGAGCACAUUGGUUCUUGGUCCUAGCCUCGAACGGCUCAGAGUACGGCUCGCGACUGUCUGCGUCUCAUCUGCUCGAUCUCGAUCUCUCCUCCGCCGGUUUGCCCUUGUCUCUGGGACCUCUCGAACUGCUUGCCGACAUGCUGGUGUGCCCUCAUCUCCUCGUCACGGGGUUCAAGGUUAGGGCCUUGAUUCAAGUUGAUCUACCUAAGUAGCUGGUCAAUCAGGUUGUUUUGAUCAUCGACCUUCUGUGUGAGUUGAUCGACCCGUGAGUUAAGGUCCACCUGACUGCGCGGGUCAAGUAGAGUGCUGUGCAUCGGGCCCAACGGCAAAUGGGCUAGGGCUCCAUUAGACGCGUACACAGGUGCAUAUGUCGAGUGUGAUCGCAGAGGAGGGAGAGAAUGGAUCUGCUCCAAGACGGGGAUGACGUCGGAGUAGCCAUGGGGCUGAGCAGCAAAUCCGGUAGUUGAGUGGUGUGGCUGCUGCUGUGCUACGACGGCAAGACAGCGAGGCAGAGCAGCUCCUGUAAUCAGCGCUGGCAACUGCAAGGCUGUGGAGGUCCCGGGGUCAUGUGGUGGCUGUUCUGCAAUUCCAGCAGCUGAAUGCGGCUGCAAAGCACUGGAGGACGACUGCAAGGCGUUGGCAGCCACGAUUCCGUGCGGUUGCAUUGAGGUUUCCACCACGAAACCAUGAGAUGGGUCCAUCGUGGUGGCGUUACUCUUCGUACGUCUUGUAUCAACCAUGGUUGUCCGAAAAAAUGUGUGAAAGAUGGAUUUAGAGCACGCUUUGAAUAUAUCUCGUGCUCUCAAUGAAAGCACCAAUUUGUUUGUGCAAAUAAUCUUACGGGAGAAUAUUCGUCCAAGAUUCCUUCGUCUUCUCCGCCUCUCUUUCUCCCUGCAAAAUAAAUCGGAGUAAAAGGACCACACCCGGGGGGUGUUGGCCAAAUGCCCUCCGAUGCCUAAGUUAGGUAGGGUAUUUCAAGGAAAACCGAGUGGCCGGAGCAGUAUGUGGUGGCCGGAGCCUUGUGUGAGAGAGGGAAAGAGAGGAGGUGGCUAGGGUUUUUGAGAAAUAAUUUAUGCAGAGUUUCAGUAGGAAUUUAGACGUACCUCAACCAUUGUGUGUGGCUAUGCUUUUAUAGUAGUUUCGGAUGCUAAGGUUUCAGAGGAAUAAUUCCGCAGAUGGAAAGGAAUUAUUCCUCCCCGAUUUGGAAUUGAUUUGAUUAAUUAGGGAUUUGAUUCAUUAAGGUAAAUCAAAUGCCUAAUUGGGGUAGGUAUCAAAUCAAUUCCUAACUUAAAUAGGUAACUCCUCAUUUAAUUGGGAAUUGGGGUAGGAAUAGAAUUAAUUCUCGACCCGAUUAGGUAAUAUUCUAUUUAAUUGGGUAAUUCCCAAUUAAAUUGAAUAAUUCCCAAUUAGGUCAAAUAAUUCCCAAAUGAAAGGAAUUAUUUGACCUAGGGUUUUGAUUUAAUUAGGUUCCCACAAUAGUAAUGGUUCUGGAAGUCAAUAAACUACAACCCAAUUAAUUAUUUGUGCGUUUUGAUUCCAAUUUCCAGUAAGUUUACACCGUAGAUAUUAUUCAUGCAAUUAACUCAUUGACCAAAUUGUCUAUAAAUACCCCACAGCACUCACCAUUGAUGCUAUUACUCAACAGUUCAUAUUUUACAGAACGAAACAGAGAAAAAGCAGAGCAUUUUCUUUUGAAGCUUUCCUUCCUUCCACUAAAAGAAAUCAACAUGGCUUGGAAAACAAAUGAUGCAGAAUCUUUGCAAUCCUCUGAUGAGCUGAAACGCCAGAAGAAAAUCAAAAUGGCCAUAUAUAUUACUAUUUUCGUUGUGUUUCAGAUCAUAGUUAUCACCACGAUGAGUCUCACUGUGAUGAAAGUCAAGACCCCCAAGUUCAGGCUAGGCAGCAACAUCAACUUCCAAAGCUUUGAAUCUGUCCCGGCAACGCCUUCAUUCGACAUGAAAUUCACAACCCAAAUCAGGAUCAAGAACUCAGCCAACUGGGGUUCCUACAAGUUCAAUGCUGCCAAUGUCACGUUUCAAUACCAAGGGGCGACUGUGGGAGUAAUUGAUAUCGCAAAGGGCAAGGUUGGAUGGCUUUCGACCAUAAAAAGAGAUGUGGAGGUGAGUUUGAGUUCAAGUGCAAUAACUUUUUCAAAUCUUGGAAGCGAAUUGAGCAGCGGGGUGUUGACGCUCAACAGCGUAGGCAGAUUGAAUGGAAAAGUUGCAAUUAUGUUCAUAAUGAAGAAGAAGAAGGCUACCAACAUGAACUGCACCAUAGCUUUUGAUGUGGCAGCCAAGACGCUCAAAUCUUUAGAAUGCAAAUGAGCGGAGUAGCUAAGCAUCCAGGAUGCAUCUUCAGCAUCUGGAUUGCGACUAGCUAGUUCUUGAUUUGUGACUCUUCUUAUUCUUUUUAUUCUUUGUAUCUGUCUUGCGAUUGGAUUUGUUAUAGAGUUAUAAUGGUAUUUGUUUUCCGUACCACUCCCCGUUUCUUCUCUUCUUCUUAUUUUUUCAUUGAAUAUACAAUGGUAAUAUUCCUUCUGUGAGUGGAUUCCGUUAUUAUGUAUUAUUAUUUUUUUUGUUGAGAAAAGAUGGUAUUUCAUUCAAUGGAAAGGAACAUUACAUUGUAAGAACUAGCAUGUUAACGGCUGCAUCGUUAAAACCUUCCCAGAUAAACAAAAUCCCGGGGUAGGAAAGAGUACCACCCAUGCUAUUGACUAAAUAGAAGAGUCAAACAACUUAUACAAAACAAACAAACCUAAACCCCAACCACAAAACCCUUAAAACAACAUCCCAUCACUUCGUAGGUACUAUCAAAGAAGUCCUCCUAUGAUCUCGAAAAAGCAUCAUAGUUUUUCGUACAGAGUCAAAAAUGUACUAUGGGUAUCAGAAUAGAUCCAGCCAAUCACCCAACCGCAAAGCCAUUAGAACACAUCACAUCACUACGUAGAUACUAUCAAAGAAAGCCUCCUAUGAUCUAAAGAAAACAUCAUAGUUCUUCGUACAGAGUCAAGAACGUAUUGUGAGCAUCAUAACAAAUCCUGCCAAAUACAAACCGCCACCUCCAAUUUUCUUGAUCCAGAACCCCAGCUGACAAGCAAGGGAGGCCAAGAUUGGCCUCUUAGCUUGAAGAAAAUUCCCAAGAAAGAUCUUCAUAGUAGGAACGUUCAACGGUUGCCAAGCCCACAAACGUUCCAUAGGAGAAUUAUUAGGGAAAUCUUGGAGACCCCUCGAGGUUGGUCUCCUUUGCCUUGUCAAUAAAAUCCACGAUACAAAAACAAUGCUUACGAGAAAAAUUCGUGCCACUAACAAUCAGAUACCCAACACUAGUUUUCACACGCUUCUGAUUCCUGCUUGGUGCCGCAUACUUGUCAUUCCCUUGAGCAGAAGAGGCGGUGGAGAUCUCCACAACGUUAAGAUGGAGAUCCCUCACCAACGAUUGGCUCCUUAGGAACCCAAAAAGGAAGUCAACGCAGCCAUCCCACGGAGAACAAAUGAGCAAAAAAAAAAGUCAUAUCCAAUUCACCAAGAAGAACCACAAUAGGCAAUUAGAGAAGACUAAGAGAGACGGGGCACAAAAUGAGUAAAGAAAACUGGAGAAACCAUAACCCUAGCCGUCAAGGCUCUCCUCGCAUGAACGAGAGAGCAACCCGUUAUUAUGUAUUGUUUGUUGAUGACUUUUAUGUAUUUUUAGUUAACCCUAUUUUUAUGUAGUUAAUCUUAUUUUUUAUGUAGUUAACUCUAUUUUUUAAUUAAUAAAACCGACAGGGUUAGACAUUGGACUUGAUUUGUUAACUUAUGCAAAUACAGUGACCAAAUUGGGAAAAUUGAAUCAUGGUGACCAAAUUUGAUUUUGAGCCAAACCCCAGUGACCAAAAAUAUUAUUAACCCUAUUUAAAAUAAUAAGGUUAAUUUCUUUUAUGGAGCAAAGAAAAAGGUUUUGCUGCUUGUUAAAUGCAGCGUUCCUUUUUUUUUUUUAAAGAGGGGCAUGGGUUGCGUUAAAACUAAAGCAUAGAUAAUAUCAAAACCAAGCGUUCAAAAACAAUUGGACUUUAUGAAAGUGGAAACGAUGACGUCGCAGAUGUGCCUCCUUCCUUGCGUGGUCUUCUUCUUGUUGUGCAAAACAUUUUAAGACCUUGUCGUUGAUGGACUACGCAAUUAUCAUACACAAGCCACGCAAAGAUAAAGCACACACGAAACCACAAAGUACACACACACACACACAAAGAACACAAUAAUUUAUAGAGGUUUAGCGUUGUGCCUACGUCCUCAUGGUGAUCCUCGAGAAAUUCACUAGUAUGAAAGAACCCCUUUGGUUACAAUUAACAACCCCCUUUGAUCUCUAACAAAUCCUAGCUCUCUUUUUUCUCACCCUUGGCUCAAACCCAAUUUGAUGCCUUAGCUUUCUAACGUUACAAUAACCUAGCGCUAAAGUACCUAUUUAUAUUUCAUAGGGCUUUAGUACAAUUAUACAAGGAAUAGGAAACUUAAAGGGCUCCAAAACUAGGAGAAAAUAUGUCCAGAUUCACCAGGUAUACGCAUUGGAUUCUUGCCUCUCGCUCGAGCACCACUCGCUCUACUCGAGCGCCUAUGUUUGCUCGAGUCUGAAUUCUGCCACUCAAGUAGGCACUCAAGCACUUGGGUCUGGGUGAGAUGUAUCGCUCUGCUGCUAGAGCGCCUGUAGUUUCUACUUGAGCGGCACAGCCCAGUCAAAACGACUGCAGCUCUUUUGACUGUCUGUUUCCUUCACUCAUUCUGCAUCUUUAAAUGAAACAACAUCAACAAUCUUCACCUUGGAGAGCCUUAAACACCUUGUGAAAAUUAUUGACCCCUAAAAAAUCUUCAAACCUCUUGGAAACCGUUCUAGUAAUUCCCAAGAGCUCCACCUCAAUCUUUAGCAUGUAACAAGAUUGAGCAAGCUCAAAUAAUGUCUGAACUUCUCGGUCGUGACUAGCUCGGUCAAGCAAUCCGAAGCUUUCUCAUCCUUAUGAAUCGUCUCUAUUUCAAUGUCUCCAUCGUUCACCUAAUCCCUUAUCCGGUGGUACCGUACAUCAAUAUUCUUAGACCUUCCGUGAAACACUUGAUUCUUGACUAAGCAUAUAGCAGUUUGACUGUUACUUUGUAUCACCACCAAGUCUUGGGCUAUCUCGAACUCUUUAGCCAAUCUUGUUAGCAAUAAUGCUUCCUUAGAAGCCUUUGUUAGCCCCAUAUACUCAGCUUCAAUAGUAGACAAAGCAGUAACUGAUUGUAGCACCACUCUCUAACUAAUCAGUCCUCCACCACAAGUGAAAACAUACCUCGUUGUGGAUCUCCUCUUCUCUAUGUCUCCCGCAUAAUUUGAAUCCACAUAACCCGACACACAUGUCUUUCUUUGUUGUCUUUCAAACAAAAUCCCAAGCUUCUUGGUGCCCUUCAAAUAUCGAAAAAUCCACUUCAUCGCAUUCCAAUGUUGUUUGGCCAGAUUUGCCAUGUGUCUUGAAACUACACUCACAGCUUGAGCUAAGUCAAGGCAUGUGCAAACUAUUGCGUAUAUGAGAAACCCUACCGCACUUGCAUACUGAACCUUACUCAUUUCAACCUUCUCUUUGUCACUAGAAGGACUUUCUUAGGCACUUAGUCUAAAGUGCUCUGCCAAAGGAGUAAACAUGGGCUUUCAAUCCAACAUGUUGAAUCUUUCAAGUACCUUAUAAAUCCUAUGAUAGAAAUCUUUAAAAUCUAUAAUCCUCCAUUUGGAUGAAGGAAUUGAAAAUUACAUAGAAUUCUAAAAUGAUGGAAAUCUAAAUUAUGUAAAUGGCAUUAUGGAAAUUGUGAAAUGACACUUAUCUUUGUGGAAAUUAAACUUAGGAAUUUGAUGCCCUAAUUUCCACUAUUUUUUCCGAGUGUCAUUUAAUAAAUUCGGUGCUUAAGUUGCCAAACAAGGGAAUUGUCAAUUUCUCCUCUUAAAUUCCUAAUUUUUAGUUAAAUUCUGAGUUAUUUUUCCUUAUCCAAACGGAGGGUAAGUAAAAAGAUCUUAAUUAUAGAAAUCCAUUAAAAAAAUCCUAUAAGUCAUUGUAUUCUGCUUAAAUACGGAAGACUUUUUUAUAUCUUUAAAUAGUCUUUUAAAAUCCCAAUUGAAUACACUCUCUUAAUUUUGUUUCGACUGUGAGCCCUUCUUCCUUUUGGGCCCAAUCAUCACCAUAAUGUGUGACUGCCACGUCAUUUUCCUUUUAUGGGCCCAAAGGGAAAAAAAAUCCAGGUAUAAGUUAUGCUUCUCGCUAUAUUUAGGGCUCGUUUGGUACACCGUAUUAAACUUUGGAUAGGAGUAAAUAGUCUAUGUCAGGUGUUUUGGUGUUAACUUGUAUUAUUUAAUUACCCGACAAUUUUAUACGGGUUGGGCUUUUAAUACUCUCCUUACUUGACUAACUAAUACAACCCACACACCCCGGUUUAGAUAAUGCACACUUAAUUAUACGGCUAGGAAAAAAGAACAUGUGUUCUACGAAAAAAAAAAUCAGACGCUCUUGUCAUCUUCUUCUCCCUAGGGUUCUUCUCUGCUAUCUUCUCCACAUGUUAUUUUCUUCACUCUUCUCAAGGUAUCCAUCUCUCACUCUCUCUCUUUUUCAUACUCUCUCCAAUAUGCUUCUUCUUGCUUCUUCUCUAUUCUUUAUAUAUUUAAAUUUUUUAAUUAAAUUUUUGUGGAAAUUAGUUUAUGAAUUUUCUUUUUGACAUUUUUUUUAAUCGAAUGUUUCUUUCUAUGUGAUAUAGUGAUUCGACGUUGUGUGAAUAUUUAGAUUGUUGGUAUUAAACAGAGUAGUGCAAGUUUUCGUCCAAAAACAAACAACUGUGCUAGUAUUGGUAGUUUAGUUGAAUCAUACAUCCCUCAUUCAGGUUCGUACAAAUCCACUUCAAUAAAACUUCGGAUUAAAUUGUUGCCAGGCUUUUCUAUAAGUUUCGUCUCAAAAAAAGAAAAAGAUUUUUCUGAAGUUAAUUCUAACAUCAAUUUUGACAAAGUCUUAACCAUAUUUGACGAAAUGCAUUUGAACCAUCAAGUAAUAACUAAGAUUGUGAAUUGUAAAAAGAAAAGGAAAAGAGAAAACUUAUCAAUCAUGAAAAUGGUUCAAGAGGUAUCGAGUUUGCGGCCUUGGCUCUUUUGAUUGCAAUGCUUCUGUUCUGCUGCUACUUUCUCCUUCUUCUUGUUGUAGAUGGAAACUUUGAUGUCCAGUACAGACAUAUGCAGAUCAAUAUUCAUAAUACAAUUAUAAUAGUUAAACCACAUAUAUUUCUGUAUAUGCAAGCAUGAUGAUAUUUUGUAGUCUUCUGUCAUGUGUAGAAUUCUACUUAUUGUUGUAUUAUUCUAAUUUUACAUGUAGUCGUGUGUAAUGCAUGAUUAUUUAUAUUGCUAAAAUUAAUGCAUGGUUAUUUAUAUUACUUUUACUAAAAAAAUUUCCUUUAUAUUAUGCCUAGAUAUGGAUGAAAGAAAGAUUGUGGCAUACUUUAUUAUUAGAUUGUGGUUCUCGCAUAUCAUGGUUCGCAUAUGAAUCUUACUAAAAAAAAUUCGUGCCAUUUGAAUCUCAAUUUCUAUUAAAAUUAUCAAAGAUUUUUUUUUAAUAAAAAAAAUAGUCUGAUAUGAUGUUAUCCGGAACAUCACUAAACACAGUAUAACUUAGUCAAACUAUUUAUUCGGAACAACACCAAACACCAUAUAAGAUUAUGGAUAAAUAGUCAGUAUUCUCCGGAACAAAUUAAUACUAUCCGACAGGCAUUUAAGUUUAGUUUUUUUUUUUUCCUUGAAAUGCCAAAAUAUAACCAGACGCGCAUGGUUAGAGGUUUCGAUUUCUAGUCUUCUAGGAAGGGUCAAUAACUUUGAGGAACUUGGACUUUGUAAUGAGACACAUACAGAUCUUUGUUUGUGUGGAAGGUAAAGUCUUUAAAGCCCUCGGAGCUUUCUUUUAUUCUAUACUUUGAUUAUCUUCGAAGGGUCAAUACGCGCAGCAGAUUAUAUACUAGUAUAAUAGGGUUUCAAGUCACGUUCUCAAACAUCUAGAAGAAGGGCUCUAGAAGUCAAUAAACUACAACCCAGUUAUUCGCGCGUUUUGAUUCCAAUUUCCAGCAAGUUUAUACUCUCGAUAUUAUUCCUCCUCAUUAACCAAGUUGUCUAUAUAUACAACACAGCACCCACCCACAUUCUCACAAUCAAAACACUUCCUCAUCACUUCAUAUUUUACAAAGCAUUUUCUUUUGAAGCUUUCCUUCCUUCCACUAAAAGAAAUCAACAUGGGUGAUGCAGAAUCUUUGCAUUCCGCUGAUGAGCUGAAACGCCAGAAGAAAAUCAAAUUGGCCAUCUAUAUUACUAUUUUCGUUGUGUUUCAGAUCAUAGUUAUCACCACAAUGAGUCUCACUGUCAUGAAAGUGAAAACCCCCAGGUUCAGGCUAGGCAACAUCAAUGUCGAAAGCUUCGUAUCUGACUCGGCAGCGCCUUCAUUCGACACGAAAUUCACAACCCAAAUCAAGAUCAAGAACUCAGCCAACUGGGGUUCCUACAAGUUCAAUGCUGCCAAUAUCACGUUUCUACACCAAGGCGCGACUCUGGCAGUAAUUGAUAUCGCAAAGGGCAAGGCUGGAUGGCUUUCGACCAUAAAAAGAAAUGCGGAGGUGAGUUUGAAUUCAAGUGGAAUAACUGGUUCAAACUUUGGAACUGAAUUGAGCAGCGGGGUGUUGACGCUCAACAGCGUAGGAAGAUUGAACGGAAAGGUUGCAAUUAUGUUCAUCAUGAAGAAGAAGAAGGCCGCCAACAUGAACUGCACCAUAGCUUUUGAUGUGGCAGCCAAGACCCUCAAAUCUUUAGAAUGCAAAUGAGCGGAGUAGCUAAGCAUCCAGGCGUCAUCUUCAGCAUAUGGAUUGCGACUAGCUAGUUCUUGAUUUGUGACUUUUCUUAUUCUUUUAUUCUUUGUAUCUGUGUGGCGAUUGGAAUUGUUAUAGAGUUAUAAUGAUGUAUUUGUUUUCGUUACCACUUCCCUGUAGUUAUUUAUUUCAUGAUGAUCUAUUCCUUGAUAUUUACUUAUUUAUAGUCUGCUUCUUCGAAGUGCCCGAAUUCUCUAAUGGUGGGUGCAAGUAAAUCCUCAAGUUAUACGUAUUUGUAAAUGAUGACAGUUGCCCAAAUGCUGCAGCUACACUACCAUGCAAAACAAAUAAAUGCUCCAGGGGGCCUCACUACUUGACUCUAUAUGUUGCAAAGAAAUCUCCAGUUUUGAUACCCAAUUGAUCAUCAGCCAUGAUGGAGCCCGACAAGUUCCCCAUAUUAGUACCUACAUGAAAUGUUAUGCAUACAUUGCUGCGUUUGCUGUGUUCCAUACCUUAAUCAUACUGGCUUUUGGAUUAUUCGCGAUGCCAACUGAAACUCCUACGGUCAGGGUGAGAUCUGUGGCAAUCCGAAGCCUAGACUACUGUGGUUCAGAUGAACCCUUCUUCAACAUUACCCUGGUUGUUGAAGUUGCAAUGAGGAACAAGAAUUUUGGGCAUUUUUGGUUUGAUCCCAGCACAGCUAAUGUCACAUAUGGGGGGUGUCAUAGUGGGCAAUGGAGACAUAACCAAAGCAAGAGCCAGUGCUAGGAAGACAAGGAUAUAAUGAAUGUGAUGACCAUUGAAGUGUGAUCAGCUGGGGUACUAUUAGAUGGUGCCAGGGUUAGCAAUGAGCUUAAGUUAAAAUAACAACAAUGGCCUUGUAACUAAAAACCAAAAUAAUAUUAUAGUUCUACAACAAAUCCAAGUUUCCCACAAAGAAGAAAAAUAUAUACCAAAGAAUAAUGAAAUAACAAAAUGAUCCAAUUAGUCUUGAUCACUCCCAAAGCCACAUAUUAAACUAAACAUGUGGCCAAUAGCUAAAUUUCCAAAUUUGCAGUCCUUAUAAAGUGCCUGAAUUGCGACCCUCCGGCACUCACUGCCCACUUCCAUUGUAAAGUUUGGACAACCUUUGUGAACAAAUCAAAUGCUAUGGUGCAGUCCCAUUGUGGAAGACUUCCUCUUCUUCAUGAUGAACAUCAAUUCCACCUCUACAGUCAAUUUAGCUUGGCUGCUUAGCAUCAAGACCCCAUUCCUCCACUCACUGCCAGAAUUGGAACUCUUCGGCAAUGCGUUUGAAUUCAAACUCACUGUGACAUCAAUCUUUUUGGUGGAACGCAUUCCAGCCUUGCUAUAGGAUUCAGGAAUAACAACUUGCCCCACAGCCAGGACUUGGUACGUAGCAGUGCCUGCAUUGACUCUUCUGGCGCUUUAGCUCAUCAGUGGAUUGCAAAGACUCUCCAUCACUUUUUGGAUUUCCAUUUGCUGGUGCCAAUGGAGCCAGCAUUCUUUGAUUUACUGGAAAGCUUUGGACUAGAAAAUGUUCUUUUGAUGUUUGGGUGUCUAGCCUCUAGAGUGUAAAAUGAAUUGAGCGUGAUAUACCUAUAUUUAGUUGUUUGUGUAACCAAACGCGCAUCGUUAGAGGCUUUGGCUUAUAGUCUUCUAGAGAGGGUCGAUUAAUUCCCAUGAGGCGCUUAUAACAAUAAUAAAUAAUAUAUUCGAGCUUCUUUCUUGCAAGACGAAGUUAUUAUGUCCAAUGCUAGCUUGGACUUCGUCAGUUUCACAUUUUGAAAGGUGUCCGUAGGCGCAGCCGCGCAGCAAACAUAUAAAUAUAAUAAGUAUAGUAGAAUAAUAGUAAUGGUUCUACUAGUCAAUAAACUACAACCCAAUUAAUUAUUUGCUCGUUUUGAUUCCAAUUUCCAGCAAGUUUACACCGUCGAUAUUAUUCCUGCAAUUAACUCAUUGACCAAAUUGUCUAUAAAUACCACACAGCACUCACCAUUGAUGCCAUUACUCAUCAGUUCAUAUUUUACAGAUCGAAACAGAGAAAAAGCAGAGCAUUUUCUUUUGAAGCUUUCCUUCCUUCCACUAAAAGAAAUCAACAUGGCUUGGAAAACAAAUGAUGCAGAAUCUUUGCAAUCCUCUGACGAGCUGAAACGCCAGAAGAAAAUCAAAAUGGCCAUAUAUAUUACUAUUUUCGUUGUGUUUCAGAUCAUAGUUAUCACCGCAAUGAGUCUCACUGUGAUGAAAGUCAAGACCCCCAAGUUCAGGCUAGGCGGCAACAUCAACGUCCAAAGCUUUGAAUCUGUCCCGAAAACGCCUUCAUUCGACAUGAAAUUCACAACCCAAAUCAGGAUCAAGAACUCAGCCAACUGGGGUUCCUACAAGUUCAAUUCUGCCAAUGUCACGUUUCAAUACCAAGGCGCGACUGUGGGAGUAAUUGAUAUCGCAAAGGGCAAGGUUGGAUGGCUUUCGACCAUAAAAAGAAAUGUGGAGGUGAGUUUGAGUUCAAGUGCAAUAACUGGUUCAAAUCUUGGAAGCGAAUUGAGCAGCGGGGUGUUGACGCUCAACAGCGUGGGCAGAUUGAAUGGAAAAGUUGCAAUUAUGUUCAUAAUGAAGAAGAAGAAGGCUACCAACAUGAACUGCACCAUAGCUUUUGAUGUGGCAGCCAAGAUGCUCAAAUCUUUAGAAUGCAAAUGAGCGGAGUAGCUAAGCAUCCGGGAUGCAUCUUCAGCAUUUGGAUUGCGACUAGCUAGUUCUUGAUUUGUGACUCUUCUCAUUCUUUUUAUUCUUUGUAUCUGUCUUGCGAUUGGAUUUGUUAUAGAGUUAUAAUGGUAUUUGUUUUCCCUACCACUCCCUUUUUUUUUUUUUUUUUUUUUUUUCUCUUCUUCUUAUUUUUUCAUUGAAUAUACAAUGGUAAUAUUCCUUCUGUGAGUGGAUUCCGUUAUUAUGUGUUAUUUUUUAUUUAGAAAAGAUGGUAUUUCAUUCAACCGAAAGGAACAUUACAUUGUAAGAACUAGCAUGUUAACAGCUACCUUGUUAAAACCUUCCCAGAGAAACAAAAUCCUGGGGUAGGAAAGUGUUCCACCCAUGCUAUUGACUAAAUGGAAGAGUCAAACAACUUAUAUGAAACAAACAAACCUAAACCCCAACCACAAAGCCCUUAAAACAACAUCCCAUCACUUCGUAGGUAUUGGCAAAGAAGUCCUCCUAUAAUCUAGAAAAAGCAUCGUAGUUCUUCGUACAGAGUCAAAAACGUACUAUAGGUAUCAGAAUAGAUCCAGCCAAUCACCCAACCACAAAGCCAUUAGAACACAUCCCAUCACUACGCAGAUACUGUCAAAGAAAGCCUUCUAUGAUCUAAAGAAAGCAUCAUAGCUCUUCGUACAGAGUCAAGAACGUAUUAUGAGCAUCAUAACAAAUCCAGCCAAACACCAACCGCCACCUCCAAUUUUCUUGAUCCAGAACCCCAGCUGACAAGCAAGGGAGACCAAGAUUGGCCUCUUAGCUUGAAGAAAAUUCUGAAGAAAGAUCUUCAUAGUAGGAACGUUCAAUGGUUGCCAAGCCCACGAACGUUCCAUAGGAGAAUUAUUAGGGAGAUCUUGGAGACCCCUCGAGGUUGGUCUCCUUCGCCUUGUCAACAACAUCCUCGAUACAAAAACAAUGCUUACGAGAAAAAUUCGUGCCACUAACAAUCAGAUACCCAACACUAGUUUUCACACGCUUCUGAUUCCUGCUUGGUGCCGCAUACUUGUCAUUCCCUUGAGCAGAAGAGGCGGCGGCCAUCUCCACAACGUUAAGAUGGAGACCCCUCACCAAUGAUUGGCUCCUUAGAAAGCCAAAAGGAAGCCAACGCAGCCAUCCCACGGAGAACAAAUGAGCAAAAAAAAAAGUCAUAUCCAAUUCACCAAGAAGAACCACAAUAGGCAAUUAGAGAAGACUAAGAGAGACGGGGCACAAAAUGAGUAAAGAAAACUGGAGAAACCAUAACCCUAGCCGUCAAGGCUCUCCUCGCAUGAACGAGAGAGCAACCCGUUAUUAUGUAUUGUUUGUUGAUGACUUUUAUGUAUUUUUAGUUAACCCUAUUUUUAUGUAGUUAAUCUUAUUUUUUAUGUAGUUAACUCUAUUUUUUAAUUAAUAAAACCGACAGGGUUAGACAUUGGACUUGAUUUGUUAACUUAUGCAAAUACAGUGACCAAAUUGGGAAAAUUGAAUCAUGGUGACCAAAUUUGAUUUUGAGCCAAACCCCAGUGACCAAAAAUAUUAUUAACCCUAUUUAAAAUAAUAAGGUUAAUUUCUUUUAUGGAGCAAAGAAAAAGGUUUUGCUGCUUGUUAAAUGCAGCGUUCCUUUUUUUUUUUUAAAGAGGGGCAUGGGUUGCGUUAAAACUAAAGCAUAGAUAAUAUCAAAACCAAGCGUUCAAAAACAAUUGGACUUUAUGAAAGUGGAAACGAUGACGUCGCAGAUGUGCCUCCUUCCUUGCGUGGUCUUCUUCUUGUUGUGCAAAACAUUUUAAGACCUUGUCGUUGAUGGACUACGCAAUUAUCAUACACAAGCCACGCAAAGAUAAAGCACACACGAAACCACAAAGUACACACACACACACACAAAGAACACAAUAAUUUAUAGAGGUUUAGCGUUGUGCCUACGUCCUCAUGGUGAUCCUCGAGAAAUUCACUAGUAUGAAAGAACCCCUUUGGUUACAAUUAACAACCCCCUUUGAUCUCUAACAAAUCCUAUCUCUCUUUUUUCUCACCCUUGGCUCAAACCCAAUUUGAUGCCUUAGCUUUCUAACGUUACAAUAACCUAGCGCUAAAGUACCUAUUUAUAUUUCAUAGGGCUUUAGUACAAUUAUACAAGGAAUAGGAAACUUAAAGGGCUCCAAAACUAGGAGAAAAUAUGUCCAGAUUCACCAGGUAUACGCAUUGGAUUCUUGCCUCUCGCUCGAGCACCACUCGCUCUACUCGAGCGCCUAUGUUUGCUCGAGUCUGAGUUCUGCCACUCAAGUAGGCACUCAAGCGCUUGGGUCUGGGUGAGAUGUAUCGCUCUGCUGCUAGAGCGCCUGUAGUUUCUGCUUGAGUGGCAGAGCCCAGUCAAAACUACUGCAGCUCUUUUGACUGUCUGUUUCCUUCACUCAUUUUGCAUCUUUAAAUGAAACAACAUCAACAAUCUCCACCUUGGCGGGCCUUAAACACCUUGUGCCCCCUAGAACUUCUUCAAACCUCUUGGAAACCGUUCUAGUAAUUACCAAAAGCUCCACCUCAAUCUUUAGCAUGUAACAAGAUUGAGCAAGCUUAAAUAAUGUCUGAACUUCUCGGUCGUGACUAGCUCGGUCAAGCAAUCCGAAGCUUUCUCAUCCUUAUGAAUCGUCUCUAUUUCAAUGUCUCCAUCAUUCACCUAAUCCCUUAUCCGGUGGUACCGUACAUCAAUAUGCUUAGACCUUCCGUGAAACCCUUGAUUCUUGACUAAGCAUAUAGCAGUUUGACUGUUACUUUGUAUCACCACUAAGUCUUGGGCUAUCCCGAACUCUUUAGCCAAUCUUGUUAGCCAUAAUGCUUCCUUAGAAGCCUCUGUUAGCCCCAUAUACUUAGCUUCGAUAAUAGACAAAGCAGUAACUGAUUGUAGCACCACUCUCCAACUAAUCAGUCCUUCACUACAAGUGAAAACAUACCUCGCUGUGGAUCUCCUCUUCUCUAUGUCUCCCGCAUAAUCUGAAUCCACAUAACCCGACACACAUGUCUUUCUUUGUUGUCUUUCAAGCAGAAUCCCAAGCUUUUUGGUGCCCUUCAAAUAUCGAAAAAUCCACUUCACCGCAUUCCAAUGUUGUUUGGUCGGAUUUGCCAUGUAUCUUGAAAUUACACUCACAGCUUGUGCUAAGUCAAGGCAUGUCAAACCAUUGCGUAUAUGAGAAACCCUACCGCGCUUGCAUACUAAACCUUACUAAGGACUUUCUUAGGCACUUAGUCUAAAGUGCUCUGCCAAAGGAGUAAACAUGGGCUUUCAAUCCAACAUGUUGAAUCUUUCAAGUACCUUAUAAAUCCUAUGACAGAAAUCCUUAAAUCUAUAAUAUCCUCCAUUUGGAUGAGGAAUUGAAAAUUACAUAGAAUUCUAAAAUGACAGAAUUUAUAUUUCCAUCAUUUCAAUUUCUGGUAAUUGAAGAUUUCAAUGUUUGGAUUUAUGUAUGUCAAAUUUUGUAAAUGGCAUUAUGAAAAUUGUGAAAUGACACCUAUCUUGGUGGAAAUUAAAAUUAGGAAUUUGAUGCCCUAAUUUUCACUAUUUUUUCCGAGGGUCAUUUAAUAAAUUCCGUGCUUAAGUUGCCAAACAAGGGAAUUGUCAAUUUCUCCUCUUAAAUUCCCAAUUUUUAGUAAAAUUCUGAGUUAUUUUCCCUUAUCCAAAAGGAGGGUAAGUAAAAAGAUCUUAAUUAUAGAAAUCCAUUAAAAAAAAAUCCUACAAGUCAUUGUAUUUUGCUUAAAUACGGAAGACUUUUUUAUAUCCUUAAAUAGUCUUUUAAAAUCUCAAUUGAAUACACUCUCUCAAUUUUGUUUCGACUGCGAGCCCUUCUUCCUUUUGGGUCCAAUCAUCACCAUAAAGUGUGACUGCCACAUAAUUUUCCUUUUGUGGGCCUAAAGGGAAAAAAAAUCCAUAUAUAAGUUAUGCUUCUCGCUACAUUCAGGGCUCGUUUGGUACACUGUAUUAGACUUUGGAUAAGAGUAAAUAGUCUAUGUCAGGUUUUUGGUGUCAACUUGUAUUAUUUAAUUAUCCGACUAUCUUAUACGGGUUGGGCUUUUAAUACUCUCCUUACUUGACUAACUAAUACAACCCACACACCCCGGUUUAGAUAAUGCACACUUAAUUAUACGGCUAGGAAAAAAGAACAUGUGUUCUACGAAAAAAAAAAUCAGACGCUCUUGUCAUCUUCUUCUCCCUAGGGUUCUUCUCUGCUAUCUUCUCCACAUGUUAUUUUCUUCACUCUUCUCAAGGUAUCCAUCUCUCACUCUCUCUCUUUUUCAUACUCUCUCCAAUAUGCUUCUUCUUGCUUCUUCUCUAUUCUUUAUAUAUUUAAAUUUUUUAUUAAAUUUUUGUGGAAAUUAGGUUAUGAAUUUUUCUUUUUUCACAUUUUUUUUAAUCGAAUGUUUUCUUUCUAUGUGAUAUAGUGAUUCGACGUUGUGGGAAUAUUUAGAUUGUUGGUAUUAAACAGAGUAGUGCAAGUUUUCAUCCAAAAACAAACAACUGUGCUAGUGUUGGUAGUUUAGUUGAUUACAUACAUCCCACAUUCAGGUUCGUACAAAUCCACUUCAAUAAAACUUCGGAUUAAAUUGUUGCCAGGCUUUUGUAUACGUUUCAUCUCAAAAAAAGAAAAAGAUUUUUCUGAAGUUAAUUCUAACAUCAAUUUUGACAGAGUCUUACCCAUAUUUGACGAAAUGCAUUUGAACCAUCAAGUAAUAACUAAGAUUGUGAAUUUUAAAAAGAAAAGGAAAAGAGAAAAUUUAUCAAUCAUGAAAAUGGUUCAAGAGGUAUCGAGUUUGUGGCCUCGGCUCUUUUGAUUGCAAUGCUUUUGUUCUGCUGCUACUUUCUCCUUCUUCUUGUUGUACAUGGAAACUUUGAUGUCUAGUACAGACAUAUGCAGAUCAAUAUUCAUAAUACAAUUAUAAUAGUUAAACCACAUAUAUUUCUAUAUAUGCAAGCAUGAUGGUAUUUUGUAGUCAUCCGUCAUGUGUAGAAUUCUACUUAUUGUUGUAUUAUUCUAAUUUUACAUGUAGUCUUGUGUAAUGCAUGAUUAUUUAUAUUUCUAAAUAGUCUGCUAUGAUGUUAUCCGGAACAUCACUAAACACAGUAUAACUUAGUCAAACUAUUUAUUCGGAACAACACCAAACACCAUAUAAGAUUAUGGAUAAAUAGUCAGUAUUCUCCGGAACAAAUUAAUACUAUCCGACAGGCAUUUAAGUUUAGUUUUUUUUUUCCUGGAAAUGCCAAAAUAUAACCAGACGCGCAUGGUUAGAGGUUUCGAUUUCUAGUCUUCUAGGAAGGGUCAAUAACUUUGAGGAACUUGGACUUUGUAAUGAGACACAUACAGAUCUUUGUUUGUGUGGAAGGUAAAGUCUUUAAAGCCCUCGGAGCUUUCUUUUAUUCUAUACUUUGAUUAUCUUCGAAGGGUCAAUACGCGCAGCAGAUUAUAUACUAGUAUAAUAGGGUUUCAAGUCACGUUCUCAAACAUCUAGAAGAAGGGCUCUAGAAGUCAAUAAACUACAACCCAGUUAUUCGCGCGUUUUGAUUCCAAUUUCCAGCAAGUUUAUACUCUCGAUAUUAUUCCUCCUCAUUAACCAAGUUGUCUAUAUAUACAACACAGCACCCACCCACAUUCUCACAAUCAAAACACUUCCUCAUCACUUCAUAUUUUACAAAGCAUUUUCUUUUGAAGCUUUCCUUCCUUCCACUAAAAGAAAUCAACAUGGGUGAUGCAGAAUCUUUGCAUUCCGCUGAUGAGCUGAAACGCCAGAAGAAAAUCAAAUUGGCCAUCUAUAUUACUAUUUUCGUUGUGUUUCAGAUCAUAGUUAUCACCACAAUGAGUCUCACUGUCAUGAAAGUGAAAACCCCCAGGUUCAGGCUAGGCAACAUCAAUGUCGAAAGCUUCGUAUCUGACUCGGCAGCGCCGUCAUUCGACACGAAAUUCACAACCCAAAUCAAGAUCAAGAACUCAGCCAACUGGGGUUCCUACAAGUUCAAUGCUGCCAAUAUCACGUUUCUACACCAAGGCGCGACUCUGGCAGUAAUUGAUAUCGCAAAGGGCAAGGCUGGAUGGCUUUCGACCAUAAAAAGAAAUGCGGAGGUGAGUUUGAAUUCAAGUGGAAUAACUGGUUCAAACUUUGGAACUGAAUUGAGCAGCGGGGUGUUGACGCUCAACAGCGUAGGAAGAUUGAACGGAAAGGUUGCAAUUAUGUUCAUCAUGAAGAAGAAGAAGGCCGCCAACAUGAACUGCACCAUAGCUUUUGAUGUGGCAGCCAAGACCCUCAAAUCUUUAGAAUGCAAAUGAGCGGAGUAGCUAAGCAUCCAGGCGUCAUCUUCAGCAUAUGGAUUGCGACUAGCUAGUUCUUGAUUUGUGACUUUUCUUAUUCUUUUAUUCUUUGUAUCUGUGUGGCGAUUGGAAUUGUUAUAGAGUUAUAAUGAUGUAUUUGUUUUCGUUACCACUCCCCUGUAGUUAUUUAUUUCAUGAUGAUCUAUUCCUUGAUAUUUACUUAUUUAUAGUCUGCUUCUUCGAAGUGCCCGAAUUCUCUAAUGGUGGGUGCAAGUAAAUCCUCAAGUUAUACGUAUUUGUAAAUGAUGACAGUUGCCCAAAUGCUGCAGCUACACUACCAUGCAAAACAAAUAAAUGCUCCAGGGGGCCUCACUACUUGACUCUAUAUGUUGCAAAGAAAUCUCCAGUUUUGAUACCCAAUUGAUCAUCAGCCAUGAUGGAGCCUGACAAGUUCCCCAUAUUAGUACCUACAUGAAAUGUUAUGCAUACAUUGCUGCGUUUGCUGUGUUCCAUACCUUAAUCAUACUGGCUUUUGGAUUAUUCGCGAUGCCAACUGAAACUCCUACGGUCAGGGUGAGAUCUGUGGCAAUCCGAAGCCUAGACUACUGUGGUUCAGAUGAACCCUUCUUCAACAUUACCCUGGUUGUUGAAGUUGCAAUGAGGAACAAGAAUUUUGGGCAUUUUUGGUUUGAUCCCAGCACAGCUAAUGUCACAUAUGGGGGGUGUCAUAGUGGGCAAUGGAGACAUAACCAAAGCAAGAGCCAGUGCUAGGAAGACAAGGAUAUAAUGAAUGUGAUGACCAUUGAAGUGUGAUCAGCUGGGGUACUAUUAGAUGGUGCCAGGGUUAGCAACAAUGGCCUUGUAACUAAAAACCAAAAUAAUAUUAUAGUUCUACAACAAAUCCAAGUUUCCCACAAAGAAGAAAAAUAUAUACCAAAGAAUAAUGAAAUAACAAAAUGAUCCAAUUAGUCUUGAUCACUCCCAAAGCCACAUAUUAAACUAAACAUGUGGCCAAUAGCUAAAUUUCCAAAUUUGCAGUCCUUAUAAAGUGCCUGAAUUGCGACCCUCCGGCACUCACUGCCCACUUCCAUUGUAAAGUUUGGACAACCUUUGUGAACAAAUCAAAUGCUAUGGUGCAGUCCCAUUGUGGAAGACUUCCUCUUCUUCAUGAUGAACAUCAAUUCCUCCUCUACAGUCAAUUUAGCUUGGCUGCUUAGCAUCAAGACCCCAUUCCUCAACUCACUGCCAGAAUUGGAACUCUUCGGCAAUGCGUUUGAAUUCAAACUCACUGUGACAUCAAUCUUUUUGGUGGAACGCAUUCCAGCCUUGCUAUAGGAUUCAGGAAUAACAACUUGCCCCACAGCCAGGACUUGGUACGUAGCAGUGCCUGCAUUGACUCUUCUGGCGCUUUAGCUCAUCAGUGGAUUGCAAAGACUCUCCAUCACUUUUUGGAUUUCCAUUUGCUGGUGCCAAUGGAGCCAGCAUUCUUUGAUUUCCUGGAAAGCUUUGGACUAGAAAAUGUUCUUUUGAUGUUUGGGUGUCUAGCCUCUAGAGUGUAAAAUGAAUUGAGCGUGAUAUACCUAUAUUUAGUUGUUUGUGUAACCAAACGCGCAUCGUUAGAGGCUUUGGCUUAUAGUCUUCUAGAGAGGGUCGAUUAAUUCCCAUGAGGCGCUUAUAACAAUAAUAAAUAAUAUAUUCGAGCUUCUUUCUUGCAAGACGAAGUUAUUAUGUCCAAUGCUAGCUUGGACUUCGUCAGUUUCACAUUUUGAAAGGUGUCCGUAGGCGCAGCCGCGCAGCAAACAUAUAAAUAUAAUAAGUAUAGUAGAAUAAUAGUACUAUUUUCGUUGAAGCUUUCCUUCCUUCCACUAAAAGAAAUCAACAUGGCUUGGAAAACAAAUGAUGCAGAAUCUUUGCAAUCCUCUGAUGAGCUGAAACGCCAGAAGAAAAUCAAAAUGGCCAUAUAUAUUACUAUUUUCGUUGUGUUUCAGAUCAUAGUUAUCACCACGAUGAGUCUCACUGUGAUGAAAGUCAAGACCCCCAAGUUCAGGCUAGGCAGCAACAUCAACUUCCAAAGCUUUGAAUCUGUCCCGGCAGCGCCUUCAUUCGACAUGAAAUUCACAACCCAAAUCAGGAUCAAGAACUCAGCCAACUGGGGUUCCUACAAGUUCAAUCCUGCCAAUGUCACGUUUCAAUACCAAGGCACGACUGUGGGAGUAAUUGAUAUCGCAAAGGGCAAGGUUGGAUGGCUUUCGACCAUAAAAAGAAAUGUGGAGGUGAGUUUGAGUUCAAGUGCAAUAACUGGUUCAAAUCUUGGAAGCGAAUUGGGCAGCGGGGUGUUGACGCUCAACAGCAUAGGCAGAUUGAAUGGAAAAGUUGCAAUUAUGUUCAUAAUGAAGAAGAAGAAGGCUACCAACAUGAACUGCACCAUAGCUUUUGAUGUGGCAGCCAAGACGCUCAAAUCUUUAGAAUGCAAAUGAGCGGAGUUGCUAAGCAUCCGGGAUGCAUCUUCAGCAUUUGGAUUGCGACUAGCUAGUUCUUGAUUUGUGACUCUUCUCAUUCUUUUUAUUCUUUGUAUCUGUCUUGCGAUUGGAUUUGUUAUAGAGUUAUAAUGGUAUUUGUUUUCCUUACCACUCCCCUUUUCUUCUUUUCUUCUUAUUUUUUCAUUGAAUAUACAAUGGUAAUAUUCCUUCUGUGAGUGGAUUCCGUUAUCUUGUAUUAUUUACUGAGGACUUUUAUUUUUUUGUAGUUAACCCUAUUUUUUUUUGUAGUUAAUUAAUCCUAUUUUUUAUGUAGUUAACUCUUUUUUUUAAUUAAUAAAACUGAUAGGGUUAGACAUUGAACUUGAUUUGUUAACUAAUGCAAACACAGUGACCAAUUUGGGAAAAUUGAAUCACGGUGACCAAAUUUAAUUUUGAGCCAAACCCUAGUGACCAAAAAUUUAAUUAACCCUUUUCAAAAUAAUAAGGUUAAUUUUUUUUUUAUGGAGCAGAUAAAAAGGUUUUGCUGCUUGUUAAACGCAGCGUUCCUUUUUUGUUUUAAAGAGGGGCAUGGGCUGCACUAAAACUAAAGCAUAGUAUCAAAACCAAGCGUUCAAAAACAACUGGACUUUAUGAAAGUGGAAACGAUGAUGUCGCAGAUGCGCCUCCUUCCUCAUGUGGUCUUCUUCUUGUUGUGUGAAACAUUCCAAGACCUAGUCGUUGAUGGACUACGCAACUAUCACACCCAAGCCAUGAAACCACAAUGCACAGACGAAACCACGAAGUACACACGCACACAAAGAACACAAGAAUUUAUAGAGGUUCAGCGUUGUGCCUACGUCCUCUUGGUGAUCCCCGAGAAAUUCAUUAGUAUGAAAGAACCUCUUUGGUUAUAAUGAAGAACCCCCUUUGAUCUCUAUCAAACCCUAGGUUAAAAGAACCUAAAUUGAGUCGAGGCAAGUGUUGGACACUCUGACCUUAAGACGAAUUAUGCCCCACACUGGUGCUUAUGGUUCACUAGCGUUUGCCUCCCAGGAUACAACAACUCCCCUCCUUAUGAAAGAAGCACUGCAAUUCACAAGGAACUUUGAACCAAAAUUAUGCAAGAACCUCUCUUUAUGAAAACUCUAAUGCUCUCUAUAUAUGAAAGUAUGUAUGUAGAGAAUUGAUUGAAUGAAUAAAACUGUAGGAUGAUUGCUCUAUUUAUAGAUGAUGAAAUACCUUUUCCAAAAAGGUAUCCCAAUCUGAAAAGGCAAACAAUGCAUCCCUUGAUUUGAAGAGUUGUCACCCCCCAAUUGAAGAUGUCUUUAACCCAAGGGUCAUGUCCCAAUGGAUUUUAUUAAUUUCCAUUCAAAUAGAAAAUUAAUAUUAAAUAAAAUAAUAUUAAAUUUCUCACAAUCCCCCACAUGAAUGGAAAUUAGUUUCAACAAUAUGCAAAUGAUAAUGCAGAGUUAGAGAGAGUUCCUAUUAGAAGAAUAUAGCAUCUGGAUAGGUAGUUUUUGGCUUUGAACCUGCCAUAGUGAAGUACUAUCAGAUUCACUUGGCUAAUCAGUGAACGUGAUGUCUUGAACUGUUCAGCCGUUUGUGUAAACCCAGACAAUAAUACUCACACAAUACCCUUCUAGACAUAUUUGGUUCGAUCGGUUGUGCUCGUUUUGGCCUUGAGCAACUCCUGGUUUCAUAAGCGCUUUAGAAAAUUUAGCCCUAAAAAUUUUCAUGGAAACGGCCCCAUUUCACACUCAUAUAGGUGACUUCUUAUUGGUAAUAUCCUCUUAUAUCUUACUCGGAUAAUCAAGGUAUUGGAAUCAUUAAAAACAUAGCUUAACCUAAACACAUUUCAUACAACAUUGUAUCAUCAUAGGAUAUGGGUAGGAGAAUAUAUCUCCGCAGUGUUAUUUUUGAGUUAUCAUAAUUUAGUUAUCCCUUUUGAACCUAGAUCUUGGGAUCUCCCGUCAACUAGGUUGGGUUUCCACUAUGACGACUCAUUUGACAUGGGCUUUAACCCCAUUCCCCUCGAUGAUCUAUAAACUUUCUCUCGGUUCAAACCUUUAGUAAAAGGAUCCGCCAAAUUAUCUUUUGACUUUAUCUAGUCAAUGGUAAUUAUACCACUAGAGAGCAGUUGCUUAACAGUGUUGUGUCUUUGACGUAUAUGUCGAGACUUGCAGUUGUACAUAUUGUUUUGUGCCCUUGCAAUUGUAGAUUGACUAUCACAAUGUAUACAUAUAGCAGACACAUGUUUUGGCCAACAUGGAAUAUCUUCUAAGAACUUACGUAGCCAUUCAGCUUCCUCACCAGCUUUAUCUAAUGCUAUGAACUCAGAUUCCAUAGUAGAUCUAGCUAUAACAGUUUGCUUAGUAGAUCUCCAUGAUAUAGCCACAUCUCCAAUUGUAAAGACAUAUCCACUUGUAGAAUUGGAGUCUUUAGUAUCAGAUAUCCAAUUAGCAUCACUAUAUCCUUCAAGUACAGCUGGAUAUCUUGUAUAAUGCAGUCCAAUAUUUUUGGUGUAUCUUAAAUAUCUUAGAACUCUGACUAUAGCUUUCCAAUGAUCCCUUCUAGGAUUACUAGUAUAUCUGCUUAAUCUAUUAAUAGAGUAAGCUAUAUCAAGCCUUGUGUAAUUCGUAAGAUAUAUGAGACUGCCAAUGAUACGAGCAUAUUCUAUUUGUGAUACACCAUGACCUAUAUUCUUCACAAGAUUAAGACUUGGAUCAUAAGGUGUUCUUACUAGACUAGCAUCAUACUUGCUAAACUUCGCAGGUAUUUUCUCAAUAUAAUGUGAUUGGGAUAAAACUAGUCCAUUAGAUGUUCUAGAAAUUUUAAUCCAUAGAAUCACAUAUGCUACUCCCAAAUCUUUCAUGUUAAAAUCAUUGGUCAACAUUUUCUUGGUAGAUUUAAUCAUCCCAAUAUUGCUACCAAUAAGUAACAUAUCAUCAACAUAAAGGCAAAUAAUGACAAAACCAUCUUGAGUGCUUUUCAUAUAAACACAUUUAUCACACUCAUUGAUCUUGAAACCAUUUGAAAUUAGUGCAUUGUCAAAUUUCAGAUGCCAUUGUUUUGGUGCUUGCUUUAACUCGUAAAAAGAAUUAACAAGCUUACAGACUUUCUUUUCUUGUCCAGGAACAAUAAACCCUUCAGGUUGUUCCAUAUAAAUUUCCUCAUCUAAAUCACCAUUUAGAAAGGUCGUUUUCACAUCCAUUUGAUGUAUCUCAUGAUUAUGCAAUGCUGCAAUUGCAAUUAACAUUCUUAUUGAUGUUAUUCUCGUAACUGGUGAAUAUGUGUCAAAGUAAUCCAAUCCUUCUUUUUACUUAUAACAUUUGACAACAAGCCUUGCCUUAUAUUUGUCAAUUGAUCCAUCAACUUUCAUCUUCUUCUUAAAAAUCCAUUUAUAACCCAAUGGUUUAUUUCUAGGAAGAAGAUCCACAAGUUCCCAAGUGUGAUUCUGCAUGACGGAUUCAACUUUGGCAUUAAUAGCCUCUUUCCAUAAAGGAGCUUCAGGAGAAGUCAUGGCUUCUUUGUAAGUUUGAGGCUCAUUUUCUAACAAUAUAAGUUAGAAACUCAGGACCAAAGGAUUUGGUUGUCUUAGCUCUCUUACUACGUUUGGGUUCAUGUUCAGGUUCUGGUUCUGGUUCUGCAGUCUAUAUUUUCUUGAUGACUUUCUUGGCUAUCGCUAUUAACAGUAUCAUAGGUUCUUUUAAGUGUAUUUCUUUCUUGUGCAUCCUUGUAAGGAAAUACAUUUUCAAAGAAAGAUGCAUUCCUUGAUUCAAUAAUCGUGUUCACAUGUACAUCUAAUAUAUCAAAUUUGUGUCCAAGGAAACAAUAUGUGCUACUGUUAAUGGCAUAACCGAUAAAGAUACAGUCAAUAGUUUUGGGUCCUAUCUUAACCUUUUUAGAGGUUGGAACCGCAACUUUAGCUAGACACCUCACAUUUUCAGGUAUUUAUAGGAAGGCUUGUGACCUUUCCAUAACUCAUAAGGUGUCUUGUCUAACUUUUUAUGAAGCAAUUUGUUGAGAAUGUAAUUAGCAGAAAGUAAAGCUUCCCCCCACAAAUUCUGGGGUGCUCCAAAACUUACUAGCAAAGCAUUCAUCAUUUCUUUUAAAGUACGGUUUUUGCAUUCAGCAAUACCAUUUUGCUGAGGUGAGGAUGGAGCAGUAGUUUGGUGAAUAAUUCCAUGUUGGGAACAAAACUCACCAAAAGGUGAUUCAUAUUCACCACCUCUAUCACUUCUUAAUAUCUUUAUUUUCUUGCUAAGUUGACUCUCAACUUCACUUUUAUAAUGUUUGAACAUUUCUAUAGCCUCAUCUUUGCUUCUUAGCAAAUAUACUUGACAAUAUCUUGUACAAUCAUCAAUAAGUAAUAAAAUAUUUUUUACCACCUCUAGUUUGUACAAAUUUCAAAUCACAAAUAUCACUGAAUUAAUUCUAGAGGUUCUGUACUUCUUUCUAUAGACUGGAAUGCUGAUCUAGUUAGUUUUGCUUCAACACAGGUUUCACAUUUAUUAUGGAAAUCAAUAUGAAACUUAGGUAUUAGUUCCAUGUGAAUUAAUUGACGCAGGUUGUCAUAAUUAACAUGCCUUAAUCUUCCAUGCCAUAAAUCAGAUGACUCUAGCAUAUAAGCAGAACUAACUUUAUUAUUAUUAACUUUGUGUACAACAGUCAUUACAUUCAUCUUGAAGAGUCCAUCAGUAAGGUACCCUUCCCCACAUACAUUCCAUUCUUAGUAAGUACAAACUUAUCAGACUCAAAGACUAACUUGAACCCAUUCUUGCUAAGCAGUGAUCCAGAAACCAAGUUCUUCCGGAUCUCAGGGAUGUGAAGUACAUUAUUGAGAGUGACUUCCUUUCCAGAUGUCAUCUUUAAAACUAUUUUCCCUUGGCCAUGAAUUUUGGAGGUGGAGGAGUUUCCCAUGAAUAAAGGCUCACCUUGAUCACUUGCUUCAUAUGUAGAAAACAUCUUCCUUUCAGAACAUAUGUGGCGUGUAGCUCCAGUAUCCACCCACCAUUCCUUGGUGUUGCCCACCAAAUUCACUUCAGACAAGACUGCAGAAAGAUUAAUAUCUGACAAAUCAGUUGAAAGCUUGUCUUCUUCAGUCAUGUGUACCUCAGUCUUGCCUUUUUUAUUUUGGUGGCCUUGUCCAUUUCUACUUCGGCAAUCCACAGCUCGAUGCCCUUGCUUAUUGCAAUUGAAGCACUUUCCCUUAAACUCCUUGGACUUCUUGGAGUUCCCUUGACUUGAGCCUUCUCUAGAGUGCUUCCUUUUCUUGUUAUUUUUGGACUCUUUUUCCACUAUGUUAGCCUUAGCUUCCAUUAUGGAUCCAGACUUUUUGUCAGCACGGCGAUUGUCCUCUUCGAUCCUUAGCCUUACUAUCAAAUCCUCAAGUCCCAUCUCCUUAUGCUUAUGCUUAAGGUAGUUUUUGAAAUCCUUCCAAGAGGGUGGUAAUUUUUCAAUGACAGUAGCCACUUGGAAAGACUCACUCAAUUCCAUCUUUUUUGCAUGUAUCUCAUGCAGAAUGAGUUGGAGUUCUUGGACUUGACUUAUGACAGUCUUGAAGUCUACCAUCUUGUAGUCAAGAAACCGAUCGACGAUAAAUUUCUUCAUUCCUGCAUCUUCGGUCUGGUAUUUCUUGUCUAGUGACUCCCAUAAAGCCUUGGCGGUCUAAAUUGGACUAUACACAUUGUACAGUGCAUCACGUAAACCAUUUAGGAUGUAGUUCUUGCAAAGGAAGUCAAACUGGUUCCAUGCAUCAGAAGCAGCCACUGUUUCUGUUGUAUCACCAGGUGCAGGAGGAUCUGCUUUCAGGAUAUGAGCCAAAUUCAAUGUGGUGAUGUAGAACAACAUCUUUUGUUGCCAUCUCUUAAAAUCUAUCCCAUUAAAUUUUCCAGGCUUCUCUACAUGAUUAUGGGAUGAAGGCAACACAACAGCAGGUGCACUUGUCUUCACAGAAAGACCCACUUUCUGUAUCUCAUUCGACAUUUUCCUUAAUUGAGUCAACAAACUCAAUGUCAAUAAACAAAUAUUCGGCAGUUUUUAAAUAGAUAAAUAAUGGUACACAGCAGUGCAAUAAAAAUUAAGCAGACAACAAAACCUAUAUAAAAUUAUAGCAAAUACAAUCUGACAAUUAUAUAAAAUGCUAUAUCCAAUUGUACAGUAAGAAUUAAAGUAUGCAAAUUAAUAUAAUUUAAAUUAAUAAACAGGAAAAAUAAAUAAUAAACGAUAUAAACUACUGGGAAUGAAAUUCUAUUUAAAGGGAGCCUUGUAUAACAACAAUCAGACGUGUGUGGCAAUUUCAAUAUUGUAGGUUCCAAUCAAAACAGUAAACCUAAUAGUGUUAGAUCAAUGCAACUUUAAAGUGUAGACAAGAAAAAAGGAAAGGAAAACCAACUAAAAUGAAAAUCAAUUAAAAAAAAAUGCUGUAAUUCAAAGGGAAGAUUUUCUAUUGUAUAUAAACUUUGUCUAACAAUAGAAAGAGAAUGCAAUCAGAAUUUGUUUGUGGCAAUAUUAAUUUCGUGGGUCCCGAUUAUGAUAAAAGGAAAAGAGAACUAACUAAAAGGAAUAGUCCUGAUCUCUUGGACUAUAGGGGUCCAAGAGAUUUGUGGUCACUCACUGUUGGAUGUAAAUUCAACGAUUCACUCACUCUUGCACUCCUUUUAAGAAACUUUUUUGAACCAUUGGAUUAAUAUUCAACGGUGGGUGACCAUAAUCUCUUAGACUCCUGUGGUCCAAGAGAUCGGGAUUGCUAAAAGGAAAUCAAUUAAAAACAAUUGAAUGAAUAAUCAGCUAAAUUUUAAAAAAUAAAAAUAAAAAAAAAACUCAAAUCAGCAAUGUAGUACAGCACGCAAAAAUUCAAACUGUUUUGCACUUUUUCAUCUAAAAGCAUAAACACAUACUAAUAUAUCUAGCAAUUAACACAGACUACUGUAUAUAGCAACUAACAUAGAGUGAUUCGUCUUAAGAUUGUUGGAAAUAUGAGUGCUAAAUUGUUAUAAAAUAAAUAAAUAAAUACUAUAAACAAAACAUAUUUUUACAACAGUUGAAUGGAAUUAAAAGAACCUUAAUUGAGUCGAGGCAAGUGUUGGACACUCUGACCUUAAGACGAAUUACGCCCUAUACUGGUGCUUAUGGUUCACUAGCGUUCGCCUCCCAGGAUACAACAACUCCCCUUCUUAUGAAAGAAGCACUGUAAUUCACAAGGAACUUUGAACCAAAAUUAUGCAGAAACCUCUCUUUAUGAAAACUCUAAUGCUCUCUAUAUAUGAAAGUAUGUAUGUAGAGAAUUGAUUGAAUGAAUAAAACUGUAGGAGGAUUGCUCUAUUUAUAGAUGAUGAAAUACCCUUUCCAAAAAGGUAUCCCAAUCUAAAAAGGCAAACAAUGCAUCCCUUGGUCCAAAGAGUUGUCAUCCCAAACAAUGCAUCUCUUGGUUUAAAGAGUUGUCACCCUCCAAUUGAAGAUGUCUCUAAUCCAAGGGUCAUGUCCCAAUGGAUUUUAUUAAUUUCCAUUCAAAUAGAAAAUUAAUAUUAAAUUUCUCACACUCUCACCUUUGGCUCAAACCUGAUUUGAUGCCUUAACUUUCUCACGUUACAAUAACCUAGCGCUAAAGUACCUAUUUAUAUGUUAUAGGGCUUUAGUACAAUUAUACAAGGAAUAGGAAACUUAAAGCACUCCAAAACUAGGAGAAAAUAUGUCUAGAUUCGCCAAGUAUAUGUGCUAGAUUUGUGCCUCCCGCUCACCACUCGCCUGUGUUUGCUCGAGUCUGAAUUUUGCCACUCGAGUAGGCGCUCAAGCGCUUGGGUCUAGGUGAGAUGUAUCGCUCUGCCUCUCGAGCACCUGUAGUUUCUACUUGAGCGGCAGAGCCUAGUCAAAACUACUACAGCUUUUUUGACUGUCUGUUUCCUUCACUCCUUCCAUAUCUUUAAAUGAAACAACAUCAACAAUCUCCACCUUGGCAAGCCUUAAACACCUUGUGAAAAUUAUUUACCCCUAGAAUCUCUUCAAACCUCUUGGAAACUGUUCUAGUAAUUCCCAAUAGCUUCACCUCAAUCUUUAGCAUGUAACAAGAUUAAGCAAGCUCAAAUAAUGUCUGAACUUCUCAGUUGCAAUCCAAAGCGUUCUCAUCCGUAUGAACCAUCUCUAUUGCAAUGUCCCCAUCGUUCGCCUAAUCUCUUAUCCGGUGUUACCGUACAUCAAUAUGCUUAGGCAUUCCUUGAAACACUUGAUUCUUGACUAAGCAUUUAACACUUUGACUGUUACUUUGUAUCACCACCAAGUCUUGGGCUAUCCCGAACUCUUUAGCCAAUCUUGUUAGCCAUAAUGCCUCUUUAGAAGCCUCUGUUAGCCGCAUAUACUCCUCUUUGGUAGUAAACAAAGCAGUAACUGAUUGUAGCACCACUCUCCAACUAAUUGGUCCUCCACCACAAGUGAAAACAUACAACCCAAUUAAUGAUUGGAAAAUGCUAGGUUUACCACAUUGUUCAUACCACAUUGUGUACCACCUCUCUAAUAGAGGUGGGCUCCACCUCUAUUAAAAAGAUAAUACACAAUAUAGUAUAAAAAUGUGAUAAACCUAACAUUACCCUUAAUUAUUUGCGCAGCCGCGCAGCAAACAUAUAAUAUAUAACAAGUAUAGUAGAAUAAUAGUAAUGGUUCUAGAAGUCAAUAAACUACAACCCAAUUAAUUAUUUUGAAAGGUGUCCAUAGGUACAGCCGUGCAGCAAACAUAUAAUAUAUAACAAGUAUAGUAGAAUAAUAGUAAUGGUUCUAGAAGUCAAUAAACUACAACCCAAUUAAUUAUUUGAUCGUUUGGAUUCCAAUUUCUAGCAAGUUUACACCGUCCAUAUUAUUCCUGCAAUUAACUCAUUGACCAAAUUGUCUAUAAAUACCACACAGCACUCACCAAUAUUCUCACAAUCAAUACACUUACUCAUCAGUUCAUAUUUUACAGACCGAAACAGAGAAAAGGCAGAGCAUUUUCUUUUGAAGCUUUACUUCCUUCCACUAAAAGAAAUCAACAUGGCUUGGAAAACAAAUGAUGCUGAAUCUUUGCAAUCCUCUGAUGAGCUGAAACGCCAGAAGAAAAUUAAAAUGGCCAUAUAUAUUACUAUUUUCGUUGUGUUUCAGAUCAUAGUUAUCACCACGAUGAGUCUCACUGUGAUGAAAGUCAAGACCCCCAAGUUCAGGCUAGGCAGCAACAUCAACGUCCAAAGCUUUGAAUCAGUCCCGGCAACGCCUUCAUUCGACAUGAAAUUCACAACCCAAAUCAGGAUCAAGAACUCAGCCAACUGGGGUUCCUACAAGUUCAAUGCUGCCAAUGUCACGUUUCAAUACCAAGGCGCAACUGUGGGAGUAAUUAAUAUCGCAAAGGGCAAGGCUGGAUGGCUUUCGACCAUAAAAAGAAAUGUGGAGGUAAGUUUGAAUUCAAGUGAAAUAACUGGUUCAAAUCUUGGCAGCGAAUUGAGCCGCGGGGUGUUGACGCUCAACAGCGUAGGCAGAUUGAAUGGAAAAGUUGCAAUUAUGUUCAUAAUGAAGAAGAAGAAGGCUACCAACAUGAACUGCACCAUAGCUUUUGAUGUGGCAGCCAAGACGCUCAAAUCUUUACAAUGCAAAUGAGCAGAGUAGCUAAGCAUCCAGGAUGCAUCUUCAGCAUUUGGAUUGCGACUAGCUAGUUCUUGAUUUGUGACUCUUCUUAUUCUUUUUAUUCUUUGUAUCUGUGUGGCGAUUGGAUUUGUCAUAGAGUUUUAAUGGUAUUUGUUUUCAUUACCACUCCCCUGUAGUUAUUCCAUGAUGAUCUAUUCUAUGACACUUAAUUAUCAUCAAUUGUUCUUGUAAUGAUGAUAACUUAUAUUCAUGUACGCCUUGAUUUAUUAUAUAAUUUUUAGUUUUUUAUACUCUGCUUCUUUAAAGUUGUUGAAAUUAUUCUCUAAUGGUGGGUGCAAGAAAACUAUUGUCCUGGAGACUGCAUAAUUGAAAACAUUGAAGUCACCCAAACCAAAUGCAGUUGCUUUUGAUUCGACAACUAUCGUCUGUGAUACUUGUUGCCGUUCUGUUUUUGUUAUUUUGUUCUGGAUUAGGGUUUUUCGUUUUGUAUAUACUUGUUCCUUUGACACGGCACGGAAGCACUAUUAAAGAAUAAUCCGCUGGUCAAUCUAAAAACAAAAUAAAAAUAAAAAGGAUAACGAAGGAGCAGUAAAAUGUAGUUGGUGUGGCUGAUGAUCUAAUCACAUAGAAAGGUUUGCUAAUUGUUUAGUAUGGCAUGAGGUAAAGAGCCUCAACAUGAAUCAGAUGAACAGAAAAAUGGAAUUGUAGCACAAAACACAACUUGAGGGAAAAUUCUGUGGUGCCUCAGCUGUACCGGUACAGCCAGCUAUCCAACGGUUGAGGUUCCAUGUUAAAAAAGGAUGGCUGAGAUUCAAUGACCUAAUGACCUCUUCAGCCAUUGUGAUUCAGCAUGUGAGUGGCAUGUGAGGAAAGAGAAAGGCAGGUUUGGAGGAGAAGAAGACGCGACCAGUCCGCUCCAUUCUGGUUUCCCAAAUCGAACACAACAUAGGGAACUAGAGGACUCUGUGAGACCCCAUUUCUGUCUACCUCUGUGAAUACUGAGUUUUCGGAGCAGUAGAGACUCGGGCUUUAGCCCUUUCAUUUGAAGUGAAGGGGGGCUUACAGAAGUCACAGCACCAGAGGAAACUGUACAUGAAGCCGAUCCAAUCCGUAGCGCCUCCAGGAGCUCUUCUCUGUGCUUGCCCAAAUUCAAUCCUUAGCAACUCCUGUCUGUGCUUGGGCAAAACGCAUCUGCAAGAAGGUAAUGGUAAUAGAAUUGAGGUCCUCAACUCUUCUCUCUAGUUGCCCGAAACUGAAAUGCAGAUACCAAAUUGAUGGUGGGUCCAACCUCCAUGAUGAAAUGGUCACCAAAUUGGAGGGAUUUAAGUAAUUUAGUAUGGGCUGUUGGCAUUGUGUGAUAUAUAAUUAAAAUUUUGCAGGGGAAUGGAUUUGUAAUAAUAAUGUGGUUGUAAAGAUUUUGAAGAUCCUUGGCUGUUAACGACGAAAUUUGAGGUGGUGGCAAAAGGAAGUGAAAGGAGGAGGCUUUGAAAGUAUGGAAACAUCAAGUAAGAUGUCAAAGAACCCUAUUUUCUGGUUUAGGACUUGAAUGUAUUUUGGGUAUUGAGUUGAUGCAAUUGCAUGUUUUUAGUUGCGAAACAGUUAUACGUGGUCAAUUAUUGACCUUAGUAUGUGCAAUAGCAUGACAUUAUUCAUUUGAGUUUUUUUUUUAAGAGAAAGUAUGUUAGCACAUAGAGUAUAAUGUAAUUUCAGUUUGAAAUUAUGUUUCUCAGGCAUGGAGAGGUCUGGUAAGAUGGACAGGGGUGGAGAGACAUCAAAGGGUGGUUAUAGUGAUUCAGGGUAUUUGGAUGGUUGUGAAAGGUCAAGUCACAGGGCACCGGCAACAGAGAGUGGGCAUAUGUCGGUCGAACAUAUGGUUAGUGAAAGUAGUGAUGAUAAUGGUGUUGACAUUAUUGCACCGAGGAAAGAAGAUGUUAUGGGGAAAGAGUUUAAAACGAUAAAAUUAGCGGAAGAAUAUUAUAUGAGUUAUGCGAAGGGCAUUGGAUUUAGCGGGAGAAAAAACAAAUUGGUUCGAAAUUCGGAAGGGAAAGUAUGUAGGAGACGGUGGUGUUGUUCUAAAGAAGGUUUGAGAAAUGAGAAGUUUAAUGAUCGAUCAAAUAGGAUGGUAGAUAUUUUAAUAAGCAUAGUUUUGUUUGUCUUUGCGCUAUACAUUAAUCAGCGUAGCGUUGUUAAGCUUUGUUCAGUUUGCACACAGGGGAUCAGUAUUUGCAUUGAACACAUGCAAUUGCAUGACGAUGAUGCAAUGCAAGUCCUUCUGUGCGCAAACCCCUAAUUGUUCAGAAAAAUGAAUCUUAUUCUUUUGUACAGGCAUAAUUACACCUGUUUUUUAAACUAUAAAUCGAAGGUCAAAAUUAACCGAAAUACAGAGCAUGAGAAACGAUAAGGGGCAAUAAGCCGAACAUAUUAUAUUACAAAGCGACCAAUUAUCGAAAUUACGUUGUAAUACACAUUGUCAUGUAGCACAUUUGACUUGAGGGUAGAUCCCGAAUUGUGUAAAACACAAUGUCAUUAACCCUAAUAUUGAAUAAUAGACAUAGGGUCAACUAAGUGUUUGCUUGGUUUUGUUUGUCUUUGCGCUAUACAUUAAUCAGCAUAACGUUGUUAAGCUUUGUUCAGUUUGCACACAGGGGGUCGGUAUUUACAUUGAACACAUGCAAUUGCAUGACGAUGAUGCAAUGCAAGUCCUUCUGUGCGCAAACCCCUAAUUGUUCAGAAAAAUGAAUCUUAUUCUUUUGUACAGGCAUAAUUACACCUGUUUUUUAAACUAUAAAUCGAAGGUCGAAAUUAACCGAAAUACAGAGCAUGAGAAACGAUAAGGGGCAAUAAGCCGAACAUAUUAUAUUACAAAGCGACCAAUUAUCGAAAUUACGUUGUAAUACACAUUGUCAUGUAGCAUAUUUGACUUGAGGGUAGAUCCCGAAUUGUGUAAACUAAUAUUGAAUAAUAGACACACAUUAAUAUAGAAGUGUAUUUAGUGGAUUUGGUUUCUAGUGCAUAUCCCUUGGUACAAGGCCUAGGUUCGAGUCAUAGUUAUGUGCAUAUAUUUGUAAUUUUAUUCCCUUUUUAUUAUAAGAACAAAAUUUUAAAUAGUUUUAAAAAAGAAGCACGUGAAAAAUAUAAGAGGAUAGAUCCAAUUAAACCAACAAUAGUAUAUAUCGCACCCAUACAUUUUUUCCUUAAAAAAUAAUAAUAGUAAUUUCUUCAACUCAAAACAAAACACCCAUUCAUGUCUUCUUCUUUCUCGUGAACUUUUAUUUACUUAACAAAUGCACUCCCUGCGUUCGCCUGAAAAAUAGCUCAUUUGUUUGAAAAACUAAGUUAGUGGGGUCCAUUUUCCAAGGGAACGGUAACUUUACUCAACGAAAGUGCCCAUUGCGUUCGCGUGAAUAAAUAUCUCAUUUGUUUGAAAAAGUAAGUUAGUGAGGUCCAUUUUUCCAGGGAACGGGCAACUUUACUCAACGAACGCAACCCCUACGUUCGCGUGAACAAAUAGCAUGUUUAUUUGAAAAAGUAAGUUAUUUGGGCCAAUUUUACCGAGGAACGAGCAACUUUUCUCAACGAAAGCAACCUCUGCGUUCACGCGAACAAAUAACCUGUUUGUUUGAAAAAGUAAGUUAUUUGGGCCCAUUUUUAUGGGGAACGGGCAGCUUUACUCAAUGAACGCAAACCAUUGUGUUCGCAUGAACAAAUAACUCGUUUGUUUGAAAAAGUAAGUUAGUUGGGCCAAUUUUUCCGAGGAACGAGCAACUUUACUCAACGAACGCAACAUCUGCCUUCGUGUGAACAAAUAGCCCAUUUGUUUGAAAAAGGAAAUUAGUUGGGCCCAUUUUUCUGGGGAACGGGAGAUUUUACUCAACGAACGCAACCCAUUGCAUUCGUAUAAACAAAUAGCCCGUUUGGUUGAAAAAGUAAGUUAAUUGGGUAUACUUUUGGGGGAAACGGGCAACUUUACUCAAUGAACGCAGCCCCUGCGUUUGUGUGAACAAAUUGCCAUUUGUUUGAAAAAGUAAGUUAGUUGGGCUCAUUUUUCCGGGGAACGGGCAACUUUACUCAACAGAUGCAACACCUGCGUUUGCGUGAACAAAUAGCUCGUUUGUUUGAAAAAGUAAGUUAGUUGACCCAUUUUCUCCAUGAACGGGUAACUUUACUCAACGAACGUAACCCCUGCGUUCGCGUGAACAAAUAGCUCGUUUGUUGGAAAAAGUUAGUUAGUUGGGUCUAUUUUUCCGGGGAAUGGGUAACUUUACUCAACAAACACAACUUUUGCAUUUGCGUGAACAAAUAAUCCGUUUAAUUAAAAAAAGUAAGUUAGUUGGGCCCAUUUUUCCUGGGAACGAGAAACGAGGAACGGGCAACUUUACUCAACGAACGCAACCCCUGCGUUCGCAUGAACAAAUAGCUCAUUUGUUUGAAAAAGUAAGUUAGUUGGGUCCAAUUUCCUUGGAAACGCCAACUGUAUUCAACGAACGCACCCCCUGCAUUUGCGUGAAAAAAUAGCGUGUUUGUUUGAUAAAGUAUUUUAGUCCGUCAAAUUUUCCGGGGAACGACGAACUUUACUCAACAAGUGCUCCCCUUGCGUCUUCGAAGUAAAAUACCUUGUUUGUUGAGUAAAUCAAGGAGUUCGUUGGGUAAUUUGGUCAACGAACAACAUUAUUUACUUGACGAACGAGUCGCUUAGCGUUCUUUAGGUAGGUUUGUUGGGCAUAAAUUACUGAAUAUAACUUUCAUAAUUUACAAAGAACCAAGGUAAAAUGAAGGAUUAUUUAAGGAGUUACUUCCUCUACAUUUCAACUCAAAGACUUCCACCUCUUUUGUACUUAAUCCAUUAUUCAAACACAAUCUGAGAGACAAAAACAGAAAACCCAAACAAUGUCACAUUCAAUGGUUGGUAGCUCAAGAGGCUCCACCACACCUAAGAACAAGAGGUUGGGUGAUGAUGGUGUUAAUUCUUCGAAUUAUGUCCGCCAACAAGUCAAACGAGCCCAUGAUGUCACGAAGCCUCCCACCGAGGCUAGUAACAACAUCUUUGAUGAAGGAGAUUCAACGACCAAGUACCACAUUUACAAUGGCGGGAUUGAGAUCGGCUUUGAGAUGUUUAGGAAAUACGCUCAGCUUGAUGGUGGUUCAACUAAGUGGGACAAAAUCCAGGUAUACGAAGCAAUUGCUAUUUUGGAGAAGCGAGCUCCGUGAAACACCGGUAUUGUAUGAUUUAUUUGGUGUUGGUUGUCAUCAUUUCUGAUGUCAUUUCAGAUGUUAUAAUUUCAGCCAUAAUAUCGGAUGUUAAAUGUUAGAAUCGGUAUGGUAGAAUAGUUUGAGGGUAUAAAAUGUACAAAAAAAUAACCCCAAAAUAUGGUUACGAGACCUUUAUUAUCAAUCUAGUAGGAACUCCUGUUUGGUAAAUGAAGUCGGGGCUUCAAUACCCUGCUAUCAUGUUCCCAUUGCGGCAACAAAAAAACUCUGGUGUGCAAUGUAUUACGUGAAGUAGAUAACGUCCAAUUGGCCGUCACAUAAUGCAAUUGUCCAUGACAUACUGCAAACACAACGUCCCUGUAUGCAAACAGGAAUACGUACAUGCAAUUGCACAACCUUAACCAUCAACCUUAUGUGCAUGCAGUUACAGUAUAUGGAACUAAUAAUAAUAAUAAUUUACUAUUAAAUAUAUAUUAUUCUAUAGAUAAUAUGUCUAAUUUAUAUAAUUCAUAUAGCAAUAUAUAUAAUAUAGAAUUUAUAUAUUUUUUACCUUUUUAUUUUCUACUAUUUCAUAUAUAGUUUCCUAACACAUAUAGAGCCCUUCCGGAACCCCUUCUUUCUUCUUGAACAUCACCUUUUCCUUUGCCUUCUUGAAGUCUAUAUGUGUCACCUGAUGCACACAAUUUAAAUGUAACACCCACGUUAAUUACAAUGAUUAAGCAACCAGUUGAAUCAAACACAGUAAGAAAUGAUAAACAAAUUUCAGAGAUUCAAGAUGGGGAAGGGAGGUUGGAAGAUCAAAGUGUCUUUCUCACCUUCAUACGGCGCUCUCUCAAAGCAAGCAAACCAGCUUCAGUACAUAUUGCCUUUAUAUCAGCCCCAGAGAACUCAUCCUUGGUCAUAACAAAUUCUUCUAAGUUGACAUCAUCAGCCAACGUCAUCCUGGAUGUGUGAAUCUGCAAUCAAUAGAUCCAAUCAUCGUUAGUCACAACCAUAAAAACUUGGCACGUUUGAUGUUGAAUUUGUUUCUUUCUUAUAAACAGUCAUGUCAAUUUACCUGGAAGAUGCGCCUCCUUGUUUUGAUAUCAGGAAGAGGGAAUUCAAUCUUCCUAUCUAUUCGGCCAGGACGAAGCAAGGCUGGGUCAAGACUCUCAAUUCUAUUUGUUGCCAAGAUCACCUUGACAUCUCCUCUUCAAUCAAAACCAUCUAACUGGUUCAGUAACUCCAACAUGGUCCUCUGAAUUUCACGUUCACCACCUGAAUGGGCAUCAUACCUGCAGACAAAAGAUCAUCUGGAACAUUUGAUUAACAGUAAUUUACAAUCUUUUCAUCAAUGUUCAGCGACUUGCAGCUCACCUCUUUGUACCAACUGCAUCAAUUUCGUUGAUGAAGACAAUGGAGGGUGAGAGGUCAUCAGCAACCCUAAAGAGUUCCCUCACUAAUUUCGGACCAUCCCCCAAGUACUUCUGAAUCAACUCACUACCAACAACACGUAAGAAAGUUGCUGAUGUUGAGUUUGCCACUGCCUGAAAAAAGUGAAAAUAUGCUUACACGCUGAGAAGAUAAUUUGACAAGAAGAGUGCAGAUACAACAAAUAUGCCAUAAGCAAACAUCAUUGAAAGGAACUCUGUGGGGCACGCAUAAUUUUCGUUAACUGUGACAAUAAAAUUUUGAAACUAGACAGGUCUUUGCAACAAAUUUUGUUGGUGCCUGCUCUGACCCAAAUGUCUAUUGUGAGUAUGAUAUCGGUGGGUGCAUGAGAGAGAGGUGCACCCACAAACAUACAAACAAACAGGAAAACUAGCAAAAGCAAUUGCUACUGGUGUCAGCAUUGCAAAAUACACAAAAAUUGUGACAGAAAUAGAGAGCAAACUAUAAUAUCACAAAAUGAGAAUAGAUGCAGCGACCUGUUGGAAGGAAAAUAUCAGUUUGAUGAUAUUUGACACCCAACUAAUGACAACUGCAUCCCUACGGCAUGUUGCAUACAGAAUAUGAUACAAAUUGGAAAACAACAUGGGAGACAAGUCUGAAAUCUUGCAACUUAAUUGAAACAGUGAAGCAGGUGACUGCACCCUGAUUUUUUUGUAACAUGUGCAAGUGGGGAGGAUAUUCUAGUGAACAAGACAGAACAAGGAUACCAAAAGAACAAAUAAAUACAAGCAAAAGUUGAGAUACGUGCAUACUUUGGAAAAAAAAAACUAUAUACUGUAAUUGCAUUCAAUGACUUGGAUUUGCAUACAGGCUAUUAGUAAUUGCAUACAGAAAUAUGCAAUUGCAUGAACAUUACAGCCAUCAAUGUCAGAUACCCACUUCACCUCACGCCACUUUCAGAAUCACAAACCCACCACAAUCAAAUCAUACACAAUCAGAGGCCUCAUGGGUAUUCAUAUAUACAAUCAGAUCAAGAGGCACUAUAACAACCCAGCAGAAAUGCACAGUGGGAAAAGAAAUACAAAAUUUGAAUAAUUAAUUUCUGGAAUUGUUCAAUGAAAAAACUGAAACAACAAUUCAAAAUCACUAGAAGAAUAAAUUAAAUAGAACCAUCAAUUACCCAUAACGAAAAUCAAGACACGAACUUACCGAGAUGGAGGAAGCAGCUGGAGAAGACGAAGUGGGUUUCUGGGUUUUGGUUGAAAUAUGCUCCUCAGAUGGAGAAGACGAAGUGGGGGGAGCUUCUUCAGGCUGUACGAAGCUGUGCAGCUGUGACUUCACCGAAAUAGAGCUGUGGCUGUGCAAAGCUAUGGAGGAGGAGAUAGACGAAAUCGAUCUGUGUGCAGCCUAGGUUUUGAACGCGCGGGAGCUUUUUUUUCCUUAUUUUCACUGGUUAACCAAAAGAACCAGUUUCACUUGUUUUUAAAAAAAGCCCACGUGACUAGCAUGUGAUGGGCUGUACAGGUACAGCCGGCGCACCACAGCCAAACUCUUGAGAUGAGAGCAUUGGACACAGAAGCUAGUCACAUCAAGGGAGACAUCUUUUGUUUUGUAAGACCUCCAUUGACGACAACUGAAAAUUACGUACAAAGUAUCUCUCCUUAUAUAGUCAGAAACCUGAAAGAAAGUAAAAGGAAAAACAGGAGCCUCUGGUUGAAGAGAAUAAAUAAAUCACAUUAUGAUUCUACAAAAAAAAUCCUACCUAAAACAGAGAGAAUAAUGCACAAAAUAAACAUCAAGAAAUAGGCUUCCUGCCUCACUUGCGCAACAAAUGGGGAAGGUGCAAACUCCAUCACUCACUGCUGACCUUAAUUUCUCAUUACUUGCAUUCCAAAGCUUGGAUUUCCUUUGUUGAAAAAUCAAAUUUCAUGGUGCAGUCCAUUGUGGCAGAACAUCAAUUACACUUUACCAGUCAACUUAGCUUCGCUGCUCAGUGUCGUCAACACCGCCGUGCUCAGUUCACUGCCAAGAUUGGAACUGCUUGGCAAUCCAUUUGAAUUCAAACUCACCUCCACAUUUAUUUUUUUGGUGUAAAGCAUUCCAGCCUUGCUCUUUGGAAUAGCAGUUUGUCCCACUGUCACACAGGGGCGGCCCUGGGGUGGUGCAAGUGGCGCCAGCGCACAGGGCCCCUUAUUUUUUAGGGCUCCCAAACAAAAUUUUCCUUGAUAUUAUACUUUAGCGUGCUGCAUAUUAUCACAAAUGUGUGUGUGGCGGACCUGGCUUUGUAGCGCAUAUCCCUUAAUAGAAGGGCCAGUGUUCGAGUCUCAUUGAAGUCAUUCUACCCGAUGUGAAUGAUAGUCUUUUAAAUUUUGGGGAAAAAACUCUUGUAAUAGUUUUAAUUCUUCAAAUAAACAUAACAAAUACAAUGUGAAUGAUUUUUUAAUAGUAAGGUAUGUUGUUGUCAUUACAUGUUUAUUAAUAAUGACUUUUAGUUAUAAGUAUUUUUGUAUUAGAUUAUGUAAGGCCCUAAUUUAAGUUUUGCACAAGGCUCUCAAAAUCUCGGGGACAGCCCUGCUAUCACACUCCGAUAUUGAAACGCGACAGUGAUUGCAUCGAACUUGUAGGGACCCUCACAUUUUCCAGGAAAUUCAUUCCACCUCGUACUAUAAAUAAGAGACUACUCUUCCAUCAUUUCCACAAACAACUCCCUCCAUUUCCAAGUUUCAUAUCUUAGAAAACCGAACUCCUCAAAAGCAGAGAAUUUUAUUUUCAUUGAUAUCAGAAAAAGAAAAACCGAGCAACAUGGCAGAGAGGACUCAACAGGCUUAUCCUUCGGCACCAGCAAACCAUGGUUACCAAAGAAGUGAUGCAGAGUCUUUGGAAAAUGCUGAUGAGCUGAAACGCAAGAAGAAAAUCAAAAUGGCCAUAUAUAUUGGUAUUUUUGUUGUUUUUCAGAUCAUAGUUAUUACCACAAUGAGUCUCACUGUGAUGAAAGUUAAGACCCCCAGGUUCAGGCUAGGCAACAUCAACGUCCAAAGCUUCGAAUCUGUCCCAGCAACGCCUUCAUUCGACACAAAAUUCACAACCCAAAUCAAGAUCAAGAACUCAGCCAACUGGGGUUCCUACAAGUUCAAUGCUGCCAAUGUCACGUUUCAAUACCAAGGCGAGACUGUGGCAGUAAUUAAUAUCGCAAAGGGCAAGGCUGGAUGGCUUUCGACCAUAAAAAGAAAUGCGGAGGUGAGUUUGAAUUCAAGUGGAAUAACUGGUUCAAAUCUUGGCAGCGAAUUGAGCAGCGGGGUGUUGACGCUCAACAGUGUAGGCAGAUUGAAUGGAAAAGUUGCAAUUAUGUUCAUAAUGAAGAAGAAGAAGGCUACCAACAUGAACUGCACCAUAGCUUUUGAUGUGGCAGCCAAGACGCUCAAAUCUUUACAAUGCAAAUGAUUAGAUUUGCGAGAUCAAGAUUGGUUCUUAAUUCGUCAUUUGUUAUUAUUUUGCCUUUGUGUACUCCUUCGAUUUGUUUUAUACGAUUGAAUAUAGAAACAGAUGCUUACUUAUCUUCUUCUUAAUCGAGUCCAAUCACAAAAUUCUACUAGAACUACAUAAUUUUGAACACUUAAGAGACAGAAGAAGCAUGAAACCGACUUAUAUAUGUUGGAUUUGAUUGACUUCAAAAUUGGAACAAAUUGGACUAGAUCAGUAAGCUUAACGGAUUGAAUAGAUUUGAACAACCCUAUAAAAAGGUGGGAGUAAAAAAAAACCAUACUUCUUAAAGCGUGCGCUCAAGCCUUGCCAACAUAAUGCAAGACUGGACUUGAGUAUUAAUUUGUUUCCUCUGUUUCUGUUUGGUCAGACUCUUUUGGGUUGUUGUUCUUUGUGUUCUGAGUUCAAAUGUGUGCCCUUCCCUGUUUGGUGAUGGUUUCUGCUCUGCCUAGGGAGUUUGUUCCCUCGGUUUUGCUUGUGUUUCAACUCUAAACUCCCACCACGUUUCUUUGCUUUGUCUACUUCAACAAUGGCUAGAUUAAAGGAAAUAAAGGCAUUCAUUGUCUUGCAUGACAAACAAACACACAGGGGUGGCUUGACUUUCAGCAUUACAACAUUAGGGAUAUGCUAGGAAAACAAUGUUGGCUCGUUUUUACAUGUUCAUACUCUUUGUUAGCAAAUGUGCAUCGCAAGGCUACAUAUUAUCCACCCGGGUUCUUCCUCGAUGCUGUUCUUUUUUAUUUUUUUGGUGUUUAUUGGCUCUCGCAAGUUUACUACAGUAGUUGUUGUGGGAAUGUUGGCUUCUUCUGCGGGGAGAGUUGGAUAAACUAAUGAGUUUAGAGGAUAUUAUUAACCAAGCUUUCCAGAAAAAUGCCGAAAUGUAACAAACGCGCAUAGUUUGUGUUUUUGACUUGAAAUUUAUUCUUCUAGAUGAGGAGCUUGGUCAACUUGUAGGUUCCUGCUUGAAAACGAAGCCUUUAUGGUCACAUAGCUAACAAAGAAAACGAUAUGCUAUCUGAUGACUUUUUACAGAUAUAUCCUCGUUUGUGUUGUCUUCCAAGCCCUCUAAGCUUUCUAUUAUUCUACACUUUGUUUUUCCUUGUUUGUGUCGUGAGUCAAUUAAAAUAGGCUUCCAAACCUAUGCGCGUUGUUGCAUUAAUUUGAUUUCCAGGAAGCUGACACUCAUCGUUUCCUCCAAACACUAUAAAUACCACGCACAACUCUGCCAACAUUCACAAACAAAACACUCUUUGCUCAAUUUCAUACUUUAGAGUUCAGCCAAAAGCUUCGAGAAAAAAAAAAAAAAAAAACUAAGCAUUUCAUUUCAAAGCUUUCUAGUGAAAGAAAUUCAGAUGGCAGAGAAGAACCAGCAAUUCGCAGCAGCCAAUGGCUACUCCAGAAACGAUGCAGAAUCUGCCACAUUGCAAUCCGAGGAGGAGCUGAAACGCCAGAAGAGAAUCAAAAUGGCCAUAUAUAUUAGUAUUUUUGUUGUUUUUCAGAUCAUAGUUAUUACCACAAUGAGUUUGACUGUGAUGAAAGUUAAGACCCCCAAGUUCAGGCUAGGCAGCGACAUCAACGUCCAAAGCUUCAAAUCUGUCCCCGCAACGCCUUCAUUCGACAUGAAAUUCACAACCCAAAUCAGGAUCAAGAACUCAGCCAACUGGGGUUCCUACAAGUUCAAUACUGCCAAUGUCACGUUUCAAUACCAAGGUGCGACUGUGGGAGUAAUUGAUAUCGCAAAGGGCAAGGUUGGAUGGCUUUCGACCAUAAAAAGAAAUGCGGAGGUGAGUUUGAGUUCAAGUGGAUUAACUGGUUCAAAUCUUGAAAGCGAAUUGAGCAGCGGGGUGUUGACGCUCAAUAGCGUAGGCAGAUUGAAUGGAAAAGUAGCAAUUAUGUUCAUAAUGAAGAAGAAGAAGGCUACCAACAUGAACUGCACCAUAGCUUUCGAUGUGGCAGCCAAGACCCUCAAAUCUUUAGAAUGCAAGUGAUCAGCCAGCAUUUAAUUUUCAAGAUGAAGAGUAGCUCUUCAUUUGUGAUUCUGUUUUAUUAUUAUUUUUUUCAUUUUUUAGUUUUGCUAUAUGUUUGAAUCCUUUGAUUUUUUGGCUAUAGAAAAUGGUAUUGAUUCAUUUAUUUUUAACCACUGAAGGCACUCCCUGUAUUUCCUUAUUUCCUUUCUUUUUAUACAAUAGUGAACACAGAAAACAUACAAAAUGCUUGAUUUCCAUAAAUGCUAACUUGGGCUAUCAGAAUCUGAAAGUGUCCAUGGAAAUAACAAGUCUUGUAAGAAUAUUAGCAAGUUGGCAACUAAGAGUAGCUGUCAAAUAAAGCUCCCAAUAUUUAUUUAAUUAAUGCACUCAUGAAAUACAUCCAACAUAGUCACAGAAAAGAUGCUAGCAGCCAACAACUUGGCUAAAAGAAGAGCCGCCUUGAGGUAACCAUCAUUAAACAAGAUUCUAAAGAUAGGGUGGGUUGGGGAAAUACGAGAAGGGUUAUGGGCAAUUUUAGGAACAAUAAGGGGUGCGAUGAGUAGAUUUUUUUAUUUAUUUUUUCAUAUGGUUGGGGUAUAAAGAUAGGGGGUGGGUGGGGAAUAGGAAUGGAGGGUGGCAAAAGAAUCACUCCGAAAUAAUUUUCUUUUCUUUUGUGGGGAACUUGUGUCACCAAAGAUUUCAAUAGAAAUAUCUCGGAUGUAGAGGUAAUUAAUCUUAAUUACUUAUCACGUAUGUUUUUCUCUAUCUAACGAUUGAUAUGUUAAUUUAUCUUUAAUUAUUAAAACAUACGAUCCCUUACUUCUCCUCAACAAUUAGGUGAAAAUUAAUUAAUUAAGUAGCUUCACAUGUUGAGUACAGCCUGUUUGAAUAAAACUCAUCAUAUUCACGUUCUUCACCUGGCUGAAGGACAAAGUAUAUAAUAUCAUAUGGUCCCAAUUGAAUGCCAUUGAAGCUUCAAUAGAUAAAAUAAGAAUAUACUUUUUCAUCUUUUAUCAAAAGCAAUGUCCAUGCAACCAUGUAGAAGUCAAGAAUCUCAUCCAAGAGUGUUAGUAUUCUCAUUUGAAAUAUAAAACUCCAAAAAAAAGGUGGUCCUUUUGUUUCCAAGAAGAACUCACCUAUACUUAUUCCUUUCCAAUUCAAGUAAUACAUGAAUUAGUCAAAAAUGUCCAAACCCUAUAAACGUACACAUUGCUAGCAUAACCAAAUAGAGAACUCCUCCUCUCCACUUCUCAAUCCAUCUUUGGGAAGGAAAACCAUAAAAAGAAAAAUGGCUGAUAAGUAUAAUCACAGGGAACCAGUUCAUGGACAUCCCAGAAGAGAUGAAGAAUCGACGGCUUUGCAAUCCGAGGAGCUCAAACGCCAGAAGAGAAUCAAGAUGUACAAAUACAUUGUUAUUUUCAUUGUGGUUCAGCUCAUAGUCCUGCCCGUGUUUGGACUGACUGUGAUGAAAGUUAAGACCCCAAAGUUCAGGUUGGGCAACAUCAAGGUCCAAAACCUCAGCUCUGUGCCAUCAACACCUUCAUUCGAAGCAAGCUUCGCAACCCAAAUUAGAGUCAAGAACACAAAUUGGGGUCCUUAUAAGUUUGAUGCAGGAACUGUCACGUUUAUGUACAAAGGCGUGACCGUAGGGCAAGUUGUUGUUCCUAAGAGCAAGGCUAAGAUGCGUUCUACCAAAAAGAUCGAUGUCACGGUGAGUUUAAAUUCGUAUGGAUUGCCAAGCAGUUCCAAUCUGGGCACUGAAUUGAAGAGUGGGGUGCUGACAUUGAGCAGCAAAGGGAAAUUGACUGGAAAGGUUGUGUUGAUGUUAAUGAUGAAGAAAAGGAAGUCUGCUACCAUGGACUGCACCAUGACAUUCGACUUGUCAACCAAGACUCUCAAAACAUUACAAUGCAAGUGAUCAUACAAGCUAGGCAGUGAGUGCACGUGAUCAAGACACGAGAUAUUCGAAUUUGACACCUCAUACCGCUACAAUAAUUGAUUACAUGUUCAGGAUUUGGAUUGCGAGAUCAAAACUAGUUCUUAAUUUGUUAUUCUAUUGUUAUUUUGUGUGUGAAGCUUGAAUUUGUACAGACCUAUAUAUAUAGUGAUAUUUAUUUCAUUAUAUAAACAUCUGUAAUGCCAAGAAAUUAUUUUUUUUCCAACCCCUUUUUCUUUUGUCUUUUACUUAAAUAUCUGUAUAUCAAAACAGAGAUGAUUAAUUAAUUGCAAUAAUAUAAUAUUUCUCCUAAGUUAAUAUCUGUAUAUCGAAACAUAUCAUAUUAGAUAUUCGUCAACAAAAUUACUUAUAUGUACACACAAGUGGACAAUAUAACAAGUUUUUUUGAUCGAAAUACCAUUAGACGAACGAAGAAUUUAUUGGUAAUAUAGAAGGCAACUUGAGUUGGACUAAUUAGACAAUAAUAUCAUACCCCACCCCCAACAAGAGGCACAACUUGCAACUUGUCCAUAGGGGACAAGUUAUAGAGGUCUUAUCUGUAAUGCCAACCGGAGUUAGCGUGGGAUUGGAUCCAAUUUCGUGGAAUUUUGACCACUUUAUUUAACGUUUUCAUUACUUUCAAAGACUACAAUUUUGCAAUCUCUAUGGUCUUCCCAUUACUAGGCGUUUUAAUAUCAUUUUAUUUUAGUUAUUUAUCUAUUUGGGUAAGAAUCUUCAAUCUGUCAAACGUUAUAUUACUCAAGUUUACAGCGAAAAAGCUAAGACAGAAUCAGUUCAAAUCUUCUUCGUAAAAUAAAUAAAAGACUGCUCUAACAAUCUGUAUAUAAUAAAAAAGCAUAACUACAAAAUUACACUUUGGUAUGCAUAUACACCCAAACAAUUUUAUUUAUAAAAAACAGCAGAAGUUCAAAUUUGCAGAAACAUAAAACAAGUACAAAUUACUAUAUCUAGAUCUGUUUUCACUUGCAGUGUACAGGGCUGACGGACUGCUCAUUCACAUGAAAAGCUAUGGUGCAGUUCAUGUUGGUAGCCUUCUUCUUCUUCAUUAUGAACAUAAUUGCAACUUUUCCUUCCAAUCUACCAACGCUAUUGAGCAUCACUUCGCUUCCAAGAUUUGAACCAUUUAUUGCAUCUAAAUUCAAACUCACCUCCGCAUCUCUUUUUAUGGUCGAAAGCCAUCCAACCUUUCCCUUUUCGAUAUCAAGUACUCCCACAAUCUUGCCUUGGUGUUGAAACGUGACAUUGGAAGCUUUGAACUUGUAGGAACCCCAGUUGGCUGAGUUCUUGAUCUUGAUUUGGGUUUUGAAUUUCAAAGACGUUGCCUCGUCAGAUUCAACGCUGAUGUUGCCUAGCCUGAACUUUGGGGUCUUUACUUUCAACACAGUGAGACUCAUUAUGGUGAUAACUAUGGUCUGAAACACAACAAAAAUAGCAAUAUAUAUGGCCAAUUUGAUUCUCUUCUUGCGCUUCAGCUCAUGAGAGGACAGCUGAGACUCUCCAUCGGAUCUUGUGUAACCUGUAUUUGCUGAUCCUGAAGGGUAAGUCUGGUUGGUUUUAUCCGCCAUCUUAAUUUCUUGUGCUGCAAAGAAAAGUGCUCUGCUUUUCCUCUGUUUUCUCUCGUUAAAAGUAUGUAUGAAAUGAUGAGCAAAAUGUAUUGGUUGUGGGAAUAUUGGUGAGCGAUGUGUGGUAUAUAUAAUGUUUAGGCAAUCUCUUUGGUUAGAGUAAUAUCUACGGUGUAAGUUUGCUGGAAAUUGGGACCACUACAACACGCAGAUAAUUAAGUUGUAGUUUAUUGACUUCUGGUACUCAACGACGAGAAGAUUAAUUUACCAUUUAUAUUAUUUAUAUGAUUUAUUUAUUUAUAUAUCAAAGGGCAUGGACCCUUCCACGAUGUUAACAUGCGGAGAAAAGAAAAACCAAGUACCUGAAUUUUCGGAGAAAGAAUACUCAGCACCACAACCCAGACAAGGAUUUCUAAGUCUGUCAAAGUCAUAGGUUAGUGUACUUUUAUUGCAUUGGCCUCAAUAAAUAUCUCCUCAUACAGCGACUUUCGAAAUUACCAUUUUACCCUUAAGAUUAAAACUGCUCGUCAGUAUCCCCGUUGAUAGGUGUUAAUCAGUAGCGGACUCAGAAUUUUACUUGCACGGAGGGCGAAUUUAAAACUGCAUAACUUAGUUAAAUACAAUUGUGGCAAACUCACUACAUAAAAUCUAAAGAAAAACCCAUUUUAAAUAUUUGAAUUUAAACAACAAAAACAUAUAUGUAUUACAAGAUUUCAGUUGAAACCUUCACAUAUGCUACUAAUUAGUUCUAUUUGUGGGGCUAAUUAUUUUAUUUCAAUAGGUGACUCUUUUUUCUAUUUGGGGCAAUAGCCGCCAGUGGUGCUGUGCUGACUCCAAAUCUGGUAGUCUCAAGUUAGAGCUAUGAGAACAAGUCUUUGAUUUAGAGACUUUCUUUUUUUUUUUUUGCUUUUAAUUUUGUUAGGGGGCAAAAGGCAACCCCACAAAAUUUUGUGGAUAGAAAAGAGAUAUUUGGUUGGGUCCAAAUAGAAGGAUCCUUUUGACCUUUUAUAAAUUAGCUAAUACUUUUCUUUGUAGGGUAAGGUCACAGUGACUUGUUGGACCAUCUAUGUAUUGAUUCUAGAAUACAAGACUACAAGUCAAAGACUAAGUAUACGUUAAAGCAUUACCAGGAAGCUUAGCACAAGCCAACAUUCUAUCUUAACCCAUUUUGGACUUUACAGAGCGAAUAAACAGAAAAAACAGAACCUUUUCUUCACCAUUAAUUGCAUAUAAUUUGUCCACAAAAACUGUCCAAGUUUUACAAUGCAAAUGCUAGAGAUUCGUACCAUAUGAGCCAUACAAUUGAUUUGGGAGUGAUCAAGACAUGUUCUUGAAUUUAUUUAUUUUGCUUUGCAUUACGUACGCUUGUGUUUGUUGUAAAGUUGUACAAUGUGUGCUUUCCAUAUACGAAGGCGAGAUGUUUACUAUACAUAAGCUUCGAUUUUCGUAUGUAUACUUUCAACAUGUCCAAUGUUUUUGUUUCAAUUAUAUAAGAGAAUUAAGGGCUGAUUAAUUGGUAAUUGGUGAGGUGAGGCCUCAGUUCGUUUCUUAAUUUGUACAUUCAAUAUAAGUUAUAACUAGGGCUGGCAAUGGGUCGUGUCGUGUCGGGUUCGUGUCGUGUCGAGAUAAUAAACGUGUCAAGAAUGCUCAACCCGAACCCAACCCAUUUAAUAAACGUGUCGUGUCGGGUUCGGGUCGUCUUUUAUCGUGCGGGUUUCGAGUCGUGUAACGGGUUCAUAAAGAAUAACAUACAUGUUACAAAACUCACAACCGAAAAAAUUUUAAUUAAAAAAAAACAGAGAGAGUAGAGAAAAUAUAAGGAAAAGAAAGAAAGAAAAAAGAUAGAGAGAGGAGAGAAGAGAGAAGGAAAAGAAAGAAAAAAAAUAGAGAGAGAGAGAGAGAGAGAGAGAGAGAGAGAGAGAGGAGAGAAGAUUGAAGGAAAGAAAGAAAGAAAAAAGAGAGAUGAGAGAAAACUAAAGAGAAAGAAAAAAAAAGAAAAAAAAUGAGAGAAGAGGAAAGGAAAAGAGAGGAAAAAAAAAAGAGAGAGGAGAAGAAAGAAGGAAAAAAAAAGAAAAAAAAAAGAGGAUGAGAGAGAUGGAAAAGAAAGGAAAACUCAAAAGAAAAAGAAACAUUAUAAAUAUCAAAAGUCAUACCAUAAAAUCACAAAGUUGGUUGUAGCAUGGUGGAUAAGAUGUUUGAGAAAAUGAGGAUGGGAGGGGUUCGAAACCCCUUGUGUGUGUGUUGAAGUCUCAAUUUGUCUUUAUUUUUUAGCGGGUUAGCGGGUUAGCGGGUUGACCCGAAACCCACCCGUUUAUUAAACGGGUCAGAACGGGUUGACCCGAAAUUGACCUUUUUUUUAUCGUGCGGGUUGAACCCGCUAAUUUCUCGUGCGGGUUUCGAGUCGUGUAUCGGGUCGUAUCCGAAAUUGCCACCCCUAGUUAUAACUAUCUUUUACAUUAUUGAAUAUUCCUAGAUGCAGAUGGUUCUGCUGAGCUUCUUGUGGAAACAGAAGGAAGGCUUGUGUUUUGGUUUUGGGUAAUAUUCUGUUUCGUCUAGGGCAUUUUAUUCAUCACGUUAAUAGCACGUAGAAUUAGAAUUAGUGCACACACUAGGAAAUGGUAUGUACAGCAUUUAGAAAUGGUGCAUUUAUCCGCCUGCCGCUCUCUUGGUUCUUCCUCUUGUGUCUUUGUAAUAUGAUUUUUCUUUUUUUCUUUUGGCUUCUUCAAUUGAUAACUAUUGGAAAUCUGCUUCAAUCAAUAGAUUUUAAAUUCCAAAUACACUAUUUCAAUUGAUUGUUAUUGCAAGCUGUAGCUAUCAUCUGAAAUUGAUAAGAAAAAUACCCAAUUGAUUGCUAUUCUGAUUGAUGAAUGGGCUUGGUAGUACGACACCUGAACUUGGGAGCAGGGGAUGGACUAGGAUAGCCUACUUGCUGUUCAGAACAAUUGGUUGUAUUGCCUCCUAGCACAGGAAAUUCCUUGUCAUAGUUUUCUGAAAACUCAGAACCAAUUAUGAGUCUACUACAUCUUGUUUGGCUCAUCUUUGGUUUGUCCUUGCAAGUGCGCAAGAAUGAUGUAGUAUAGCGUUUGACAAGUCCAAGUUUCGUUCCCACGAGGAUUCCAAAUUAAUCUAAUAUUCGAAUACCUAAAUUAAAUCUAAUUGAUACGCAAGUGAAUUUAUAGAGAUUGUUGUUGUGAAAGUUUAUGAAACAAAUAAGAAAUUAAUAAAAACAAUUGAGAAUAAAAAGCUUGAAUUUUUAAGGUUUGAAAAACAAUGAUGAAGGUCUAGGGUUUCGGAAUCAACCACAAGCAAUCCAAAUUAGACUUCAAUGUAUUCAACAGAUUCUUUCGAUUCUUUAGAUGAUAAUUCCCGUAUCUAAGUCCUUUUCAGGCACUUAGACCAUAGUUUUCCUUAAGUGUAAGAUUCUUUUCUAGUUCAGACAAAGAUCAUAUACCCAAUCCUGCAAUCUAUCCUGGUUAAGGCAUAAAUUUAACAAGUUGGAUUCAUUACGUUCUAGAAAACGAGAGAACCAAGCAAACCAUUGCAAGUUCUGCCUCAAAUUCAUCUUCUAAUUUACUAGAUGCAAAGCCCUAAGGUGAUCAAUCAAAGAACUUAAACAAAUAGCAACAAUUAAAAUAGUGAUUAAACAUUCAUCAAAAAGAAACUUAGAAUCCAUUAAAUAACAUUAGAAAUCAUAACUAUCCAUGCUCGGGCGUCAUCCUCGCCCUAGAGAAUAAUUUAGUUACUCAUGCUCAAACAAAACAUAAUUGAAAAACUAGAAAACAUAAAAUAGAACUUAUGGAUUGUGACCAUGCUCGAGAACUGGACGAUGGCAGCGGCUCUUUGACUCUCCUUCAAUUCCAGCAUAAGAGAACCCUAUUUUCUGGUCUUCUUUAAAUAAGGAACAAAUCCUCUUUUGACUUGGUAACUAUGCUUUCCUAGUUUAGCUUCAGUUGUCUUUUGAUAAGUUGACAUCCAAAAUCCUACUAAAUAUAGGAUCAGACCUUAGAAAAUAACUCCACAUCCUUGUAGACACUUCCCAAAUACAAUUAACAUAAAUUGGACUCCAAGGAUUGGACUUCAAAAGGAUUAUUUUGCAAGGAUUGGCCACAACUCCUCCACACACGUCCGAAUCAUGAACCGUAAAAUUCUACAAAAAGCUAACAUCCGCAUCUUUCCAACAAUAUAAGGCUCAACAUAUGGUUCGCUCUGAGGAAGUGCAGUAUAUAUUAUGUCAAGCUGACUGUUUUGCACAGCACAUUCUGAACCUAGGAUUGCACAUUAUAUUUCAAUCCCAAAAUUGAUCUUUUUGCUUGUUUUUCCAUCUUUACUCUUCAAGCCUAGUAAAACGCAAAACUAAGUAAAAAUGGACUAAACUCACUUAAGAACAUAACAAGAAUCUAAGAGAAAGAUAAUAAAAAUGUACAAAAUAAUUGUUAUAUCAAUCUUGUAAGCUGAAGCUCCAAAUUAAAGUAGAAGAAGAAGCCAAAAGACCCAAAAAAAAAAGGAAGAUUAGAUUACAAAUACACAGAGGAAGAACCAAGAGAGCGGUAGGUGAAACUAAAGAAUUUAUUGUCAAAUGGAUUGUUGUUUGUUUUUUCUGUCGAAGGGACUGGCAGUAUUAGUUUUUUAAAAAGGAAACGAACUUAUUGUAGCCGAUGUGGCACAUUCACAAGCAUUUAAUUAGUUGAAUGGUCCAGAUUUUAUAAAAUGUUAAUAAAUGUACUAUUUAUAAAUGCAGAGACUCGAGAUCCAUACCAUAUGAGCUUAUCAACCUUAAUAUCAUGCCCAAACGGGUUCCUACCAAUUGGUUGUAGUUUCUAAACCCUAUUCACAUGUUGCCUUCACUGUAGGUAAGAAUUAGAACUUGGACAAGACUUUGUGGUUUUAUAUUUCAAUAUCGGGUGCAAUACGGCAUAGGUGUUUGAUAAAAUGUCAACAAGAUGACUCUGUUACUAAAUAUGCACCAAUCGUAGGUUUGGUGUUAGUCUUUAUUACUUUGUACUUUGUUCAUUCAUAUUUUACCUCGGUCUAGAGGAACUAACUACUUUUCUAACUUUUAGUUUUCAGUGGAUAUAGCUUAAGAUAUGAUAGUUUGUUCGUUAUAAAUAAACGAGAAUCGAAUCGAGUCUAGAUUCAUACAAGUUCCAAUAUAAAAAAAGUCGGGUAAUAUUUGGUGCCUCCACAGGGUAGAUCAUAAGUGCUUUUUGCUGUGCUUGUAGUGCAUACAACCUUUCUGAAGUUUUUCUGUUUUGUAGAUUGAAUUACUUUGACAAAAGACUCGUACGGAUUCUUGGGCGCGUUUUCUCUUGCAAUGAGUUUUCCUUUUUCUUUACAGAGAACGGCUUUGUGUAGCUGAUGAUGGAUUGUACGUUGAAGUUUUUCUCACAAAAUAAAAUAUAUUAUUGCCUGUUUCAAAACAUUGUCGAAAGUUCUACAAAUAUCGUAAGAUGAUGUCACCUUGUACGAACGAAAAGAACAAGGAAAAGUCCUCAAAGUCAUGCGAUCAUCUAGAAGUAAUCUAAAUUUCAAACCUGAUUGAGACAAAUUUCCUUUGAUCAUUCUCUCAUGAUCUAAUAUACCCCAUGAAUCAGGCUCACCUUCCUUUGACAUGAGCUUCACAACCCAAAUUCGAGUCAAGAACACCAAUUUUGGCCCCUACAAGUAUGAUAGUAGCAGCCUCUCAUUUCAGUACUAGGGUGUGACUCUAGGGCAGGUUGUCAUUCCUAGGGGCAAGGCCCGGUGGCGUUUGACUGAAAAAAUUGGAGCCACUGUGAUUUUAAAUUCCAAGGCAUCGGAAAGCAAUUCCAGUAUUCUUGGCAAGCAAUGAGUUGAAAGCAGGGGUUUUGACUCUGAGCAGCCAAGCCAAGCUUAGUGGGAAAGUGGAAUUAAUGUUUGUGAUGAAGAAGAAGAAAUCUGCAGAGAUGAAUUGCACCAUAUCAUGUAAUCACUACUUGUAAGUCACAUUUUCUUUCCAAAAUCAAGAUGGAAAAAAAAAAAAACAAGGGUUAAUAGAUUUUUGGCGUGAACACAAAUUAUAAGUUUGUUUUUUUUUCUUUUAAAAUCAAUGGUUAUAAGAUCAAAUAAUGAAUUAAAAUGCACAAAACUAACUAAUUACUUUAAAACACAUAUGAGCCUCAUGUUUUUAGGCAGAGGCUUUCUAAUCUUGUAAUUUGUAUAGACUCACUAUUGUAAACUGAGUCCUCAUGAGAUUGCUCUUUUGACUUUUCCCCCUUUUGGUCCCAAAAUUGGAGGAAAGAAUUUUGAUAAAAAAAAAUUGAUUGAGGUGAUCUAAAGAAUUAUAUUUUCAACGAGGCUCUGUUUUUUAACUCCAAGGUAAAUUGUAUUGCAAAAUGUUUGUUUAGAUAUGGAGAUGAUUUUCUAUAAUUAAAACCAAAUUGUUUUCCCGAAUUUCGGUUCGAUUUUUUUAAUUUUACAAUGUAUUGACGGUACUAAUAAAUUUGGCAAAAAUCAAACGGAAGCACAGUUCAAACGAAUAACAAGCAGUCUAGUAAUUAAAACAGAACAGAGAAGCCCUGUAGUUGUACAACAAAUGCAAGUCUCACUCGGGGACAAACUAAAUAUCAACGAAUUUUAAAAAAAAAUCCAAGAACUAUAGUCUUCAUCACUCUGACGCCGAAGUAGCUUGUGUGUCUUCACUUGCAGUGUAAAGAUUGGAGGGUCUUGGCAGUCACAUCAAAAGCUAUGGUGCAGUUCAUGUUGGUAGCCUUCUUCUUCUUCAUUAUGAACAUAAUUGCAACUUUUCCUUCCAAUCUACCAACGCUAUUGAGCGUCAAGACCCCGCUGCCCAAUUCGGUUAUUGCAUUUGAAUUCAAACUCACAUUCGCAUUUCUUUUUACGGUCGAAAGCCAUCCAACCUUGCCCUUUGCGAUAUCAAUUGCUCCCACAGUCUGGCCUUGGUGUUGAAACGUGACAUUUCCAGCUUUGAACUUGUAGGAACCCCAGUUGGCUGAGUUCUUGAUCCUGAUUUGGGUUGUGAAUUUCAAGUCGAAUGAAGGCGUUGAUUCCAAGCUUUGGACUUUGAUGUCGCCUAGCCUGAACUUUGGGGUCUUAACUUUCAUGACAGUGAGACUCAUUGUGGUGAUAACUAUGAUCUGAAACACAACGAAAAUACUAAUAUAGAUGGCCAAUUUGAUUUUCUUCUUGCGUUUCAGCUCAUCAGCGGACAUCUGAGACUCUCCAUCUCUUCUUGUGUGACCAUUUGCUUGUCCUAAAGGAUAGGUGGGGUAGUUUUGCUCUGGCAUGUUAAUUUCUUUUGGUUUUCUGAUAUGAAAGUAGAAAGAAAAUUUCUCUGCCUCUGUUUGGAAGGUUUGGUUUUGUGGGAUGAAAGCUUGGAAGUUGAAGGAGUUGUUUGUGGAAAUGAAGGAAGAGUUGUGUGUUAUAUAUAUCGCCUUCGGAUUGAUGAGUUUCCCGGAAGCUGUGAGUUUCAGGGGAAGAAUUUUAUUGCAGACGACAACAAAGACGCGUCCAAAGGCGGAGGUGGCGAUUAUUGACUUUCUAGAGGAGGGAUGACUUUGGUGAGGACCUUUAAGCCCUUUGAUAUUUUAGUUGAACAUAUUAAUUAUCAGAGAAAUCUUCAAUUCUAUCCGUUGCAUUCAAUGGACCAAAUCUGCCAAUGGCAGGUAAGAACGUGAUGUGGGAACUAUUAAAACUUUCGCAACUUUUGGUUUUUUAUUUUAGAAAAUACUUUAUUUUUAAAAAAAUUUAAAUUUAUUUUACAAUUAAAAAAGAUAAAGGGUAGUUGUGUUCCAUAAAAAUAUGAUCCAUUAUCAUAUUUUUUUUAAUAUAAAAAAAUGUGAAUUUACCAUAUUAUCCUCAUUUAAUUAAUAAUUUCAAUUCUUAAUGUUUGCAUUAACCAAGAGUAUUUUUUGGUAUUUUAAAUGUUUUACCAUUCUCUAUCUUUUACUUUAUAUAUAUAGAUGAUUAAAUAAAGAUUGAAUGUGUGUGGUUAGCAAAGUAUACAACUCCUCCAUUAGCACCUGAUACAAAGUAUUGAAUAGCAGAAAUAUAAAAAGCUAGCUAUAUUCCAUCACAAGUCACAAUAUUAAACUAUCUGCAAUUUUCAUAUUUUAAUUGAAGAUCACACAUUCACAUUUUGACCUUUCUUUUUAUUUAUACAAAGGAUAUUAUACUUCAAUUUUAUUUAAAUAGGGAGGGAGAUUCGAACUCAGGUGUAGAGUAGGGAUCAGAUCUGCUCAAGCCAACUUGGCUAAGCAGAAGCAGAAGCCAGCAUUCCUACAAACAACCACCUAAUACACUUGCUCAAUUCAUUUUAGUGAGUGACAGAGCAAAAGCAUAACAUUUUUGUUUCAGAAAACUUUCUAGCAAAAUAAAUGUGGCAGAGAAGAAUCAGCAGAGCUAGGCAUUCACAAUGGCUACUCCAGAAGUGAUCAAGAAACGUCAAAAUUGUUUAUUGUGUUUCAAAUCAUGGUCAUGACCAUUUUUUAACUCACUGUCAUGACAGUUCCCAAAAAUCUGGUUGGGCAACAUCAAUGUCCAAACCCUCAACUCUGUCCCUUCGAUUGAUGCAAGCUUCAGAACCCAAAUCAGACUGUGAAGAACACAAAUUUGAUUUCACGAUUAGCGUCAUUUAUUUCUAACAAAUAGAAAACUGAAACCUACGCUACCGCAUCAACUGGUAAGCAGUUAAGUUCAGUGAACAAAUAUGGUUUAUUGAAACAAAAUAAUUUUCACAAGCACUAUACGUGAUACGUUCUUUGCAAGUUAUGUUCAUAUUCUCAUGUCUCAGCUAUUUUCGGAAAAGAAAAAUAAAAAGGAAAACUUAAACCCUAAUAUUAAUAUUAGUUGGACUUGAAAAAAGGUCAAUAUCCACUGAUAUAUUUUCACACUGAGUGCACACAUGUGACUUCAAAUAGCCCAUUAUCCAAUUAUUGUACUAGUCACGGCAAAUCAGUGACUCAAGACUCACGGAUUACAGUGAGAAAACUAUUUCUGCAAUAAUGGACAGCAUGAAAAUUUUAGACAAGACUCAAGCUUUUGAUAAGCAUCAAGUUUAAUGAUUAAUGACUUCAAUUAAUGCAACACUGUUCUAUUCCACUUGGGCUACAUUUAAACUGUAUUCAAGUUGGGCAACUUUUUGAAUGAAGAGAUAAGAAUUAUAGUCGUAGAAAUAGAAAAACCAGAGUCCCAGUGAAAAUAAUAGCAACGAUUUAUUCAUAAAAUUACACUAUCACUCACUCAUACAAAAAAAAAAAGAAGAAAAAAAAAACACAAUCCAAGAAGUAGACUUGAUCAGUCUCAAAUCCACAUCAUAUAACAGAGAGAUGGCCAAGCUGCAUCGCAAAAUUUACAGAUAGCUUCUGUGUUUUCACUUGCAGUGUAAAGAUUUGACGUUCUUGGCUGCCACAUCAAAAGCUAUGGUGCAGUUCAUGUUGGCGGCCUUCUUCUUCUUCAUGAUGAACAUAAUUGCAACUUUUCCGUUCAAUCUUCCUACGCUGUUGAGCGUCAACACCCCGCUUCUCAAUUCACUUCCAAAGUUUGAACCAUUUAUUGCACUUGACUUCAAACUCACCUCUGCAUUUCUUUUUAUGGUCGAAAGCCAUCCAGCCUUGCCCUUUGCGAUAUCAAUUACUGCCAGAGUCGCGCCUUGGUGUUGAAACGUGAUAUUGGCAGCAUUGAACUUGUAGGAACCCCAGUUGGCUGAGUUCUUGAUCUUGAUUUGGGUUGUGAAUUUCGUGUCGAAUGAAGGCGCUGCCGAGUCAGAUACGAAGCUUUCGACAUUGAUGUUGCCUAGCCUAAACCUGGGGGUUUUCACUUUCAUGACAGUGAGACUCAUUGUGGUGAUAACUAUGAUCUGAAACACAACGAAAAUAGUAAUAUAGAUGGCCAAUUUGAUUUUCUUCUUGCGUUUCAGCUCAUCAGCGGACAGCUGAGACUCUCCAUCACUUCUUGUGUAACCAUUUGACGGUGCCAAGGGAUAGGCCGGGUUGGUUUUCUCUGCCAUGUUAACUUGUUUUUUGUUUUCUGAUAUGAAAUUGGAAAGAAAGUUUCUCUGCUUUGCUUUGUGGGGUAUUGUUUUCUAGGAUGAAACUUGAAAGCUGAGGGAGGUGUUUGUGGAAAUGGAGGAAGAGUGGUUUGUUAUAUAUAGUGUUUGGAGCUUGGCCUAUUUUCGUUAAGUUAAGUGACAGAAUAGAAUGAAGUUCCAGGAAAAUGUAAAUUUCAAGGGAAGGAUUUUUAUUUUAUUUGAGACACCAAACGCGUACAAAGCCGAAGGUGGGAAUUAUUGGCUUCUAGAUAGAUGAACAAUGACUUUGGUGGAGCUGAGGACCUUUUAGGCUUUUCUCACGAGUCAUGAGAUCAUGGAAAUAUUAUAAAUAUCAAUAGAAGCUUCGAAUCUCUCUGUCUGUAAUUGACCAAAUCUCCCACUGGCAGUGACAGGUGAGAACGUGAUGUGGGAUCUAUUAUACACAGUUUGCUAAUCACCUUGUGAAUAGUAUUGGCACUAGGAAAGCUUUAUCCAUGUCCGUCGGAUUGCUAAUCUUGAUGGCUCUCUAUGUAUUUUUUCAAUUGAUCUAAUAAAAUACUAUCGCUUGUUUGGUCAAAACGUAUUGGCAGGUUUAAGAUGUUUUUAAAAUAUUUAUCUGUUUUUUUAACCUGGAAUCCCACAAUUAAGACAAGCAGGAAUUAUCAAAGUCUAACAAAAGGGAAUAAUGCCGGCUGGAAAGCUUGAAAGUUGCAGUGUCCUUAACUAAUCCAAUAUAGCCAAGGAUUUAAGGAACUUAAUUUAAUUAUUAAUAAGUUAAUAAUUUCUCAAUAUAUAUAAUGAAACGUUGCAAUAUAACAGUGAUAAUUCAAGUUUAGAAUAACAGAAAUUUAGAAAGUAUUUGCACUGCAAAUCUAUUUCCAGAAAUUAAACUUAUAGAAACAAAAGUAUAGAAUAAUAGGAAUCUAUGACGGCAUAAAGGUUUUGCCUAGAACACAAACAAUUGGGUCUCUCUGAAGCUUACAAAAGUACAGAGACGAUCUUUAUUUUAUUUUAUCCUUUUCUUCGUAAACUCUACACUAUGCUCGUUAAGUUCAAACACUGUAUGUAUAACACAAGCAAAUACCUGCAUUUCCUAAGUUUCAUCCCAGAAAAACAAACCAACAACAAAAACAGAGUACUUUUGUUCACUUUUUGCAUCAGAAAAGAAAAGGAAACAUGGAAACGAAGUGAUGCAGAAUCUUUGCAAUCCGCUGAUGAGCAAAAACGCAAGAAGAGAAUCGAAUUGACAAUUUACAUUGGGGCUUUCAUAUCAUUCUCAUGACCAUAGGCAAUAUCAAUGUCCAAAGUCUUAACUCUGUGCUAGCAACACCAUCAUCUGACACAAGCCUCACGACCCAAAUCCGAGUCAAGAACACAAAUUGGGGUCCCUAUAAGUUCGAUGCAAGCAUUGCCACGUUUCAGUACCAAGACAUGAAUGCUUUUCCACCAAAAAAAUCUCAUUGCCAAGCAAUUCCAAUCUUGGCACUGAGUGGAGCACUGGGGUCUUGACACUGAGCAGCCAAGCCAAGCUGAUUGGAAAAGUGGAACUGAUGUUCAUUUGAUUUGUCAACAAAGGCAAUUCAACACUAGUUCAUGAUUUUAUUAAUUUGUGGUACAACUAUACUGUUAUUUAUUUAUUUACUUUAACCAGAGGCCACCUUUUUUCUUUUAACUUUCUUUUACAUAUUAUUGAACAUUGAUGAAAGAGAGAUGUAAGCUUCUAAGUUGAGCUUUAAUUUUCAUUUCAAGCCAAAUGGAGGUUUCACAAAAGAUGCCUCAGGUGACUAAUUCCUAGUCCAAUCUUCACCAUACACAUGUUUUGUUCGUUUGAUUUACAUUUUUGUGUUCGUUCUGUAUCUCUCAUAUGCUCAUUUCUCUUCAAUAAUAUAUAUGGGGUUUGAGAACAAAGGAAAACGCAGACCCUUAAUCCUGCUCCUCCAGUUGAAGAUAUUGAUCCUAACCCAUUUCUGCAAAUAUUGGCCUCAUUGGAUGAACAAGAUGCAUGAUUUAAACCAUUUGAUGAACAUAAAGGUAGUUGCAAACCGAUUAAUUUGCCAAAAUCAAACGAACGCACAAUCCCAGUGAAAAGAAAAACACUUUAGUGAUUAAAAAAAGUAAAAGUAACAUUAUAAUUCUACAAUAAAUACAAGUGUCACUCAUAGAUAUGGAAACAAAUAACAUCAAUGAAGAGAAACAAUCAAAGAACAAGUAUUCAUCAAUCCAAAAUCCACAUCAUUAUAAAGAUAUGGCCUGUCGCAAAGGUACAGUCUACAAAAUAACUAGUCUAUCUUCACUUGCAGUGUAAAGAUUUGAGGGUCUUGGCUGCUACAUCAAAAGCUAUGGUGCAGUUCAUGUUGGCGGCCUUCUUCUUCUUCAUGAUGAACAUAAUUGCAACCUUUCCGUUCAAUCUUCCUACGCUGUUGAGCGUCAACACCCCGCUGUUCAAUUCACUUCCCAAGUUUGAAACAUUUGUUGCACUUGACUUCAAACUCACCUCCGCAUUUCUUUUUAUGGUCGAAAGCCAUCCAGCCUUGCCCUUUGCGAUAUCAAUUACUGCCAGAGUCGCGCCUUGGUGUUGAAACGUGAUAUUGGCAGCAUUGAACUUGUAGGAACCCCAGUUGGCUGAGUUCUUGAUCUUGAUUUGGGUUGUGAAUUUCGUGUCGAAUGAAGGCGCUGCCGGGUCAGAUACGAAGCUUUCGACAUUGAUGUUGCCUAGCCUGAACCUGGGGGUUUUCACUUUCAUGACAGUGAGACUCAUUGUGGUGAUAACUAUGAUCUGAAACACAACAAAAAUACUAAUGUAUAUGGCCAAUUUGAUUUUCUUCUUGCGUUUCAGCUCAUCCGCAUUUUCCAAAGACUCUGCGUCACUUCUUUGGUAACCAUGGUUUGCCGGGGCUGCAGGAUAAGCCUUCUCAGCCAUGUUUCUUAGUUUUUCUUUUUCUGAUAUGAGUGAAAAGAAAAUUGAGGACUUGGGUUUUGUAGGAUAUGAAACUUGGAAAUGCAGGGAGUUGUUUAUGGAAAUGAUGGAAGAGUAGUCUGUUAUUUAUAGUGUGUGGAAUUUGGCCAAUUUCAAUAAGUUGUGUGGUGGAAUGAAUUUCCUGGAAAAUGUGAGUUUCAGGGGAAGAAUUUUGCACACGCCAUACGCGUCCAAAUGUGGAAAAUUUUGACUUCUAGAUGAUGGAUGACUUUGUUGAGGAGCUUUUAGGCUUUUUGCUUUGAGUAGAUGGACAUAUUAAUUAAAUAUCAAUAGAAGCUUCUGUUGAUAGAUGAAAUGUUCUAAUACAGGCGAGAACAUGCUGACUACGUGUUACUGCUUCCUUGUUCCUCAGUGAUUAGAUCAUCAGCCAACCCUCUAAUCCAGGACAAGAAAAGUCUCCAUUUUGUUGGAGGAGGUCUAAGCUCAAAUAUCUGGGAAAAGAGUUGUCGAAUCCGGAGAAAAACAUUUGAUUGUGGUUUGCGUUUCUUCGCCUACAAUCUAUCAUUUCCACUGCCAAAUGCUCAUCCUUGCUCCUUGUAUCCUUCUCCAUUAAUUCUUGAACCACAUUUACCUUUUGUUUCUUCUUCAGUUGGUAAAAGACCUUUGUCCUCCCUAUUCUCACUAAAAGUAGAUGCACUUUCUUCUCUUGUCCGGAUCGCAAUAGUCAUCAUACUCUCUUCUUUGGGUUCAAAGUCCUCUCUCCACCAUUUAUAAAAUAAAAAUAAAAUUAUGUAAAACAGAUGGCGGAAGCAAUCCAAGAGGAGCUGGAGCAACACGCGCACAAGGGCAAAUCGGGUAAACUGAAGAUUUGGGCUCCGAGCUCAGAAUCGGGCCCAUGACCCGUUAAUUCGAAGAGAACGGCGUCAUAAGUAAAACUCAUCACUUUGCCAUGAUGUAUGGGCUUUUUCGGGCAUCCGAGAUCUUUUAGUAGCCCGAAAUCCAAUUUUUAGAGUUUUUAGAAACUUUGUUAUUCCUAGGGUUUGUAGAAGUAUUCAAGCAUACUUUACCUGUGGUUAGGGUUAUGUUUUGUUAUUCCAAUUUUAUCAAUAAACCUUGAGGUUUCCUCAUAUCUUCCUGGUGGAUUCCAGAGUUACAUGUUUUUGGCUAAGGUUUAGCCAAUCAAUUGUCACACUGCGUCAGUUGGUAUCAAAGUAGGUAUGGUUGGCCCAAUGAACAACCAAGGCACAGGAGAAGUUGUUACUCGUGCCGAGUUUAAGACCCUCCCUGCGACAAUAGAGGAGGUUCGGUGUUUAUUGUUGGGCAUGGGAAACCAAAACCCUCCACCGAAACCUAAUGAAGAUGCCUGCGUACAACGUCCUGUUGUUGAGAGACGUCCUCUCCUUGAGAGUGACGAGGAGUCUGAAGAAUAACUCCAUGAACAGCCCCCGAUCGCAACAAUCAGAAUAAUCGUAACCAAUACGUGGACGAUUUUUGGAUUAACGCUGAUAUUCCUUACUUUAAUGGCCACCUACAUUGAAGACUUUCUUCACUGGUUGGUAGAGGUGGAGAGUUUCUUCGAGAUUAUAGAGGUUCCAGAGACGAAGAUGGUGAAGAUGGCUACCUUUCAUCUCAAGCGUAGUACGGCUGUAUGACGGGAUCAGCUUCAAAAAUCACAGCAGCGGCAUGGUAAGCAAGCAGUGAAGACUUGGCGCCAUAUGAAGCAACUAAUGAUAGGAAGAUUCUUACAUGCCGAUUAUGAGCAGUACCUGUAUCGACUCUACCAUAAUUGCCACCAAGAUAAUCGGACCGUUUCUGAGUAUACGGAUGAAUAUUUGCUUUUGGCUUAGAGCAAUAAUUUGGAGAAAACAUAUGGUCAAAUGGUCUCUAGGUAUAUCACUCGAUUGAGAAGUUCUUUACAGGAGAAAAUUGCACUUAAGACUUUGUGGAUAGUUCAUGAGGCACAGAAUAUAGCAUUAAAGGCCGAAUUACUAGAGAAAGAUAAACGUACUGGGUCAAGCACUAGUGGUAUCAAGAAAAGCAGUUAUAAAUCCUUUACUUCAUACAUGGAGAAAAACAAGGGUAUGCAGCAGGUUCCUAGGAAGAGUGAUAAGCAAAAGAAUUUUACCCCACGCGAUGAAGGUAGUAGCAGAAAUUUGGGAAGAAAUCGCCACAAGAGGACCAAUCAUUAUGCUAGGCCAACGAAUGAUAUUUCUUAUAGGUGUUUCAAACCAAGGGAUUGCUCCAAUGAGUGCCCAACCUGUAACAAACAAAUCAAUCUAGCUGAGGCGAUUGAAGAUGGAGAUAAGGAUGGUAAUGUUGAUGCAUAUUACGAAUGAGCAGAAUUUGCGGAUAAGGAUGGUGAUGAGAUGGUCAAUUUAGUGUUGCAAAGAGUCCUCAUAUCCCCAGAAUAGGAGGCGGGGCAACGUAACAGGAUUUUUCGUUCACUUUGCAUCAUUGACAAUAAAGUGUGCAAUGUGAUUAUGGAUAGUGGCAGUUGAGAGAAUCUUGUGUCCAAGAAAUUGGUCGAUUAUUUAUAACUCCCAACACAGAAGCACAAGUCUUCGUAUGCAUUGAAAUGGGUAAAGAAAUUACCCGUGGUUCAGGUGACAGAAGUAUGCAAGGUUCCCAUCUCCAUUGGCAAGCAAUACCAACAGGAAGUUUCAUGUGACGUGAUCUAUAUGGAUGCUAGUCAUGUAUUACUAGGGCGUCCUUGGCAGCAUGAUACAAAUGCUACACAUAAGGACGUGAUAAUGUGCAUUUGUUCAAUUGGGGUUCCCACAAGAUUGCUAUGGCUCUUGUUAGUGAAUCUGGAAAAUUAGAAAAGCCAAAGAACUCAAGUUUUCUGGUGAUAUCGAACAGCAAGUAAAAGUUUGAGAAAUAUAUUAAAGAAACUGAUGUCGUGUACCCUGUGUAUGUGAAGGGGUUGUUGGCUACCUUGCCAGAGGGUGUGUACAGAGUUAAAGAAAAUUUUAAUUGCUUUUCUGGAGUUAAUUUCAGAUUAUUUACCUAAUGAGCUACCACCCAUAAAAGACCUACAACAUCAAAUUAAUUUGGUGCUAGGAGCUAGUCUUCUUAAUCUACCCCACUAUCAUAUGAGCCCUAAGGAGAAGGAGAUUCUCAUAGAAAAGAUAGAAGAUUUUCUACAUAAAGGGUUUAUUCGAGAGAAUAUGAGUCCAUGUGCAGUUCCAAUAUUGUUGGUACUGAAGAAGAACAAUACAUGGCGUCUGUGUGUUGAUUGGAGGAGUAGGUACCACCAUAUUCGAAUCAAACCUAGAUAUGAGUGGAAACAACUUUUGAGAGCAAGGAUGGAUUGUAUAAAUGGUUGGUAAUGCCAUUUGAGUUGUCAAACUCACCGAACACAUUUAUGAGACUUAUGAAUCAGGUUUUGCGUCCCUUUAUUGGUUCAUUUGUUGUAGUUUAUUUUGAUGACAUUUUGAUUUACAGCAAAACCAACAAAGAGCAUCUGAUACAUUUGAAAGGGGUUUUGAAGGUUAUGCAAGAGAACAAACUAUUUAUUAACCUGAAAAAGUGUACUUUCAUCACAAACAAGUUACUUUUUCUUAGUUAUGUUGUUAGUGCAAAUGGUAUCCACGUGGAUGAAGAUAAGGUGCGAGCCAUUCAGGAGUGGCCUACCCCGAAAACAACCAGUGAUGUGAGGAGUUUCCAUGGCCUUUCAACCUUUUACAGGCUUUUUGUUUGCUAUUACAGUACUCUUACCGCACCAAUUACUGAGUGCUUGAAGCGUGAAAAUUUUAAUUGAGGUGAAGAGCAAAAGCAAAGCUCUGCCCUCAUUAACCGUGUAGCGAAUGCACUAGUCGUCGAGCAACUUUACUUGUUACUUUGGCUUAAGAAGUUGUGGGUUUCGAAUUUCUGAAGAAAUUGUAUGAGACUCAUGUGGAUUUUCAGGAAAUUUGGGCUAAGUUUGUUAGCAAUGAGCCGAUGACGGAUUAUCAUGUCAGUGAGGGGUAUUUAUUUAAGGGCAAAUAUUGUGCAUCCCUGCUUCUUCUUUAAGAGAGAAACUAAUUCAAGACUUGCAUGGGGGUGGACUUAGUGGCCAUCUCAGCCUUGAUAAAACCAUUACCUGUAUGGAUGAGCGUUAUUUUUUGCCAUACUUGAAGCGGGAUGUCAGCACUAUUGUGUGGAAGUGCUACAGUUGUCAGGUAUCUCAAGGGCAGUCCCAAAAUACUGGUCUUUAUAUGCCUCUCCCUAACCCUGAUGAUAUUUGGCAAGACUUGUCUAUGGAAUUUGUUCAAGGAUCCCUCGUACACAACGAGGAGUCGAUUUUGUUUUUGUUGUGGUUGACAGGUUUUCCAAGAGGGCGCAUUUAUUGGUUGCAAGAAGACUGUAGACGCUUCCAACAUAGCCAAACUAUUUUUCAGGGAGGUUAUGCAGUUGAUGGUGUUCCUAAAUCUACUACGUCAUAUCAUGACACCAAAUUCCUUAACCACUUUUGGAUAACUUUGUGGAGGAUGUUUGGUGCGAACUUGAAUCGUAGUAGCACCGUUCAUCCGCAUAUGGGAGGUUUGGAGCAUUUGCAGAGACAGGCCGAAGUAAUGGGACGUUGCACUGCCACAUGUGGAGUUCGCUUACAAUAGUGAUGUUCAUUCUUCCACAGGAAAAUCACCCUUUGCCAUUGUUUACACUUCGAUGCCUAGGCAUGUGGUUGACCUGGUUAAGCUUCCAAGAGCCCAGAAGACUAGUGUAGCUGCUGAAAAUAUGGCUAAACAGGCUUAGACUGUGAGGGGAUAAGUGAAGGAAAUGUGAGAAAACUAGAAUUGUAUUCUCAUUUCAUUAAACAAUAAUGAUUACAUUGAAUUGUUUAUAUACACUUGAAAUAAGAUAGCUGUACAAAUCACAGCUGUACAGUUUGUUAAAGCAAAGCUAAACAGAAAUUAACAACUUUGUGAUGAACGGCUAGCAUUAGAUGAUGAACGGCUAACAUUAGAUGAUGAAUGGCUAGGAUUAGAUGUGGAGAUAUCUCUAUCAGCCCCCCUCAAGCUGAAGGUAGUGUCACAAACGGAAAGCUUGGAUCAAAGAUACACAAAACGAGAGGAAGAUAGAGACUUUGUAAAAAUAUCAGCAAGUUGAUUAGAAGAACAAACAUAGUGAAGUCUAAGAGAACCAUUUUGCACCAGUUCUCGUGUGAAGUGAUAAUCAACUUCCACGUGUUUGGUCCUGGCAUGAAACACAGGAUUAGAAGCCAAAGAAAUAGCAUAUUGAUUAUCCACCCAGAGAAGAGGAGGAGUGCCUAGAAAAAAAACCAAUGUCUUUAAACAAUUUAGCUAGAUAAACCAAUUCAGCAGCAGCUAAGGCAACACUCCGAUACUCAGCCUCAAUGGAGCUUCGAGCAACCGUAGUUUGCUUCUUGGCAGACCAAGAGAGAAGAUUGGGGCCGAGGAAAACACAAAGACCACUUGUAGAACGUCGAUCAACAGGGCAACCUGCCCAAUCAGCAUCAGAAAAAGCUUGAAGAAGAGGCUGACCCUUUCUAAACCAAAGACCAAGAUGAAGAGUGCCUUUAAGAUACCUUAGGGUCCUUUUUACAGCAGCUAAAUGAGAUUCUCUGGGGUUGUGCAUGUGUUGACAGACCUGAUUGACAGCAAAAGCUAAAUCAGGUCUGGUCCAAGUAAGAUACUGAAGUGCCCCAACAGUAGAACGAUAAAAGUAAGCUUAAUAGGAAAUUGAAAAGUGGAGGAGGAAGAAGAUGGUGGGGAGGAAGAAGAGACAGUAAAAGGGAAGUGGUCCUCAUGAAAAAUAACAUGCCUUGAAGUGAAAACUCUCCCCGUUACAGGGUCCAAGCAUCUGUAACCAGAAUGAUUCAUGCUAUAACCAAGAAAAACACAGAGUUUACUUUUAGGAUGAAGUUUGGAAGGAGCAUAGGGUUGGAGCCAUGGAAAACAUGCACAGCCAAAAACCUUGAGACUGUGAUAAUGAGGAGGAGUGUUAAAGAGAAGCUGCCAAGGAGACAUAUGGCUAGUAGUGUGAGGCAAGCGAUUAAUGAGAUAAAUAGCAGUGAGAAAGGCAUCCACCCAAUAAUUAUGAGGUACUCAGAUGCAGCUAAAAAGGUUCGUGCAAGUUCAACUAUGUGUCGGUGUUUCCUCUCAGCAUUCCUAUUUUGUUGAGGAGUAUGGGGACAACUAAAUUGAUGAAUAAUGCCUUGUUGGUUAAGAAAAGUUUGAAAGCCAUUACUAAGAUAUUCACCACCUGAGUCACUGCGCAGAUACUUAAUCUUUGAAUUUAAGACAUUUUCCAUUUUUGCCUUAAAAACUUUGAAAACCUCACAAACAUCAUACUUGAAUUUAAGAGGAAAAAUCCAGCUGUACUUAGUGUAAUCGUCCAAGAACAGGACAUAGUAUCUAUAGCCAGUACACGAGUCAAUUGGACUCGGUCCCUUAACAUCAGAGUGCACCAAUUCUAGAGGUGUAGUGGAUACAGAUGAAGAAGGGGUAAAAGGAAGCCUGGUAGCUUUACCAAGAAUACAAUCAGUACAUUGGGGCUUAGAAAAGCUAGAAGCCUCUAAAGGAAGUUUAUAACUAGUUACAAUAGUCUUGAGCACAGCAGAAUGAGGAUGUCCUAACCUCUUGUGCCAAGUUUGAAGAGAAGCCUUACUGACUAAGAAAGCUGUAGGAGAGGUGCCAGAGGAGAGAGGUGAAACUUGAACCGAUGAGCUGUAGUAAAUGGGAUAUAAACCUUGUUCACAAGGGCCCUGAUAGAGCAUCCUCUGUGUAGCAUUGUCCUUAAUUGAUACACCAAUUUCAUCAAAAAUUAGGGAACAGUGAUUAUCACUAACAAAUUUGUGCGCGGAGAGAAAAUUAUGAGCAAUUUGAGGCACAUGGAGAACAUUUAGGAGAUGAAACUUAGCAUUUGAGGUAUGCAAAAUAGUAGAUCCAGUAUGAGAGAUAGGUAAGGAAUUACCAUCACCAACACGGAGAGUCUCAAAUCCUGUGUAUGGAGAGGAGUGACUCAAAUUGCUCAUAUUUGAGGUAACAUGAUUCGACGCACCAGAGUCGGCAAGCCAGAGAUUAUCAGUAGGCUGAGAAGCAAAGUAAGCAUAGUGCGCGGAAGGAGCUUGAAAUCGGGCAGGAACCACAUUAGCAUUGUAAGAAAGAUUCAACCUCUGGCGACAUGUUAGAGCAGACCCUUGCGCUCACAAAUUUGUCAAGUCAUGGAACGAUCAGUAGAGAAUCCGAAAGAAUUGUAGAAGAAACCAUUGGAGUUGGUACCAUUGGAGGUGUUGCCAGGAAAAAAAGGUGACGGCGUAGGUAAAAGGCCUCGGCCAAAGGAGUUGUUGGUGCCAGGGAAAGGAUGAUUACGAGAAUGAAAUUGAGAACCAGAGUUGGAAUGGAACCGAUAACGACCACGUCCGCCUCUGAAAUUGGAGCGAGAAGAACCAGAAGUAGCAGCAUAAGCAUGAAAAGGCUCAGUAGCAACCACAGAGGUGGAUCGAGUUUUACGUUUGAGAAUCGCAGACUCACGGCUGAGGAGAAGAGCAUGUAAUUCAUCUAAAGUAACAGGUUCAAUUCGUGUCUCGAUUGAAGUAAUGAAAGAGUCAUAUUCAUCUGGGAGACCAUUAAGCACAUAUGCAAUGAGAUCUGAUUCCGACAACGAUUGACCAGCAGCUGCUAAGCCAUCAGCAAUUUCCUUCACAUAUUGAAGUAAGAAUCCAUAGAGAGGUCGCCUUUAGAAAUGCUUUGAAGACGAGAGCGCAAUUGAUGAAUAUUGGCUCGAGAGACACCAAAAAAACGUCUUUCAAGAAGAUUCCACAAAUCUUGAGCAGAUUCAAUGCCCACAAUAUGAGAGAGAAGAUCCUCAGAGAGAGUUGAAAUAAGCCAGAUCAUGAGGCUUUGAUCACGAUCAUACCAGAGAUCAUAUUGUGGAUUCACAACAACAGCGCCUGAAGAAGAAACGAUGGUGCGUGGAGGAGAAGGUUCAAUGCCAUUGAUAAGACCAAGAAGCUUGAAUUUGCUCAGCACCGGAAGAAAAAGAUUCUUCCACAACAGAUAAUUUCCAAAUUUCAACUUGAUAGGAACCAUACCAGCGAUGUUCUGGACAGUCACCGAGCUCACAGAAUUUGACAAUGGCGAAUUAACAGAAUUGGUUGCAUCAGAAUUGAGGGAAGAAGGAGAAGAUAGCGGUGGAAGAGUGGCCGCAUCAGAAUUAGUUGGAGUAGCCAUGAGAAAGUGAAAAAUGAGAGAGAAAGUGAUCGAAGAAAGGUGUUUGGCAAGGAAGAAAAUCGCAAGAAAAUUUGCAGAGAGAGAAAAGUCGUUAGACUAGGGCUCGUGAUACCAUGUGAGAAAACUAGAAUUGUAUUCUCGUUUCAUUAAACAAUAAUGAUUACAUUGAAUUGUUUAUAUACACUUGAAAUAAGAUAGCUGUACAAAUGACAGCUGUACAGUUUGUUAAAGCAAAGCUAAACAGAAAUUAACAACUUUGUGAUGAACGGCUAGCAUUAGAUGAUGAAUGGCUAGGAUUAGAUGUGGAGAUAUCUCUAUCAGGAAAAGCUAGAGAUGACCAACGCCAAAUUUAAGGUCAAUGCUGACAAAUGCCGCCUUGUGAAGUUGUUCCAGGGAGGAGACUUCGUGAUGGUUUACUUGAAGAGAGAACAUUUCCCAGUAGGUACCUACAACAAACUGAAACCUCGGAAGUAUGGCCCCUACAAAGUUCUGAAGAAAAUAAACGACAACGCAUAUGUCGUGGAUCUUCCUUCUUCCAUGGACAUGUCGAGCACUUUCAAUGUUUCGGAUCUAAAUAAGUUCCAUGAUGAUGAGUCAAUUUAUCCUGAUGAUAACUCGGGGUCGAGUUUUUCAGAAGUGGAAGGGACUAAUGCAGAACAGAUGACAGAAGCAAUCGAAGAUGAGCUAGAGCAACGCGUGCACAAGGACAAAUCGGGUAAACUACAGAUUUAGGCUUCGAACUUAGAAUCGGGAUCAUGACCCGUCGAUUCGAAGAGAAUAGCGUCAUGAGUAAAACCCGUUGUUUUGCUAUGAUUUAUGGACUUUUUAGGCAUCCGAAAUCCAGUUUUAAAAUUUUUUUUAGUUUUUAGAAACUUUGUUAUUUUCCUAUUUUAAUUCUUUUGUUAUUCCUAGGAUUUCUAAGAGUAUUUAAACAUACUUUAUCGUAGUUAGAGUUAUGUUUUGUUAUUCCAAUUUUAUCAAUAAAUCUUGAAAUUUCCUCAUAUUUUCCUUGUGGAUUACAGAAUUACAUAUUUUAGGCUAAGAUAUAUAGCAAAUCAAUUGUCAUGCUGCGUCAUAAAAUAAGUGAGCUGACUCUAUAUGCUUAUUUACAUUACAUGUGACCUAGUAAUUAAAAGAUGAGAAACGAAUUAGCACAUUUUGUAUGUUGAGUAUAAUUGAAACGAGGUAUUUGUUUUAUCAGAUAAAAACAUAGUGUUUUAAUCAUUAAUUCGUGGUGGGCAUGUCAUGUUAUGGACAUGGUAACUUUUUCAUUGUUUAUUGGACCUUUACUUGGGCCCAUACCUCUCAACCCUCUCAUCAAUCCACUCCCUCAUAUCCCUCAACACAAUCUCCGCAUUCUCAUCGGGCUCCCCUUGUAUCAAGGAAUGAUACAUCCCAUCGUAAAUCUUCAAGGUCUUGUCCACACUCGAUGCCUUUUCGUACAACAGCUUCGACGACGACGGACACGUCACCCCGUCCGCCGUCCCGUGCACUGUUAAAAACGGAGUCGUGACGCGCGAGAAGUUGUCCUGUAUGUACUGGCACACCCUCGCGAUCUCCCUCAUGGUCCCCACCCUCGGUGGGCCCGUGUACCUCCUCGGAUUCGAGGCUAUGAUCCUCAGCUUCGCGGGGUCCUUGAUCGCUUUUCCGACCAUCUUGUUGUCCGGCAUUGCCGCCCAUGUGUCGGCGAUCCCGAAGAGGAGGCCGUACAGGAACAGGUGGACCUUGCUGGGCUUCAUGUUCUCCGGGAUGACGAAGAGCGGCGCGGAGAAGAUCAGGCCCGUCCAAGUGUCGGGCGGGGACUGGAAGUACAUGAGCAUGGUGGCAGCGCCGCCCAUGGACUCGCCGAAGAGGAAGGCAGGGAGGUGGAGGUAUAAUUCGUUGCGGCGCACGUGGAGGAAGAAGGAGAGUGACGUGGCGGCAACUUUCUCCAUGUCGCCAAGGUAGCAGCGGAGGCCGUCGGAUCGCCCGUGGCCGAGGAGAUCGGCGGCGAAGACGGCGUAGCCCCACGUGGCGUAGUGCAUGCAUAUUUUCUGGAAGAGCCAGCCGGUGUCGGAUCCGUAGCCGUGGGUCAUGAAGACGGUGCCUUUGACUGUUUGAUCCAACGGCAAGAAGCUCUGGGUGAAGAUCUGGCCGUUAGGAGUCUGGAAGAAUGAUUUGGUGUUGCGCACGCCUUGGGAGGUGUAGUAGUCCUCCUCUGGCAUGUCGCCCCAGAAAUUCGGAGGCGUUUCGGUCGCCAUCAGGAUGGAGCCAGAAUUUCAAUAUGGUUGGUCUAAAUUUAUCUUAUCGGACAAGCCUAUAGAAAAGUACGAGUGAAUUUCAGUGAUAACAAAAAAAAAUAGGCAUAAUUGAUGAUUCGUCAUUAUUUCUCUUUAAAAUUUCUCGAAGAGUAUAUAAAAAAUAUAAACAUACAAACUAACAAAAAAUUCAAUAAAAACAUACUUAAAUAGUUAAAUAUCUAAUCAAAAUCAGAAAAUGGCAUUAAUUGUAAAUAAGAAACUAGGCCUUCAUCACAUCUUGAAUCAACAUGUCAACAACUAAUCAAUUUAUCAAAAUCCCUAAUGAAUAAUUCAUACAAGCAAGAACACCAAAAUCAAUUUCAAAUCCUAUUUGAUAAUUCAAGAACCAAAAUCAAUUGCAACUCAUAAACUGAUAAACUUCAAUUGUAAAUAACUAAUCAUAAACCAUAAAUAUUCCCCAAAAUUUCAACAUAAAAAAUAAUAAUAAUAAUAAUAAAAAAGCAGACGAUUAAUGAAAGAUUACCUUAAUUUGCUUUACUUAAGAUAGGCAGCAAGCAUGGGUUGGAAAUGAUGGUUUGCUGCUGCGCAAGAGAGAGGAAAUUUUUCUUCCAAACAGAGAGAGAGAGAGAGAGAGAGAGAGAGAGGGAAUUCCUGUUGUUAGCCUAGUCGAAGAGCAGGGUUUGGAUUUGGAGUUGGAGGAAAAAUGGAAGCGGAUUUUUAAAGGGAGAGAGUUGGUGGAUUUGCUGUGAGUGCGGUUGGUGGGGGUUGGUGGACUGCCCUUUGAUGAGGUCGACUACUACUAGAAAUGUGUUGACGCGUGAACUCUUUUUUAUUUUAAAUUUGUUUAUUGCAUGAUUUAUUUGAUUUUAAAUUUGUUCAUCAUCUCUUUGUUGUGUUGUCAGCGCCACGCAGUCAUGAUCGAUACCUUUCUCUGCGUCAUCAUCGAGAGAGAAGAAAAAAAGAAGAAGGAUUGAGGAACUUAAUUUCUGACUAGUAUAUAAUAUGAGAGAUACUUAGUUUGUAUUAAGCUUUAAUUUUAAUUUUAACUUGUUUUGUUCGUUCGAUUUACGUUUUUGAGUUCGUUAACUUGUGUAACUUUUUCAUAUGCUCAUUUCUUUCUAAUCCUUCUCCUCCAUUUUUAGAUUGAUCCUUAGAGUAGACCCAUUUCUGCAAAUAUUAGCCUUCUUGAAUGAUUCAAACAAUUUGCUAAAAAUAUAGUUAAUUGCUUUAUGAAUCGAAGCACUGCCUGCCGCAGUAAACAAAUACAAGUGUGAUUCUUAGCUAUAGAAAUAAAGAAUAUCAAUAAAGCAAAAUAAUCCAAGAACUAGUCUUCAUCAAUCCAAAAUUCACAUAAUUACAGACAUGUGUCCUAGCUGUCUUCUUCACUUGCAUUGUAAAGAUUUGAGCGUCUUGGCUGCCACAUCAAAGGCAAUAGUGCAGUUCAUGUUGGCAGCCUUCUUCUUCUUCAUGAUGAACAUAAUUGCAACUUUUCCAUUCAAUCUUCCUACGCUGUUGAGCGUCAACACCCCGCUGCUCAAUUCACUUCCAAAGUUUGUACCAUUUAUUGCACUUGACUUCAAACUCACCUCCGCAGUUCUUUUUAUGGUCGAAAGCCAUCCAGCCUUGCCCUUUGCGAUAUCAAUUACUGCCAGAGUCGCGCCUUGGUGUUGAAACGUGAUAUUGGCAGCAUUGAACUUGUAGGAACCCCAGUUGGCUGAGUUCUUGAUCUUGAUUUGGGUUGUGAAUUUCGUGUCGAAUGAAGGCGCUGCCGAGUCAGAUACGAAGCUGUCGACAUUGAUGUUGCCUAGCCUGAACCUGGGGGUCUUAACUUUCAUCACAGUGAGACUCAUUGUGGUGAUAACUAUGAUCUGAAACACGACGAAAAUACUAAUAUAUAUGGCCAUUUUGAUUUUCUUCUGGCGUUUCAGCUCAUCAGAGGAUUGCAAAGAUUCUGCAUCACUUGUUUUCCAAGCCAUGUUGAUUUCUUUUAGCGGAAGUAAAGCUUCAAAAGAAAAUGCUCUGCUUUUUCUCCGUUUCGCUCUGUAAAAUAUGAACCGAUGAGCAAGUGAAUUGGUUGUGAGAAUGUUGGUGAGUGCUGUGCGGUGUUUAUAGACAAUUUGGUAAAUGAGUUACCUGUCGGAAUAAUAUCGAGGGUAUAAACUUCCUGGAAAUUGGAAUCAAAACGCGCAAAUAGUUGGGUUGUAGUUUAUUGACUUGUAGUAGCCUACUAGGUGCUUGAGAACAUGACUUGAAAUCCCAUGAUACUAUGUUAUUAUAUAUUUCUUGUGCAUAUGGACGCGUUUCAAAUACGAAACUGAUUAUUUAAAAAAAAAAAUCAAGUACAGAAUAAUAGAAAGCUCCGAGGGCUUUAAAAAAUUUGCCUUCCACGCAAACGAACAAGGAUCUGUAUAAGUCUUAUUACAAAGUCCAAGCUAGCAUUCGGAUAUAAUUUUUUUUAUUUGGUUUUAAUUAGUUUGUCUUUUUAUUUGUAAGAACCUCAAAUUUAUUAUUGUUGUUGUUAUAAGCUCCUCUAGAAGUCCAACCUCUUAACCAUGCGCGUUUGGUUAUAUUUUUCAUUUCUAGAACAGAUACUUAACAACUCUGCAAUCAUAUUGUCCAUUCUGUUUCUUUCCUUUUACUUCUCUGGUGGCUUGUAAAUUUGUAAAGUACGCUCCUUUUACAAUCAUUUAUUUUGUAAAAACAAGCACACAAAAAAAACAAUACUUUAAAAAAAAAAAUUGAAUCAAAUCGAAAAUUAGAUACAACUUGGGAGACGUCGUGGUUCACCCGAACAGGCUAAGUCCAUAAAAAUUAGAGAUAUUCUUAAUAUUACUAUACUUGUUUUGUUUACAUAAUACAAGUUACUUGUUUAAGAAUAAUAGUCACGAUACCAACAGUCCCCUAUAGUCCCUAGUAAGAAAGUACUUCUUGGUUCAAGAGUUGAAACUUGAGUGCAUUGGCCGAGCAACCUUUUCGUCUACAUAUCGCCUAGCCAAAGCCCCAAGGUAAGAAGGACCUAGAAGAAUACUUGGCUUUUUAUUCCCAAGUCCCUCAUGCCGGUUAUGCAUUCGUUCACUCGGUUGGUGACAUGAAGCAAUGAUGUCGAAGGGCAAAGUGUCGAAAAGGCAAGAUUAUGGUUCAUGUCACUUCGUUAGUGAUAAUGCACUGAUGGGCGGGUGCCAACCCGAAAGGUACUAGUGUGUCUCAAAUCAAGCAUAUGUGCUAAAAAGCAAUGAUGCUUAUGUGUUGGAAGGCAAUAAUGCUUAUGCGUCGAAAGGCAAUGAUACUUAAUGUUGAAAGGGUGUGACCAUCAAAAGGCUAACGUUCGAUCAUUGAACGCGUACCAAUUCACCAUCAAAGGAGUGUUGUUUGGCCAUUAAUGAGGUGAUGAUUUGCCUUCGAAGGGUUGUAGUUCGGCCAUUGAAAGGCGGUCAUCGGAAAAUGACAUGGGUUGAGAAUAAGAGCAUGGACUAUAACUAAUUAAGGACAUGAGAUGUGAUUAGAGUCCCAAACUGAAGAGAACAUGGGGAAAUUCGAAUAGACUCACCAGUAAACAGCCAACAAGGUCCAGCACUUUUCUGUGUCCCAUUCUUCCUUGCUUAAUUGGCCACUGGGUUCAUCUGUAAAAAUUUGACUAAAUUUAACUUUUCAUCCCAGUAAUUUGAGUGAAGUUAUGUGGUGGAACGAAUUUCCUGGAAAAUGUGAGUUUCAAGGGAAGAAUUUUGCACAUGCCAAACGCGUCCAAAUCACUUCUAGAUGAUAGAUGACUUUUUUGAGGAGCUUUUAGGCUUUUUUCUUUGAGUAGAUUGACAUAUUAAUUAAAUAUCAAUAGAAGCUUCUGCUCAUGGAUGAAAUGUUCUAAGAUAAAAUGUGUCUGGUGCAAUUCUAACAGUACUUGGCAUACCACUCCAUCAGCAUCUGAUAGAAAAUAACAAUAGAAAGCUCACCUAACUUAACUGGUAAGGUGGAAUUGAUGUUUAUCAUGAAGAAAAAGAAGUCUGCCACAAUGGACUGCACCAUGAAAUUUGACUUGUCUUCAAAGGCAAUUCAAGGCUUAGAAUGCAAGUAGUGAGAAAUUGUCAGCAAUGAGUGAUGGAGGUUGCAACUUCUGGAUUUGAAGCGCGAGUGUUUGUUUUUUUCAUUCUAUUCUUUGUUUUAGGAUUGGAUUUUUUGUAGAACCAUAAUGUAGUUGAUAUAUUGUUCUGUUUUUACUGUCUUUCAAAUUUCUGACCACAUGAAGAGAGAUACUUUGUAUAUACAAAUUAAGCUUUAAUUCUCAUCUAUGGUGAAUGGAGGCCUUACAAAACAAAAGAUGUGUCUCGUGACUAGCUAAGCUUUCCAUGUCCAAUGUUUUCAUCUCAACUAGUGUUUUGUGCUACAUUUCCAUUUUUGUGUUCAUUCUCCUUCAUCCUGAGACACUCUGCACCCCAUGCCACACUAAACACUCAGCAAAACCUUAAUCCGGGACACAACAACAAAAACAGAACAGAAAAAGUCUCCAUUUUAUUGGUAGAUGUUCUGAGCUCAAAUAUCACGGACGAGAACUGUUGAAUCAAAAGAAAAACAUUUGACUGUGGAUUGCGUUUCUUCGUGGCUAUCCACUUUUUCUUAGUUAAUUGUUGAACAUAAUUUAUACGAAGUAUUUGUUUUAUCAGAUAAUUAAUACGUGUAGGGCAUGUCAUCAUGUCAUGAUAGUUAUGUAACUUUUUAACUUCUUUUGUUCGUUAACUUCUGUAACUUUCAAUUGCUCAUUUCUCUCGAACAUACGUAUACAAUAUGUGGUUUGAGAACAGAGGAACAUAUGUAAUCCUGCUCCUUCAUUUCAACAUUGAUCCUAAGAUACCUGUUUCUGCAAAUAUAUUGGCCCUUAUUGGAUAAACAAGAUGCAUGAUUUAAGCCAUUUGAUAAACAUAAAGUAAAAAAGAAUAGCAAUGGUACCGUUCAGUGAUUAAAAAGGUAAAGUAGUAUUAUAAUUCUACAAACAAAAUACAAUACAAGUGUCACUCAUAGCUAUAGAAAAAAGAAUAUCAAUGACCGAAAAAUAAUCCAAGACUAGUCUUCAUCAAUCCAAAAUCCACAUCAUUAUAGAGAAAUCAAAUCAUGGUCUGUUUUUUUCACUUGCAGUGUAAAGAUUUGACGUUCUUGGCUGCCACAUCAAAAGCUAUGGUGCAGUUCAUGUUGGCGGCCUUCUUCUUCUUCAUGAUGAACAUAAUUGCAACUUUUCCGUUCAAUCUUCCUACGCUGUUGAGCGUCAACACCCCGCUCCUCAAUUCACUUUCAAAGUUUGAACCAGUUAUUGCAUUUGAAUUCAAACUCACCUCCGCAUUUCUUUUUAUGGUCGAAAGCCAUCCAGCCUUGCCCUUUGCGAUAUCAAUUACUGCCAGAGUGGCUCCUUGGUGUUGAAACGUGAUAUUGGCAGCAUUGAACUUGUAGGAACCCCAGUUGGCUGAGUUCUUGAUCUUGAUUUGGGUUGUGAAUUUCGUGUCGAAUGAAGGCGCUGCCGAGUCAGAUACGAAGCUUUCGACAUUGAUGUUGCCUAGCCUGAACCUGGGGGUUUUCACUUUCAUGACAGUGAGACUCAUUGUGGUGAUAACUAUGAUCUGAAACACAACGAAAAUAGUAAUAUAUAUGGCCAAUUUGAUUUUCUUCUUGCGUUUCAGCUCAUCAGCAUUUUCCAAAGACUCUGCAUCACUUCUUUGGUAACCAUGGUUUGCCGGGGCUGCAGGAUAAGCCUUCUCAGCCAUGUUUCUUAGCUUAUCUUUUUUCUGAUAUGAGUGAAAAGAAAGUUGUCUGCUUUUGAGGAGUCUGCUUUUCUGGGAUAUGAAACUUGAAAAUGGAGGGAGUUGUUUGUGGAAAUGAUGGAAGAGUAUCCUCCUAUUUAUAGUAUUUGGAAUUUUGCCAAUUUAAUUAAGUUAUGGGGGUGGAAAUCAACUUCCUGGAAAUUGUGAGUUUCAGCAGAAGAGAUUAUUUGCAGACGCCAAACGCGUCCAAAGCCAAAGGUGUGAAUUAUUGACUUCUAGAUGAUGGAAGACUUUGUUGAGGGGCUUUUAGGCUUUUUGCUUUGAGUCACGUAAUGGACAAAUAAAAAUAUCCCAAUGACAUGUGAGAACAUGGUGUGGGAUCACCUUGUGAAUAGUUUUGGCAAAUUAUACUUUGAAUUAUUCUUCAGUCCAGAACACAGUCAUGGUUUAAGGAACUUUAUUUGACCAUGAACACAGUUAUGAUUACUCACCAAACUCGGAAUAUCUUAAAAUAUAGGCAAUUGGCCAACUGUGAUAUUAUCACACACCUAUGGCGGCUUCAAGACGUUGCCUAAAACCAAAACAAUUGGAUCUCCAAAAUCUUACAGGGAGAUGUACCACAUGUCUAUAAUUUUAUUUUAUCCUUUUCUUUGUUGGCUUUGUUUGGACGUAGACUUUUUCCUACAUAUGGAGAAAUUUUUGUAUGUUUCGAGUACACCGAAGUCCAAAAAUAUUUCGACCAUCUAGAAGACUAUUAAGUCCAAAGCUAUAUUCUAAGCGCGUUUGUUUACAUUUCAGCAUUUCCUGGGUCGGUAAUUAUGACACUCAUCAUCAUAUUUCCACUCUUAAAUCAUUAAUUAAUCAAACAAAAUAUCCAAACUCCAAACACUAUAUAUAUAACACACUACUCUUCCAUCAACUCCACAAACAACUACUCCCUCCACUUCCAAGUUUCAUCCACAAAACCAAACCAACUACAAAAGCAGAGAACUUUUGUUUUCCAACUUUUUUAUCGGAAAAGAAAAGGAAACAUGGCUUGGAAAACAAGUGAUGCGGAGUCUUUGAGAUCCUCUGAUGAGCAGAAACGCAAGAAGAAAAUCAAAUUGGCCAUAUAUAUUACUAUUUUUGUUGUGUUUCAGAUCAUCGUUAUCACCACAAUGAGUCUCACUGUGAUGAAAGUUAAGACCCCCAGGUUCAGGCUAGGCAACAUCAAUGUCGAAAGCUUCGUAUCUGACUCGGCAGCGCCUUCAUUCGACACGAAAUUCACAACCCAAAUCAAGAUCAAGAACUCAGCCAACUGGGGUUCCUACAAGUUCAAUGCUGCCAAUAUCACGUUUCAACACCAAGGAGCGACUCUGGCAGUAAUUGAUAUCGCAAAGGGCAAGGCUGGAUGGCUUUCGACCAUAAAAAGAAAUGCGGAGGUGAGUUUGAAUUCAAAUGCAAUAACUGGUUCAAACUUUGAAAGUGAAUUGAGGAGCGGGGUGUUGACGCUCAACAGCGUAGGAAGAUUGAACGGAAAAGUUGCAAUUAUGUUCAUCAUGAAGAAGAAGAAGGCCGCCAACAUGAACUGCACCAUAGCUCUUGAUGUGGCAGCCAAGUCGGUCAAAUCUUUACACUGCAAGUGAAGACACACAAGCAAAGCAACGAGUGCAGGAGGGUGGAAUAGAAUUGCAUGAUUUCUAUAUCCUCUUCAGGAAUCAAAUUGCGGCUGAACAAGAGUAGUGUUUUAUUUGUUAUGUUAUAGUUUUUGUUUGUGUGACGCUUGAAUUUGUACUUAUUUAAUCUUUUACUAGUGAGCCACUUUUUUUUUACUGUUUUUUACCGGGAUUUUAAUGAUAUUCGGAGUACUCUCAAUUAUAGAGUUGUGAAGUAAAUUUGAUGAAUAGUGUCAUUUUGUGAGGUAAAAUUGCCCCUAGCCCCCUAACAUCACUACUAGACAUGCUCUUAACUACAAUUUAGAGAAAUGUCGGCAAAAUGUGCUUCAAGGCUUCAAUCAUGCUAAGCUAUCUUGCUACUAACAAGCUCAAGUUUUGCAAGUGACUCUGAGUAGCUCCGUGUUCAAUAUUCCAACUGCCAAGUUUUACUCACUAAAUGAUGUGUAAGUGUCUGAUAGAUUGAAGUCUGACCAAUUUUGAAAUUUUAUUUAUUAUUAACAAGUAAGAUAUUGAAACAUACACCGAUCAUUUAGUAAAUUUAAUCUCAUCUCACUUUAAAAUUUUCAGAGUAAUUAAAAGAUCAUUGUUGAAUGAAAAUGUUGAAAUUAAAAAGAUAAUAAAAAUUGAUCACUAGUAAAAUAACUAGAAUGGCCAGUGUAGCCUAUAAACAUUAUUAGUCCUAUCUAAAAGCAAUUUGGAUAAGUAUCUGUGAAUGUCAUGAUCAAAGGAAAAAAAGCAAACAGGUGGACAGGAAUCUUCUAAUGGGAUUAUUAUCUCCUUGAAUGGUCAUGGCCCUAUACCUAUAUGUUAUUCGUCCUCCCUCCUGGCUUGCAACUUGCAAAGUUGGGUAGAGAAAAUUAUACACAUGACAAAAUAUCUUUUAUUGGUCCCAUUUACUGUUUGGCUUUGUUCCUUCCUCCUCAUAAAUAAAAUACUUUUUUUCUUUAUGUUGAUUUAUUUAAGCCUCAAGCUUUUGGGGUGUGUGGUGUUUUUCAUGCUUCUUCUCUGUACAAGUGUUUUGGGGAGCAGACAUCAUUUCUUUUCUACUGUAGUAUCAUUGGAUGAUGUUAGGCCAUGUUUGGACAUUAACACGUUUGCCACGGUUGAGAUUCCUUGAUCAUGAUGGAGGAACCUCCUGCCUUAAUUAUGGAAAGAAAAGAAAGAAAAUUCAUAUCACUCAGCAAAAAUGGGCAGAUGCUUUCAAGCACCACCAAAGAUGACAACAACUUGGCCACUUGGGUUUAUUUUAUUCUGCAUAAGAUGGUCAUCACACCCUUGGUCCUGUUCAAAACUGUUCAAGUGGUGGCUCUUAUGCAGCACUCAAAAGCCCCACAGGGUUGCUUGUUGCCUAAUAAAAAAGAUUACAAAUAUAAUUCAGCCAGUGAAUCUGUGCAUGAAAAGUCCUCACCUAGGCUUGAGGUCCAAAAAGGACGACUGGGACCACAAGAAGGUUCGUGGAUACAAUAACACCAAGUCAACAUUUUACAGUAGGUGAGUUUGGCGUUUCAACAUCAACAGUAAAAAUAAAAUAAAAUAAAAACAAACAAACAAAACCCCAUUUAUGUUAGGUCCUUUUCCUGGAAGCAAAGCCCAUUGAGAAAAUUGCAGACACACCACCAGUCUAUAAGUAUUACACAACACUUCUUCACUGCAAUUACCACAAACACAAGUCCUCCAUUUCCCAAUCCAUCUAUGAGAAGCAAAUCACCCCAUUAAAAAAGAACAAGUGAGAAGAAGAAAAAUGGCUGAGAAGGAUGGAGAUCAUGAAGCAAACGCAUACCACCAGGCCGAGGAGCUCAAACGCCAGAAGAAAAUCAAAAGGUUGAAAUAUUUUGGUAUUUUCAUUGUGUUUCAAGUCAUAGUAAUCACCAUAUUCUCACUCACUGUGAUGAAAGCUAAGACUCCAAAACUCAAGUUGGCAAGCAACGUCUAUAUCCAAACACUCACCUAUUCCCCGGCAACACCUUCGUUCGAUAUGAGCUUCAUAACACAAGUCAGAGUGCGAAACCCAAACUGGGGUCCUUUUAAGUUUCGUGACGGCACCGUCGUGUUUACGUACCAAGGUGUGGUUGUUGGGCAAGUUUAUAUUCCAAAUGGCAAAGUCGGAUUGCGAUCCACCAAAAAAAUCACUGUGCUUGUGAAUGUGAAUUCCAAUGCGUUGCCAGGCAAGUCUGCUCUUGGAAAUGAGCUCAGCAAUGGGUUGCUGUUGCUGACCAGCACAGCCGAGUUGAAGGGAAAGGUUGAGUUGAUGCUGAUCAUGAAGACAAAGAAGACAGCUGAAUUGAGCUGCUCUAUGGUGUUCAAUUUGGCAGCAAGGUCUCUCCAGAAUUUGGAUUGUAACUGAGAAUCGAGCCAAUUUUAGUUUUAUGUCUACAAAUUUUGAUUGUUAUAUUGUUUACAAAUUCUGUUGGGAUUAUAUAUAGAAUAUACAGAUUAUAGUACAAACUCCAAUUCUACUUUAAAUUCUUUUCCCCAUGCGUUUUAUAUAUUCCAAAAGGCAGUACAUAUAUGUGUGAACUUCAAAUUUCAAGGUAACAUAGAUAAAACUAAAAACAAUUUUAAGUUGUUUUUGUAUUUCCUCGCUACCUCUAACAAAAAUUAAAAUUAAAAACAGAGAAGUUACCAAACGAGACCUUAGUGUCAAGGAUUGUGCCUGAACUGACUGGCCUUGAGACCAGGACUACAUUUUCUUAUAGUUGGUGGCAUUGGAGUUGAAAUUAUUUUCUUUGAAUGAGACUCUCUAUGAGUUGCUUCAUAAGUCAAACUACAAUGGCCAAGUUUUGGAAUGGUUUUUAGUUGAGGGGUGGAAUCAAGGCCUUUCUUUUUGUCCCAGUACGAAGGGGAUUGAUGGAAGACAUAACUUAAGAAGUAAUGUUGAAAACAAUGCAUAAUAUAUGACUAUUGAGCAAAACAGAGAGUAAAAAUCAGGACAUUUCUCGAUCCAAACCACACACUAAAACUCUCACAAGAACAGAGGGCAACAUCAUUGGGACUUUUUCUACAUGUCUUUUAUCCUUGUUCUGCAAUCUACAUCCCCACUUAAAGAUGGACAAGUUCUUGUCUACUAGGUGGCCUUUGAAUUUUGGUUCAUUUGACAAGUUAUCUCUCGUAUAUUUUUAUUUUUACCCAAUUACUUUUCAUAUGAAAAACUGAGUAAAAAGCUAAUGGAGUCUAGUCCAAUGAAAAAAGGGCAUUGACUUGCUUAUCAGUGGUUUCAUGUUCGAACCCUCAUGGCACCUUGCUAGUGUCUAUGAGAAGUCCCUCUCCCCUUGUAGUUUAGACCGAAAGAAGUGUAAUUCUUGUUAUUGAAUAAAUUGUUGCAAAGGGCUUUUAUACACAACAACUAUGCUGAGCUGUCAUAACUAAUGACAGAUAAGAAUAUAUUAGUAAACAGAACAUAUAACUAAUCUAACAAAUGAAUAACUAGUUACUGCCUUUAUAAACUAUCGCUUGUAUUGAAAAAGAAAAACCGACUAAAAAAAAGAAAAACAAAACAAAACAGAGGUCGCAAUUGGGCCUUAUGUCAUGGGCAGAGUGGAAAGAAAGAGCAUCAAAACCAAAAAUCCUGUAUUGACAAAAUAACAAACAAAAUAUCUAAGGAAGUGUUGCAAUUUUAUCUCUGCCUUUGUUUCUUGGGAAAAAGACUAGAAGCUUGAUGCCAAAGCAAUUUAAAUCAGAUGCUGAUGCAGUUGUAUUCAUUGAGGUAUCAUUUCUUUGAAAUGUCAUAUUUGCACAGUUCCAUUUGCACGAUUCACAUUCUAUCUUCAUCAUUCAGAGCAAAAACAUUGACUGAAUAAUAAAAUAAAGUUCCUUAAAUCCUAGGCCAUGUUUGGUUGAAUUGUCUUCGAAAAUUUGCAGUCUUCAACUAUCCCAAUUCUUGCUUGUAUUCAGGGACAACAGAACAAAUCAUAUUAAUUUAAUUUAAUUUUGAAAACCAAUAUUUUCAAACACCGUUCACAAGGUGAUUAGUAUAAUAUUUUUCACAACACGUUUUCACAUUUGAUUGGGAGAUUUGGUCUUCUAUGCCAACGGAUAGAUUCGAAGCUUCUGUUGAUAUUUAUUUUGGCAUUGAAGGUUCUGAUGAUAUUUAAAAUGUCCAAAUCUCAUGGCAAAACCCUGAAAGGUCCUCAAAGAAAAGUCGUCCAUCAUCUAGAAGUCAAUAGUAAUCACCGUAGGACGCGUUUGGGGUCCGCAAUAAAAUUCUUUUUUCCAAACUAACAUGUUGUUCCUGGAAACUAAUUAUUUCCACCACAUACGUCAUUGAAAUAGGCCCGACACCCCAAACACUAUAUAUAGCGCACUUCUCUACCUUCAUUUCCACAACUAACUUCCUCUGCUUUCAAGUUUCAUCCUAGAAAACAAAACCCAGAAAGCCAAAGCAGAGAAACCUUUCUUUCCAAUUUCAUAUCAGAAAACAAAAAAAACAAAAAAACAAGUUAACAUGGCAGAGAAAACCAACCAGGCCUAUCCCUUGGCACCAUCAAACGGUUACACAAGAAGUGAUGGAGAGUCUCAGCUGUCCGCUGAUGAGCUGAAACGCAAGAAGAAAAUCAAAUUGGCCAUAUAUAUUACUAUUUUUGUUGUGUUUCAGAUCAUCGUUAUCACCACAAUGAGUCUCACUGUGAUGAAAGUGAAAACCCCCAGGUUCAGGCUUGGCAACAUCAAUGUCGAAAGCUUCGUAUCUGACUCGGCAGCGCCUUCAUUCGACACGAAAUUCACAACCCAAAUCAAGAUCAAGAACUCAGCCAACUGGGGUUCCUACAAGUUCAAUGCUGCCAAUAUCACGUUUCAACACCAAGGAGCGACUCUGGCAGUAAUUGAUAUCGCAAAGGGCAAGGCUGGAUGGCUUUCGACCAUAAAAAGAAAUGCGGAGGUGAGUUUGAAUUCAAAUGCAAUAACUGGUUCAAACUUUGAAAGUGAAUUGAGGAGCGGGGUGUUGACGCUCAACAGCGUAGGAAGAUUGAACGGAAAAGUUGCAAUUAUGUUCAUCAUGAAGAAGAAGAAGGCCGCCAACAUGAACUGCACCAUAGCUUUUGAUGUGGCAGCCAAAAAC